UCAGAAAGGGGAAGGGGUUUCUUUCGGUUGGCCACCCAUACAACUCUUCGUGGUUUCGACCUGUAAUCCCAUAUGCCCACGAAUCUUCCAAUCUUGGAGCUUCCAUCUGGAUUAAAGAAGCCAAGUUCAAAAGUUUUGCCUGCAGAAACAAGAGUUCCUCCAUCAUUACUAAGCCAAUCCUCCGGUGUGAUGGUAUCUCUAGCAGAGCAAUGCAGGACAGAACACAAGAAGAAAAAGAUGGUAGAUAGAAUGUGAGUUGCAGAGACAGGAACCAUGAAUUUUCUUCUUAUCAUUUCUUCUCUUCUUAGUGCUGUGCCUUGAAAUCUGUAGUUUUUAAUGGAUACUCUUCCUCUUGAAUCUUGAGUGGAGCAAAGUCACAUCAGUAUUGCCAUCUUAGUCUUGCUCCCUCAGUCCACAUAAUGAGAAGAAAAAUAAAAACAUAUACCUAAUUGAAUGAUUAAUAAUUGGGGUGCAGCAUGCAAAGUUUUUUCUUUAUUCAUUUUCUAGAUUUAAGUUCCCAAAUGAGAAAAUGAUUGAAAAUAAAGGUGGACUAUGUUUCCUUUUCGAUGCACGCUUCUCAUGUUUUCUCUUUAUGGCAACUAUAAUAUGCUUUCUGGUGCCUUCCAAAGUCUUGAUGUUUGUAUCAUCAUGUUCCUCAUUUCACCCACUUUUUUUUUUCUUUGUAUGUAAAGUUUUUCUCUUUUGAGAAAUAAAGUAUAAGCAUCAACCAAUAAAUUUUUUUUUAGGAAUAAUCAAUUAAAAGAAAUAAAAGAAAUAUGAAAUUAUAAAUUUAACCUCCCAUUUUUUUUUGUUCCAAAAAAAUACCUAUUUUGGAUAGGAAUAACCUCAUUUUUUUUAUCAUAAAAAUAACAUUUUCUUAUAAAAUAUACAUGUAAAUAAUGAAAAUAUUGAAGAGUAUUUAUAUAAAAAAUGAGUUACUCUUUAUAUUAAAAAAUAGGAGAGACUAAUUUUACAAAUUUAGGAUCUUUUCAUCAUUUUUAAUCAAUUAAUCCAUUUUUCUACACUUUCUUCAACUUGGAGGAGCUUCGUAAUGGGAUAAACAAGAGAAAUCAAGAGUGUUUUCACUCUGCUUUUAAAAGGGUUUUCAAGAAAAUUCAAAUAAAUAUAUUCAAAUAUAAAAACUAAUUUUCUUUGUUUAUUCAUGUAUAGUAUAAAAGUUUUUAAAAUAUUCUCCAAAUUUUCAAUUAUUACUCAAUGAAUUCUAAAAAAAAACAAAAAAAUAAACUAAACACCUGAAAAUCAUUCUAAAAAAUAAUUCAUUCUCAAAGCAAAUUCCCAAAAAAGAAAAAAGAAAAAAGAAAAAAAAAAAGAUUGUGUUUUCUAUCAUAUUUUUUUUAAAACAUCUUUUCUAAGGUAGAAAACAAUUUUUUGUUUUAAAAAAACAAAAAAUUAUUUUCAAAAACAGCUACAAAAUAUAACCUAAUUUUUCUUCUAAGGUUUUUUUCCUUAUCUUCAUGUAGGUCUCCUAAUUGUCAUGCAAUGAACAAUCCACUUCAAAUAUUUUUUGGCCAAAGGGUAAAACCAAAGGACUCAGACAAACACAGGAAUUAAGAAUCAAAAGGACAAAAGGGAUUGGAGCAAAGUGAUAACUUUUCUCAGUGAACUUCACUGAUUUGCUCAAAGACAAGUUGCCAGCAAAAUCAAGGAUAUAAAAUAUAUAUGUACAUCUUUUUUUGUUGGACCCAUUGGGUUUGCUUUUCUUCCCCCUCAAUUUGGGAUUUAAUAUAAUAUAGAUCAGGAUUGAGCAGGUUUCUGUAAAUAAAUCAAAAUGGGCCUUCUUUAACUUGAUUCCUUCUUUGCUUUCAAGUACAUGAGAAAAAAGUAGAGCUAGCCUCACAUGUGCACAUGGCAUAGAAUUGGGUAACUAUUGAGUCAUCUCCAUCAUAUGAUUAAAGCACAGUGGCCCAAAUACAAGCAAUGAAGUUAGACUAUUUUAUGAUAUAAGCAAAAACCAAAAGUACUUGCAAUUGACACUGGUGAGAAAUGCUCCCCCAUGAUCGACAUCCUUCGAAGCUGAUGGUGAUCAUAUUUUGGGAGCAUGUUUCUGGUUUGGCAGAAGAAGCAGGCAAGCAGCAGCCCGGCUAGGAGGGGCCCCUCCCCCCAACAAAGGCUGGUUGUUGUGGAAGUGUAGUUUAUCUCACUGCUGAGCAUGAGAACUUUAUUGGACCUGGUGGGACAUCACUUGGGUCCCCCUGAACACUGAAGGUCCCAACAUUUAUAUUUUCAUUUAGUUUCUGAUCCAUCAAAUCCCACUGCCUUGUCUUCUUUCCACAAUCUCAAAUAAUUGCAAAACAGAAUGGAAUGAUGCACAGAAUGACUAAAAGACUAAUCUGUAUGAAAAUUUGAGAACAUUUACCUGACCCAGAAGGCUCGAAGUUUAAGGGUUUGAGAGUAUAAAGACUAAUCUGUAUGAAAAUUUGAGAACAUCUACAUAUGAGACGGCUUCUGAUUGCCAUGUUCUGAAACAAAGAAGGAACACCCUCAUUCAUGGAUAAGGCAAAGCAUCUGUCAUUUUUAAGCACUAUGUCUUUCAAUGAAAAAGAAGCUUAAAUGACCAAACCCAGACAAAAAGAAGGCACUGUGUUUAACUUCUCACACGCUCAGAAAGAAAAAUUAGGAAUAUACGUCGUGAAUAGCAUCCUCAGCCCCCACCUUGUGUACAAUUUAAACUGGAGCCGUCCCAUUUGGUCAAUCCUUGAAGUCCGCUGAUGAGGUGCACGCUGGUUCCAGAGGUGGAUCCCAACUGAUUUCUAUUUCAACAUAAUUUUUCAAUGUUAGAUACGACCAAACAAAUAGCCACCGAUCAGGAUAAAAAAAGGAAAAACCAAUGCGAUCAGCCACUGUGAAAUCCCAUGAUCAGGCAUGACGAAAAAGAAUUCUAUGAUCAAACACGUACAAUGUUUUUUUUUUCCGUAAACUCUCUUCAAGAAGAUCAUAAAUUGAAAGUUCCAUUAAAGUUCAAUUUUGUUCUGAUACCAUGUUGAACUACCAAUUUUCCUAUAAAUUUAAGUUUAUAAGAUUUGGACUCAAUAUGCAUAUUAUGCUCCUCAGAGUAUCUCAUCUGAUAUGGUAAAAUCUGGUCCAAGAGAUAGUUUUUGCUUUUCAAUUGUCAUCAAUUUGGUAUUUACUCUCAAACCAAAAAUGACACCGUGAAUUACUCUAAAUCUCAAUCUAACCCACAUAAAUUAGAGAAAACCAUCGUAGCAGGAACCAAACUGAGGGGUCUAAAUUGAAGCUUCUCAGUGAGCGGAUAGUCUGUGUCACUGCUUCAACUUGAAAGGGUAAUGCAUUUGUUUUCUACAUUUUGUUAUAGUUGGUUUGAUUAAGUCCUUUGAGGUCUGUCCAUUCCUUCUCGUGGUCCCAUAGUAUUUGCUUGUCUUUUCCUCACUGGGGAAAGAACAUUAACACGGUUUGGUGUGGGAACUGACCUUUCCUUUAGUAUGCGCGCACUAUAAUUUUUCUUCCCAAUAAUCUGGAAAACAUUCAAGAAGACCUCAUGUGAGAACCAUUAUUGGUGACUAUUGAAAUAAAGCCACUCAAUUUGUCCUAUAAAAAACAUAUCCUCACUAUCGUAUAGGAGGUGCAAUACAAACAGCGAGAUUGAAAAUUUCGAGAUACACAUACAACUGAUUAUAGAGAGACGAACCAAAAUAGAACAUCAGAUGGAUACAUGAAGAUGCUAAAAAAUCUUCAUAAAUAAUUGAAAAUUUUGGUUCCACCAUUUCCGAAAUCAAAGGAGGUUUCUUGAUACAAAAAUUGGUUUUAGGGUUUAGGGAGGGUAAGGGGUGAUGAAAACUUUAAACCACAUAGGAUCACAUGUAGACAUUAAAACAUACAGUAAAAUGGGAAUUAAUGAAAUGUUUACCUUGAUUAAUCCCAUGGAAAGCCAUUUCCGUGCUCCACUGGUGUCCAAGAAUAUGCUUAGUUUGUGAUGGUGUGAAAAUCCGGAUUUAAUGAGCUCUUCCUUUUCUACACCCAAGAUCCAGUCCGUGUGUUCUCUUAAGAGUGCAUGCAGUGUGUGCCCUUUUUCAGCCCUUAAGAAAAACAGAAACCUUCAUUUGCACUUAUGUAUAUAUACAAAUAAAUAUAUUCAUAUAUACCACACAUUACACAUAUUAUUUGGAUCACUUGACUUAAUGGGUCAAUCAAGUGAAUUAGGGUGAACCCAUGAAAAAUCAAGUAACAAUAUGUGUUUAGCCCUAUUAUGGACCACAAUAUAAAAAAUAAAAUAACAUUAAUUUAUGACAUUAUCACAUUGAUUAUGUAAGUCCACAUAUAAAAAUUUCAACAAUUCUCCCACUUGGACUACAUAAUCAAACAUCACAACGUAUACAUAAUCAUGAAUCAAUGUCCCAUAGAAUUUCAUCAAAACAAAUAAUCAAAAGCAAUCAUAUAUGUUUCAUUACUUGAUUCACAGGGAAAUAUACAAUAGUAACAAUCCUUUCAACAAUAGCAUAAUAUUACAAUACCAAAAACGGUUUCCACUAACUUAAUGCAACCUAGGCUCCUAACAACCCCGUUUGAGAUACAUGUUCAUGAAACACAACUAUGGGUAAGCCUUUUGUUAAUGGAUCCGCCAACAUACCUUUUGUUGACAUAUGCUCAAUACCUUUUGAGAUGGAAAUGCUUAAGCUAGUGAAAAUCUACAUCAAGAGGCUUUUUGGGAGGACAAAUGUAAAAUACAUCUAAGCAUCAUUAACCUUCAUGAUUCUACUAUGCAUCAUGGGAUGAAUUCUCAAUCAUAUAUAGGUGAGUAUCACAUAUAUAUAGGUUUAACACACAAUGCUAACAUAAUGAGGUGGAUAAAUAUGCAUGUCAAAUUGAUCAUAGUGGAAAAAUUGUUAGCUAGAAACUAAAAAAUCCGAUUCCUAAGUGCUUCUUGUUUUUUGUUUUUAAAAACAAAAAAUGAUAAUAAUUUCUACAUAAAAUGUAAAAAUUAUCUUAAAAAAUUAAUAACGUUCAGCUUAGAAAAUUUUAAGAUAUUAUGUGAAACAAAUUUAUCAUCUUAACAUUUAAAAGUAAUUUUUAAAGAUAUAAAAUAAGUUCAUAUUAUUUAUAUAGAAACUAUUUUAUAAUUUACAUAGAAAUUGCUAUUAUAUAUAUAUAUUUUGAAUUGGGUUAUUUCACACUAUUGGAGCAUAGUUUACCUGAGGUGAUUAAGGAUGUGAAAAGGUAUAGUUUUUUUAGGAUAGUUGUGAUAAUUUAUAAUUGAAGUAUUUUUAAUUUUUUUAAUACUUAAAAAUUAAAAAUUUUCAAGGAAAACUCUUUCUAGAGUCAGUACCAAACACACUUUAAAUAUGUGAUCAAAAGAAAUAUGACAUCAAGAUAGGUUAAUAAUUAAAAAAAUAAAAUAAUUCAACAUAUUUAUUGAAUUCACAUUCAAGAAAAGGUCACCUGUGACACAGGUGCAUGGCUGUCCAUUUAUUCCUAAUUGCCUUAGACAAACAUCGGAUUUUUUAUAAUUGUACAGUGAAUUUAAAAUUAAUUUUUUAAAAUAUAAUAUAGUGAAAAAUAUUUUCAAAUCUACGGCACUUAUUGCCAUUUUGAAAGAUAUCUCUUGAAAAGAUACCUUUUAUCAUUUUUAUAUCAAUGAUACACGUUAAAAAAAUGAAUUUACAUUGAAGCGACACCUUUCAUAAUUUUUAUAUUAAUAACACAUAUUAAAAAAAAUUUGUCAUAAUUUUUAUAUUAAUAACACAUAUUAAAAAAAAUUUGAAUUUACAUUAAAAGUGUCUUUUCAAGAGACACCUUUUACAAUUCUACAAAAUCAAAUUUAUAUUAAAAGUGUCUUUUAAAGAGACACUUUUCACAAUUUUCAUAUCAGUUGCAUAGUAAAAAAAUUGAAUUUAUACUAAAGAUGCAUUCUUAAGACACACUUUCUAUAAUUUUACAAAAUCAAAUUUAUAUUAAAAGUGUCUUUUAAAGAGACACUUUUCACAAUUUUCAUAUCAAUUGCAUAGUAAAAAAUUGAAUUUAUACUAAAGAUGUAUUCUUAAGACACACUUUCUAUAAUUUUACAAAAUUAAAUUUAUAUUAAAGGUGGUUCUUGAAGAGACACCUUAAAUAAUUCUUGUAUCAGUCAUUCAUUGAAAUAAUUGAAUUUAUAUUAAAAAUGUAUUUUUUUUUCAUUGUGUGACUAAUAUGAAAAUUAUCGAAGAUGUCUCUUCAAGAGAUACCUUUAGCAUAAAUUUGAUUUUAUGGUAUUAUGGAAAAAAUAUUUCUUUAGUAUAAAUUCAAUUUUUUUUUAACGUGUAUGACUAAUAAAAAAAUUGUGGAAAAGUGUCUUUUGAAGAUACAUUUUUAGUGUAAAUUUAAUUUUUUUUUUAACAUGUAUGGUUGAUAAUAGAAGGUGUUUUUUCAGGAAACACUUUUUAAAGUGAUAAAAAGUGCCGUGUAUUUGAAAAAAUAUUUUUAUAACUAUCAUAUUUUAAGAAUUUUUUUUCAAAAUUAUCAUUUUUCAAGAAUUAUUUUUUUAAAAUAACCGUAUAAGUUAAAAAGCCCGACAAACAUCCCCUUACUCUUGAGUCAUUUUGUUUGUUUGUUUGUUUUUUUUUUGUUUUUUUUUAUUUUUUGUGAUUGCAUGUUGAAAAUUUGAUUUUAACACGAGUCCACUAGGAGUUCAGGACAGCUAUUAAUUAAUGGGGGCAGUUCUUAACCUCUUCAUGGCCUGCCUACUAAUUUUGGUGGGUUGCUCACUGGUGACGUCUGACUUAAAACAAGUCCAUCACCCAACUUACCAUUCAUGGACAAAUAAAAUAUUAGUAAUGUGCCAAUCAUCUUAUAUAUGUAGUAACAUUUUCAAAAUUUUAAUCUAAACCUUGAUGUAAAUGAUUAAAUUUAAAUAAAUUAAUUAAAAUAUAUAUUUAAAUUAAUUAUUAUUUUUUUUCACCUGCAGUUGGAGGCCGGUGGAGUGGUGAAAUCUUGGAAAUGGACGCCAACCAUGCAGCAAAUAAAGUGACCCAAAGUCCAAGACCACGUUUAGAGCAUUUGACCCUUUUUACUUGUUUUCAACGGCUUCUAGUCUUGAAGUUAAAAUCCGCGGUUUCAUAAACGGUAUUCUGAAUUUUUCUCUCUUGCUUUCUGUUUUUCACAUUUUCCAGGAAAUGAGACCUGUUUGUUUGGCUAUCAGCAAUGAGUUUCUAACAUGGCAUAUGGGUUUUGGGUUUUUCAGUUGAGGGAAGCCUAUCAUAGCAUUUAAAAAUGGAUCCCCACAGUGGCCAACACCAUUGGAUUAUAGUUCAUCAUGGUUCUUAUUCAUAAUCUUUAUUAAAUAGAUCAAACCCAAAUACGAUAUAAUAAUCAGGUUAGAAAAACAUAGAUUCAUCUAAUUAUUUAAUAGACAAUAAGUCGUAAAUUCAUUUAAUUAAUCAAUAAUCAUACAGAAUUAAAUUUUAUACAAAUCUACAUGAUUAAUUUCUUAAUCUAAUAUGUUUAUAAUUCAAUUAAUUAAUUUAUUUAAAAUCAAAUUUUAAAUAAAUCAAAUAUAAGUUAAAUGAGUUAGAGUUAGUCAUAUUAAUCAGUACCAUUAUCAAGUUGUUCAAUUAGGAUCAAAAUUGUGUUUUACAAAUUUACUUGAAAAUAACUUAUUUAUUAAAUGAGUUAAACAUAUUGACAUAAAUUUAACCUUUAAACCCAUAAAAAAUAAAUUGAAUUCCAGUCGUGUUAAUGAAUUAUAUUAAAUUUUUGACACUCGUAGUCUAUGUAAAGAAAAGAUGUUGUAUCUUGCCCUUAGCUAAGCUUAGAGCAUCCAACAAGUGACUAUAAGGGUCCAUAUCUUAGGCUAAAUUGAAUGAAACCAUUAUAUCAUACAAAACCCCCUAUGAUAAUGAUGCUGCAAACGCCAAAUUUGACUUCCCAAAGCUGUAUAAUAAUGUAUUUGUUGUCUGUUGUGUGGAAGUAAGAUACAGCUUAGUGACAAGCAUGUAUGGGGCGUGGAAUCUAGUGAGAAUCCAUUGGAUAGGAGUAUGGAAUGUCGGCCAUGAGCAUGAUCUAGCCAUCCACAUUUCUCGGUGUCAGAAGGGUCAGUACUAGUUUUUGGAUUCACCCAUGUAUGACAUUUGAAAUUCAGCUUAAAAGUUGGAUCAACCCACCUGAGCACCUAACCUUAUAGAAUAGUUACAAUGAAAAAAUAUAGAUAUAUGACAUGGAAAAACUUGAGUCUUCAUUGAUUUCCUUUUCAGAUUGAAAACUAUUAGACAAAUUGAUUGUUUUUUAUUCUUCAAUUGUCAUGAAAUUGGUAUCCACAAAACUAAAGAAACACCCUAAAACUAGUCCAAAAUCUUAUCUAACCCACAUAAAUUACAGAAAAUUAUCUUUAACAACAACCAAAUUACAGAAAAUUUUGAGACACAUGUUAUAGAUGAAUCUUGGUUAUGGAUUAUAGUUAGAGGGGGUAAAUAGGUUUUUUUUUUCCAACUUAGAGAUGGUUCCCAAAGAAGGCUGUCAUUCCCUUCAAUUUUUCCCCUAAAUUUCGUUUUAAUAUUUUGAGCAUAAAAUCAGAAAACAUAUGCAAGAAUAGAUACACCGAUAUAUUGUCCCUAUAAUAUAAACAAUGUCCAUCAUUAUGAAUCAAGAGUGUACACACAAACACUUUGAUGUUGGAUUUGAUGGGAAAACAAAAUCACAACAGUUCACAAGGUAUAAACAACUCACCACCCAAAUCACAAACACAAAGGGAUACAUAAAAUACCACCCUAAGGAAAACAAUAAGGGAUAUGAAAUUAACUCUAAGAGAUACAGAGUAUAAAAAGGAAAUCAAAAUCUGUUAAGACAAUUUGUCUUCAAAACGUGUUGAAUAUCCCUCUGAACCAACUAGCCAAUUUACUCCAAAUCCAAUGAUUCCAAAUGGAUAUGACAGCUAAGACAAUAAACUUUCCAUUGACAUAUGGCUGACAUUAAUUUAGCACCAUUUGUUCCCAGUAAAUUUUCAAAGUUGUCUCUAGUUUCAAAAUUCUCACUCAUGCUACUAGAGUAAGAAUUUGCAACUCUUUCAACUUAUUUUCAAAGUCUACGUGUUGGGACCCUCCCAUGUCACAGUCUCCCAAUAUUAAUUUAAAUAUAGAUUCAUAUUAAUUAGUCUAUGAAUGAUUUGUUUAUCCUCUUGCAAAAUAGUUAAUUUGAUUAAUGAUGAUCUUAAAAGCUUUUAAGUUAUAAACAUAUCUUUGGAUGAUUAAUGAACAUGAUUAUGUGUUCUUUACAAUUUUGAUUUGCUCAUAUAAGCUAAUAACAUGUCUUUUAAGUGACUUGAAAAGCUUGAAGAAGGGCCUUGUGAUUUCAUAAAAGCUUAGUAAUGAUCCUCAAAGUUCAAAUCCAAAUGAAAAGGAUGUUGUUAAAGAGCAUGGUAUAUAUUGUGAACUCAAAUUCUACAAGUUAAACUUUUCGAAAAAUUGGUAAUUGAGUAGAGCUUGGUUUGACGGGAUGUCAUGUGUUCAAGAGUCGCUUCUCCCCAAUUUGCAUAUUUAUUUCCUCCUAGGCUGCCAAUGAUCUCAUUCUUGGAGCAUGUGUUCCUGCUUUGGUAGAAGAAGCAGCAGCCCUACUAUAGAACAGUGGAAGAAGCAUUGGAACCUUUGUCCCUUCUUCAAGGUCUUUAGAUUUUUUCAAUUUGUUUUCUUUUCAAUUCUCAUGCAUACAUCUAAUUUUCCACUUCCAUAAUAUUUCAACCUCUGGAUGUGAAAUAGUAUUUGUAGAUCAAUCAAUAGUAUUCCAACGUAAUAUGUCACUAUAAAAUAAUCCAAUAUUUCAACCUCUAUAGCUGAAAUAGUAUAUGCAGAUCAAUCAAAAGCACCCCACCAUGUAUAUUCAGCCAAUGUAAUCGCUACCACCAACAAAACUAAUUAUUGGCUUCAUUUUAAGAAUGUUAUAGCUAAUAAAUCCCUACUUUCCUUACCAUCAAUUACUCAAUAGAAAUCAUGCUUCAAUUUAUUCCUAAUUCCAACAGUAAAUCACUGGUAAUAGAAGGCAUAAAAUACAUAUAUAGGGUCAUUUCUUUGAGUGACUUUACUCAAAAGGAUGGUCUUGAUUACAACUAGCAAAUUCUGCUUAUAAGAAGACCCUAUACAAAACUCACAUGGCUAUGAUCAUUACUGUCGGUGAGUCACUAUCACACAGAAUUCAUAUCAGUUUCGUUUACAAAUUGUUCUUAGGAAGAACAUAUUCCAACUGGGGGAGAAUACAAGUAGAGGUUCCAAGCUACAGACCAAGAAGGUAUGCACCAACAGAUACCUAGCUAGGAUUGAUUCUUCCAGUAACGGUUGGUUAUCAGUAUAUAAAAAUGUGAGCAGGCAGCUAAGUUGGAACCUUAUAGACACCGUUAGUCUCCCUAGCAUAUGAUAAAGAAUCUUUAAGGCCAUUAAGUCAAACAGUUCACACUUACUAACUAGGUUUUUCUCUUUGUCAUGACUUUUUGUUUUUUCUUAUGCUCCUUUGGUUAUGAGACCAAGCCCUUCAGUAACUGCUGCUGUUGUUAUUGUAGCUGGUGAGCAAGAGCACAUUGACCUGGAAGCAACAUUGAAGUUACGGUUGAAAACAUCCCAUAAGUGUUUUCUAGUAUUAAGUGAGGUCUAAGGAGCAUGGGCCAUUGGUCCUAGGUUUUAUUUUGGGCUAUUUGCCUUGUUCUAUUUAGUGUGUUGCUGGGCUAUGAGUUUUGGGCUUACUUCAUUGUUUAAUAUUUGGUAUGAUACAAGCUUUGUUAUGAGUUGAAUAUUUUGGUAAGAUAUUUGCUUAUAGUAUUUUGAUAUAUUAUUAUUAUUAUUUAUCUUUAAAUUGUGGUUGCAUCUAUAUCAUUUGUAACAUGUCUUGUACUGAUUUUCUGCAAUUAAUGUUUGAACCCCAAAACAACGAAGGGGUCACUGAGGCUUGGGAAACCCUUUCAGCCAAGCAGGUUCAGGCAGUGUUGCCGGCCGAUGGGCCAAAUUUGCACCCCUAGAUAUUUCCCAUUGUUAGUGCUCCCACUAGAGUAAAGAGGCCUAUAUCAAAUAUUUCAUAAGCAUGCCAAAGUUUCUCUGCCAUCCCUAAUGAAAUUGCCGGACCGCCUAAUUUAUCAUCACAAAAAGUUCACAUUUAAUGGCGAAGAAGUAAUACCUUCCAGUAAAAUUCGCUCUGUAGAACAAGAAUAUUCUCAACAUUGAUAAAUAGAGAGUACCGAGAGUAGUUGUGGAGAUUACCUCCUCCUUUAUCUGCCGUCUACACUGACUGUUAACUCAUUGGUACAUGUCUCUGGUUUACUAGAUGAAGAAGCUGUGCUGAAAACCCCUCUUCUCACAGUAAAAGCUGGUUGUUUAGGAGUUGGAAGAGUUGCAGUUUCACUGCCAAGCAAGAAAACUACAUUCGACAUGACAGGACGAUCGCUCGGGUCUUCUUGAACACAGAGGAGCCCAACAUUUACACAUCUCAAAAAUUCAGCGACAUCACAUGUUUCAUGCAGUGACUGAUCCAUCAAGUCCAAUGCCUUGUUCUCUUGCCACAAUCUCCAUGCCUAACCCACCAUAGAAAAUCAGUAGUAUGAGGCAGGGAGGGACCAAAAAGUAUUGAUUGGUUUGAGAAAUUUGAAGUGCUUACAUAACCCAGAAGGCUUAAAGCUUGUUGAGACUGAUAAAAUCCAGUGUUCCUUUUCCCGCUGAUGAUCUCGAGUACAACAACACCGAAGCUGAAAACAUCGGAUUUAAUGGAAAAGAAGCCAUCUAGUGCAUACUCUGGAGACAUAUAGCCACUGCAUUUCACCAACCGUUACAAUAGUUAGUUUAUUAGGCAUGCAACUUCUUUUUGAAACACAGACGGGGGCUUGAAAUUAUGCUAUCUUACUAAGUUCCAACUACUCUGUUUGUGCUUGCUUCAGUUUGUUUGCCCCCAAAAAUCCUUGCCAAGCCAAAGUCCGAAAUUUUGGGAUUCAUCUCCUCAUCCAGCAGAAUGUUGCUUGUUUUCAGGUCUCUGUGAAUGAUCCUCAGCCUAGAAUCUUGGUGAAGAUAAAGAAGCCCACGAGCUAUCCCCAAAAUGAUGUCGAAGCGUUUCUCCCAGUUCAAUAAGAAGCGAAGCGUUCGGUCUGGUAAGAUCAUCAUUUUCCAUUAAAAAAAACACAAUUUUAGAGACCGUUCAGUUCUGCCUAUUUAUAUAUGAAGGAUUCAGGUUUAGAAGCCGACCAAAUAUGAAGGAGUCUAAGCUUUUAUUUGGCAUAUACUCGUAGAGUAAUAUCUUUUCAUCUUCUUCAACACAAUAGCCCAAAAGUCUGACAAGAUUUCGAUGCUGAAGUUUGGCAAUCAGCACAACCUCAUUCUUGAACUCUUCUAGUCCUUGUCCUGAAACACUUGAGAGCCUCUUCACAGCAAUGUCUUGUCCUCCUGGAAAGCUCCCCUGAGUAGAUUUUCAUUGGUGUAGUUCACCCAUUAGCCUGAACUUGUUGAAAUGAAAAUAUAAGAAAGGAUUAUUACCUUGUAUACUGGGCCAAAACCUCCUUGCCCUAGCUUAUUUGCAUCUGACAAAUUAUUUGUAGCAGCUAGUAUACUUCCCAGAUCAAAAAAUGGUACAUCUAUGCCUUCCCUGUCAUCUUCUGUGAACUGGCCCCAGCCAAUCAAGUCUUUGACGCGUCUCUCACUGUGAUACAGAUGAAGCACUGGAUUUCCUUGAAUACUUCCCCUGUGUUCUGAAAUUCAAGAACAAUUACAAAUUUCAAUUGAAUCCUAAGUUAUACAGAACAUCACAUGUAAUAGUACAAAUUUAUCCGACUCUGCAUACUAGUUACCUUGCAUCUCUGACACCCUUCUUCUCCUCAAAUAAUAUAUAAAGACAGUGAAGCAUGAGAUAACAAUCACAGCUACAACACUCCCAAUGAAGAUCACAUAUGGCUGCUGCUUUCUCUGUGAAGGACCUGCUUCUAAAAUAAAGCGAAAUAGCCAAUCGGAUGAGGAACUACGGUAUGUAAUUUGAUAAUCAGUAUGCAAUAUACCGGUUUUAUAAUAAGACAAGAUAUUUCCAGAGAGCAUUCUUAUAAUUCAAGGAGGAACUGAGUUGUAUUGAUAGUAUUCUAACCUACUGGAAAGCAACUGACAUUUGUGGGAUCCCACUGAUAGUUUAUUUUGCAAUGACACCUUUUCUGUCCAUCUCCUGUUGUAUUGCAAUUUGAAUGAGCCCAGUACUUGCAGUCUUCAGUAGAAUUACAGAUUGGUUCCAAUGGAGGUCUCCACUCAAUCUGUAUUUCGCGUAACCAUUCAGCAUCAGAAAAUGGAUACAAACUAGAAGUACUCUUCUCUGCCGUGCACCCACUUUUCACCAAAAAUGGUGAGUCCUGGUUGAACUCCAGAAGUUUCUUCAUGGCAUCGCUACUUGCUAUACAAUUAUCUUCACCAAGUUGAAUGGAAAAUUCUUUUGCUUCUGGCCUGAUGCUAGUGACUUGGUAAUAUGUGUUAUUCGGUCUCAUAAAAAUAACUUGGCCUGUGGAGUUUUCACAGUAGAAACUCAAGUACUUGGGAUCACCGCAGUCAGUUCCGGUGCUUAGCGGAUAUGGGAUAAUAUUAGUUCCACAAAUCUUACAAUUUCUUCCCAUCGGUUCUGCAUGAGAAGUACGUUAACCAAAUCACACAGCAAAUAUAAGGAAAAGAAAACAGAUUUUUAACAUGGUUGUCAAUGUGAUCUCUGCCUUCACAAAUCCUACCAGCACUCAAGAAUUCACUAAUCAAAUAAAAAAGAAUGGUUACAAUGGUGAUGACUCUCAGUCCCCUCUCACUUGUAGCCGAUACUUUAAUUUUUCCUCUCUGAAACAAAAUCCUAAAUUUUAAAUUACAUUAGGGUCAAACUCGUUACAUAAUAAAUAAAUAAAAAAUUUAGAGGCAGUGCUCCCUUAAACCCCUAAGAACUAACUGGACAACACAAUUCCUGCAAACUCAAUAGGGAACCCAACAUCUCUAACAUCCCUUGUGAAACAUAACAAAAUUGAUUCAAGCUUUACAAUCUAACAUAAUAGACUACAAAAAUAUCAAAAUAUGUCUACCCUCCGGUUUCCCAUAUGGGUACUCCUUUGGCAAAAGUGAAGUAAAAUGAAAAUGAAUGCAUGCAUAUAUACUUGAGUGUUGCAUUUACAACACACUGAAAGAGAAGUUUACCUAUAUCAGAAACUGCCACACGCACAUAGAGAUCAUGGCCGCCAUCCAAAUACGCCUCCUGAAUGUCAUUAAGAUUUUCCUCCCAAAUCAUACAGAUGGCAGUGUCUGCACGAGUCUCGGCUUCAACAUAGGCAUAAGCCUGGCAGUUGUUACAGUCUCUGUUGCAGUAAUUUUCGCAUUCUUUUUCAUUUGUAGUGUUGAACUGUGUGUCUGAUUUUUUCACUCUCAUCAUCUCUAGCCUCAAAAAAGUGUCAUUCUUGCUGCACAGGGGUGAAAUUCUUCUACAGCCCCCCGAAAAAUCUCCACCAUUCCACUUUGCUGGAAAAUUUGGUUGGAAUCCUGGCAAACACCUGCACAAAAUCCUAUUUCUAGUACUGCAGCUGGCAAAACUCCCACAGGGAUUAUUCCCAUCGCAACUGUUUUUUGGUUCCUUCAAAAGCGAAUACCAAGAGCCCGUCUGAUUACGGAACUGUAGAUACUCUAUCUGGCCGGAAAAUUUCAUCACCAACCUCCUAUAAUAAAAAGAGGUUGUUGGUUGGCUACUAUUAAUGCUGGAAUUUGAUAACAUUUUGGAUAAUUCAGAAUACAUCUUAUGGUCCCAACCGGAUGUAAUGAAAUCAUCUGAUAUCCCACUCUUCCAGUAUGUAUUAGGCCCAUUCUGGAUGAUGUACAGGUUCUGUGCUACUUGAUCUUUCCUGAAAGUGAAGUUCCCCGAACCCGGGUCACUGCUGCUUUUCCAUGAAGUCAACACCAAGUUGCCAUCCAUCUUCAUACCUGGAAGAAAAGUAUCAGUUGCGUUUCCAAAGCUUUGCCACAGACUUGUUUGCAGCUGAUCAUUCUUCAGAACCAGGUUCCCGGAAUCUAUGAGCUGCGCUACCUUUUCUGUAGAUGACGAUUUCUGGAGAGGGGUUGACCAGAAAGGUCUCCCUCUUCCAUUCGAAUUCAACACGAGGUUACCAUCUUGAAUGGACAAAACUCCAGUGGAAUCAGGCAGUGGGUCGUUUCUAUUGGCUACCCACACAACGGUUUUCGGCUCCAACCUGUAAUACCAUAUACCAACAUAUCUUUGGUGACUAGAGCUCCCAUUAGGGGUGAAGAACCCCAAUUCAAAUGUCUUACCAGCAGACAAGAGAGUUUCUCCAUCACCAUCACUGAUCGGAUCAUUCUGCCUUAUGGUAUCUCUUGCUGCACAUGUUUGAUAACAACACAACAAUAUUGGGUACAAGAUGAAGAUGGUAGAUACCAUGUGAAUUGUUGUUGACCAUGUAAUUGCAAUUCUUCUUCUAUUGAUUACCAUUAGGUAGUUAAGACUUCCCUUCUUCACUUGGAGCUGUGGUAGAGGCUGCUGCUGAAUUAAUCCCCAAUGUUUUCUAUCAACAACCAUGUCUGGUGUUGUUCCUAAUUCACAAAAAAAAUGGCCUAUCUCAUUGAUUGGGUCAACCAAUUCAAACAUUGAUCUGGUUAAAUUUUGUUAACUCAUUAUUACAACAUAGUACAUGACUUUGUUUGAGAAGUGUUUUAAAUUUUAAAAUUUGGCAUUUCUUAAAAUCCUAACUAAACACACAAUCAUAGUUUAAAAUUUUAUUGAAUGCCUCUAAUACUUUAAAUCAAGUGAAACAUGAAUGAAAUUAACAAAUAAGAAGAAUAGGAAAUAUAGUUUCACACUUGAGUAACAACUGAUAUAUAGAGAAGUGACCACAAGCUGGAGAGUCUUGACCAAUUUGAAAAAUCAUUUGAUGUAGUUGAAAUAACCGAAUUUUGGAUAAAAUUCAUAAUUGUCCCAACAUUAUUUUUUUCCCUUUUUAUUUUUAUUGUUUGAAUAUUUUGGAGCUAAAACCAUUCCAAUGCUCCUUUUUGCCAUGUAUAUAAUUAAACUUAACCAACAAUUAGGAUAAACAUGAAAAAGAAGGAACCGAGAAGAAGGUAUCAACAAUAUUAACCGGUUUUAUUAUGGGACAACUCAUGAUGUUCAUAUUGAUCUAUUAUGUGCCUCUGCAUAUACCAUUAGGUAGACUCAUGCUGUCCUAGCUCUACUAUAUCUUUUAUUUCAUUUCAAUCUUUUGAAACAAUCACAAACACCCUUUUUUAUUAUUAUUAUUAUGAAUCAAAUGGGAUAUAAAUGAAAUUAACAAAUGAGAAGAAUGAAAAAGGUAAUUAACAAAAUUUCAAGGUCAUUGUUGCUAAAUAUUUUUUAAAUAAAAAUUGCCAAAGAAAUGAGUCUUUAAAAGUGUACCUUUAUUUAAAAAUAAAUAAAGGUAAAUUAAAGUACUGACUUAGUACAUAAAUAUCAACACGAAUCCAAUCCAACACUUUUUUUUGUGGGUUUUGGUUGAAUAUAAUUCUAUUUAUAUCACAUUUGUAUCAACUUGUGUAAUAUGUUAUACUAAUAGGUUAUUUUUAAAUCAACCUACAAGAAUACGAAUUUGGCUCAAGUUAACCUUUAUAUUUAAUAAUCAUACCAAUUAACCUAAUUAUAACUUUAAACUAUUUAAUUAAUAUUUUAUUCAUUUUAAAUUUAUUUUUGAACAAAUAGUUAAUUAAAUUAUAACUAUAUUAAGUUGUAAGAUUAAUUAUAUAGACUUAUACAAAAUUUAACUCAAUUUGAUUAUUAAAUAAAUUAUAAAACAUGUUAUCUGUUUAAUAAUUACAUUGUAUUUAAUUAGGUUUAUGCUUUUUACUUGAUUAUUAUUAUUAUUAUGAUUGAGUUAACCUAUUUAAUUAGUAGAAUGUUUUAGUCUUGAUAUCACACAAAUUGUCAUCUCUAUCUCUAACCUUGUCAAACAAAUAGUUUGAAGGACAUUUUUUUGACUAAAGAAAAUUAUUACCUUACAUAGAGUUUUAUUAAAAAAAAAAAAAUAGCCAAAUAAAAAAAUAUAUAAUUAAAAAUAAUUAGAAAUUUAUGAUUUUCAAAUUAUUUCAUAAAUUUAAAUAAGUGAAAUGGUUUUAAAUUAACUUACAAAAAUAAGUUAUCAACUUUAAUUUAUUUUUUUUCUUUCUAAUUUUCUUCUUUAUUUUUUUCCCUCACAUUUUUUUUCAUAGUUUUAGGAAACCAAACAUAACCUAAUUAAGAUCCUACUAUCAUGUAUUUUUAUUCCCAAAAUUUUUUGGGUUUAACCUUUUUCUAAACUUAUUCCAUAUUUAUUGGACUCACAUUCAAAAAGGGCGUCUAUAACACAAGAUAUUAAGUGUGCUUGCUCAACAUGUAGUCUUCAUUGAUUUUCUUUUCGAUUUAAAACUUAUAGACAAGUCAGAUAGUUUUUGCCUUUCCAAUUGUCAUCAAAUUGAUAUUCACAAAACCAAAGAAACACCCUAAAACUAGUUCAAAAUCUUAUCUAACCCACAUAAAUUACAGAAAAUUAUCUUCACAGAAACCAAAGUCAUCCUAAGUCUUUGCACAAAAUCCUAUCCAAAGAGAUCUUUUAGAAAUCUUAUUGGAAGAGAAUUUAAAACGAGAGUGGUGUCAAAAGCACACGAACAAAUAAAACUGGACCAAGAAAUGAAGCCUCUCGAUGAGUUGAUAAACAUCAUUGUCAAUGCUUCUACUUGAUCGAGAAAUACAUUAGAUUUCCACACUUUUGAAUAGUUGCCUUGAGUGACUCCAAUUAUUGGAAGCCAAGGUCAAGGUCGUCAAAGUUUGCCCAUUCUUUCCCUUGGUCCCACAGUAUUUGCUUCCCCCUUUCCUCAUGGUUUGGGAAAAAGACAUUCACACGGUUUGGUGUAGGAACCACCCUUUCUUUUGCUAUCCAUGAUUAUUUUUCUUCCCAAUAAUAAGGAAAACAUUCAUCAAGGCCCCAUGUGAGAACUAUUAUUGAUGACUGUAGGAAUAGAGCUAUUCAAUUUUUCCCAUAAACAGAACAUCGGAUGGAUACUGAUAACAAAAAGAAUUAUAUUAAAAUGAAAUUUGUCUUGUAAAUAGAAUUUCCUAUUUAUUUCAAUAGAAGUAUGUGGAAGGAUAUUGUGGUUAAUUUAUUUAUUUAUUUAUUUUCAUUUCUAUUAUUAUUAAAUAUUGAAAUAAAAACAAAAUUCUUAUUCCAAAUUUAUAUUGCUAGGUGCAUACAAAUAUAGGAAUUGAAGCACAAAUUCACUCCUAUUAUAAGAGGAAUAAGAACAUUGAUUUUCAUUCCCCACUAUCAAGUACCGAACAUGGCCUAAAACGUAAGGGUUCAUGGGAGAUCCUCCUCGCCUAUCGACCUUCUUCUAUGGUGGCUAGGAUUUCACUAUUCAAGGAUGCUUCUGGUUUGCUUGAAGACGAAGCUGAGCUGGAAAGGUCUCUCCUUACGACAAAAGCUGGUUGUUUAGGAACUGGGAGUGUGGCAGUGUCACUGCUGAGCAUUACAACUGCAACUGCCAUGGUGGGACGGUCACUUGGGUCUUCUUGCACACACAACAGCCCAACAUUCACGCACCUCAGAAAUUCAUUUGUGUUGCAUGUUUGACUUAGUGUCUGGUCCAUCAACUCCAACACCCUGUCUUCCUUCCACAGCUUCCAUGCCUGGGAAAGUUUGGACGUACAAGGGUUUCAUGGCAUAUAUAUAGAAUGUCCAAAGGAUCAAUGCAAAUGAGAAAUUCAAAGCACUUACAUGGGCUAGAAGGCUCAGAUUCAGGUCAGACUGAUAAGAUCUGGUGUUCCUCUUCCCACUGAUGAUCUCAAGUACCACAACACCAAAGCUAAAGACAUCAGACUUUUCUGAGAAAAACCCAUCCAAUGCAUACUCUGGAGACAUAUAGCCACUGCAUUGAACCAUUUAAAAACACUACUCAGUUAAUUGGGGAUGCAAUCAUGCAACUACUUGCUUUUUACCAUACACAAUGUGCAGUACUUACUAAGUUCCAACUACUCUGUUUGUGCUUGCUUCUACUUGCUUACUCUCAAAAAUCCUUGCCAAGCCAAAGUCUGAAAUUUUGGGAUUCAUCUCGUCAUCAAGUAGAAUGUUGCUUGUUUUCAAGUCUCUAUGGAUAAUCUUCAAUCUUGAAUCUUGGUGAAGAUAAAGUAGCCCUCGAGCAAUUCCCAAAAUGAUAUCAAAUCGCUUCUCCCAGUUCAGUAACAGGCAUAGAGUUUGAUCUUGCAAUGUUCCCAUUGGAAAGCACGACUUCAGACAUGUAUACGUUGUAAUAUGGGAGAAAAAAAAAAGGAACUUUUAGGCAGGUUAGAGGCAAACCAAAUAUGAAGGAGUCUAAGCUUUUGUUGGGCAUGUAUUCAUAGAGUAAAAUCUUCUCAUCUCCUUCAAUACAAUAGCCCAAAAGUCUAACCAAAUUUCGAUGCUGAAGUUUGGCAAUUAACACAACCUCGUUCUUAAAUUCCUGUAAGCCUUGUCCCGAAGCUCUUGAGAGUCUCUUUACUGCAAUUUCUCGCCCUUCAGGAAACUUUCCCUAGAUGCCAUAGCGCAUGGUAUUAGACAGACAAACCAGAAACCUUGAAAUGAGACUAAUGUGGAAAUUAAGGACUAUUACUUUGUAAACUGGCCCAAAGCCCCCCUGUCCAAGCUUAUUUGCAUCUGAAAAGUGAUCUGUAGCAGCCAGUAUGUCUUCUAAGUCGAAAAAUGGUAUGUCAAUGCCUUUCUUAUCAUCUUCUUUGAAUUGCUCAGAGUCUAUUAAGUCUUUCACACGGCUCUCGCUAUGAUACAAGUGAAGCCCUGGAUUUGUUCUGUUUUCUGAAUUCAGAAACAAGACUACAUUAUGAAUAAGUCCCCUAAAAAUAUUAUCAAUUCUGCCAAUCAACAUGAAACAAAAAAAGACCAGAAGUUAAACGGGGGCACAAAUAGCACAAAGAUUACCUUGCCCUUUGGAGAUGGUUCUUUUUCGAAAAUAAGCAAUACAACCAAUGAUGCAUAGAAGUGCAACUACUACAACAGCAGUUACUAUGCCUACCACAACCACCAGAGCAGAGGAUGAUGAUGAUGACUUCUGGUUUGCAGGUGUUGGAGCCUCCGCAAGAUUGCCACCAUCUGAAACAAAGAAAGACCACUCUCAUUCAUGGAGAAGGCAGCGCAUCUGCCAUUACUAAUCACUGUGUCUUUCAAUGCAAUUUAGCAAUAUGCUUGCUGAAAAUCAUCCUCACCUUGUGUACAAUUUAAACUGGAGCUGUUCCAUUUGAAGUUUUGAUUACAAAAACACCUUCUCGUUCUAUUUUGCGUUCUGCAACUCGAAUUUGGCCAGUCCUUGCAGUCUGUUGCUGAGUUACAAACCGGCUCUGGUGGUGGAUCCCAACUUAUUUCAAUUUCAUACUGACCUUUCAUAGGCAUGCUGGAGCUAGAAUUUCCUGUGUCAGCAUUGCACCAGCUAGCUAUCCUGAAAGGUGGAUUGAGCUGCAGUAUCUUCGUGUCUUGUGAAUUUCGUGCUUCGCAGUUAUCAAUAUCAUUCACUUGGAUGAGAAACUUCGAUCUCUCUGGAGUGAUGCUGGUUACUCGGUAGCUGCCAUUAGGUAAGGCGAACCAGACUUGGUCUGUGGCCUUGUCACAUCUGAAACUGAAGUACAUGGGAUCACCACAGUUUGGUCCAGUGCUUAGUGGAUAGGGGAUCAAGUUUGUGCCACAAGUUUCACAAUUUCUUACUGUUGAUUCUGCAGAAUUAGAAUGAAUUUCAUGCUUUUCCUCAUUAACAAUCAAUUAAAUUCAGAAGUAGAAGGGGGCAAGCAGAGAGGAUACCUAUAUCUGAUUUGGCGACACGGAGAGAAAGAUUAUAGCCAUCUGUGUUAUACUCCUGAAGACUACCGAGAUCUUCAGACCAAAUCCAGCACUUGGGAGGGGUGCUAGCACGGCCCCUUCGUAUCGUUCCAACUCCAGCAUAAGCUUGACAGCGACAGGUCUUAAGGCACUCUCUUCGGCAUUCACUUUCAUCCUUACCCGAAAACUCAAUGUCAUACUUUCUUACUUUAAUCAUCUUCAAGAUCAAGAAUGUGUCCCCACAGAGGGUUGUCUUUUUAGAACACCCACCUGAAAAAUCUCCGUUAGUCCAUCUCUCCAGCGAGUUAGGCUCGAAUCCAGGCAAACAUUUGCACAUAAAUGCAUUGUUAACAUUGCAAGAACCGAAAUUCCCACAAGCAUUCAACACACUGCAUCGGUCUUGCGGCGCCCACCAGAAUGCAGACCACUCCUCCGUAUAAUUAUCCCAAACUAGAUAUCUUAUUUCCCCGGUGAAAUUCAUCACCAACCGUGUAUAAGAACUGCGGACAAAUUGAGACCCAGUUGGUUUUCGGGUCUUGCCAAAAUUGGAUAAGAGCUCGGCUGCUGCAGAACUCAUUCCUUCUGAUUCCUCACUUCUCCAAUAUUUAACAAUUGAAUCUUCAAAUAUGAUAUACUGAUCUUUAUCAUCAUCUUGCUUGAAAGUAUAGCUUCCAGGUGCAGGGUCAACGGGGCUUACCCAUGAAGUCAAUGUUAAGUUUCCCUCCAUAAUCAUCCCAGGAAGAAAAGUAUCAGUUGGGUUCUUGAAACUCUCCCAAAGAAUCUUCCCAGAUCUGUUGUCCCUUAAAACAAAGUUCCCAGAAUCCAUGACCUUGGCCACCCUACCCAUGGAAGAUGAGCUUCCAAGAUUAGUAAACCAGUAAGCUGCUCCACUUUCAUUCACUAGCUUGAGGUUACCGUCAUCUGCAAUGGCAAGAGCUCCAACACUGUCUUCAGGAAGGGGGUUGUCUCUAUUGGCUACCCAUACAACUGUUCUCUCCUUCAACCCGUAGUACCAUAUGCCAAUGUAUUUUCCAUUGUUGAACCCUCCCUUGGGAAUAAAGAAGCCCAAUUCAAAAGUUUGAUUGGCUGAAACAAGAGUUCCUCUACCAUCAUCAAUAAGCAAAUUGUCUGGUGUGAUGGUAUCUCUAGCAGAGCAGCACAGGAUAGAACACAAGAAGAAAAAGAUUGCAUGUCGCAUUGAGUUGCAGAGACUGAAACCAUUAAUUUUCAUCUAGUCCUUUGCAGGAUAGAACCCAAGAAGAAAAAGAUUGCAGACAGCAUAUGAGUUGCAGAGACUGAAACCAUUAAUUUUCAUCUAGUCCUGUUGCCCACCAUUUUUUUUAAUGGUAAGAGUAUGAAAAGUUUGGUGGCACUGUUGAGUGUGGGGUUGCUGCUGCUGUAACGCACUCUCAAUAUUAUCAUAAAUAAAUAAAUAAAGAUUAUUAAAAAAAAAAAAACCUCCAUUGUAUCUAGGUUGACAUCUUAUUAUGGGAAAAGAAAGGAAAAAAAGCACUGCAGAAUUAAAUUAUAAAAAAUCCAAAAAAUUAAAAGUGAAAUGGAAAUUCUGCCCUCCCUAAAAAAUAUAAAUUUAGUUUUAAUUCUUUUUUUAAUAAAAAAAACAAUAAUGAUAAUUAAACAUUAUUAAUAAAAAAUAAUACUUACCUUUGAGUAUUAAUGAUAUAUUAAGAUUUAAUUAAAAUUUAAAAAUAUAUUUUAUGUUAAUACCUAUUUCUUCCCUUUUUAUCCUAUCUUUAUCUUUUUUUUUAGUGGAACCAUUGUUCCAAUUUAUUUUGCAUUAAUUCAAAUUAUAUGAGCUUUUUUGUUUUAUAAUAAACCCUUCAAUGAAAUUGACUUUUUAAAAUUUUGUAUUUGAUGGUUUAUAAGCUUUAAUUUAACGGUGGGUUAUCUAUAGUUUUAAUCUUAAUAUUUUAAAUUUUUAAAUUUUUAAAAUUUGUGACAUUUAAUUAAAUAAUAAAUUUUGCUUUCUUUAGUUUUUGAUGAUUUACUCUUAUUGAAUUGUUUAUAUGAAGUGAUAGCUUAUGUUUUAUUUUAAUUAUAAAGCUGAUGCACCUUAAUAAAAUAUUUUGACUAUAAAUAAUAUCGGUAAAGAUCUCUACACAUAUUGUGUAAUAUAUUUGAUGAAGACCUCUACAUAUAUUGUCUACUUUUGAGUCCAUUAGCUUUUCUAUUCCUACUUAUAACAUUGUUUACAUAUUCCAAAUAGCUAAUGGGUGGUCAUCCUCAUGUUUUCAAUUAGGAAUUAGUUUUAAUAUCACUUAACCCAACUCAUGUAACCUUAUUUUCUUUAAACCCAUUAAUCCUCGCAACUUACCCUAACAACAAAUGGGUCACCCCUUAAGUACUAAAAAUUUCUUAUUCAAAUGAUAUGAAAUAUUAUAUUCGAUCAUUUAUAUAGACACAUUGUUCUCAUCAUGACCCAUAGGGUUUAUGGAUAGUCAAAACUCUACAUAUUUUUUAUUAGGGAUUAGCACAACCUACUAGACUUCUUGAUUUUACGUAUACUAAAUGCAUCACUCUUAUAAGUAUUACAAAUUCUCGUAUGAGAAUUUGAAAAAGGGAAAAGUGGGUUUUUCCUCACUAAUUUAAAGAUAUAUAGAAAAAAAAACCUCAAAUUUUAUAAAUAAGUUUUACCUUUAUCAAUUUAAAAAUAUUUUAAAAUAUAUACACUUUUACAUAAAUCAGAUAAUUAUUUUCUAAAAUAGCACUUUACUUGAUAAUAUUAAAUAAAAUUAUCAAAAAAUAUUUAUCAUUUUAAGUUAAUAAAAGUACAUUACAAACAAAUAUAUUAUAAAUUUUUAUUAUAUAAUAUAAGGUACAAAUCAAUAUUCCUCAAGUGAUAAAUAAAUUUUUUGCUAAUUCUCUAGGUAAUAAUAAUUUUAUAUUUUAUAUUAUAUAAAUCCCUUCAUCUUCUUACCUUUUUAAAAAAAAAAAAAUUGAAUAAAAUUUUUGUUGAUUUACAUCAACAAUAAAAUAAGAAACUUUAAAAAAAAAACCUAAAAGUUAAAAAUAUAAAAAUAAAAUAUUGACUUUCACUUCGCGUACAUUGGUUAAAAAUCUAGAUAUAAAAAAAAAAUACAAUGGAAGUCAAUAUUUUAUUUUAUUUUAUUUUAAAUUUUUAAAUAUUUUGGUUUUAAUUGCCUUUAAUUUUUAAGUAUUUUAGUUUUAAUUGUAUUUUUAAAAAUUUAAAAUUCUUAUUUUAUUGUUCCUAAGGAUGUUUGUUUCUAGAGAGAGAAAAAAAAUCUUAAAUCAAGUCUCACAGUUAACAGAACAAAAACAAAACUAAAAGAAAAAUUAGUUUUUUUCAAUUAAAUAUUUAUGUAUGUACUUGUUAAUUGGAAUUAUUGAUAUAGUAAGUGCAAGUAAAAGGUUAUUUCAAAAAAUAAUUAUAUGACUUAAAAAAGUGUAUGUAUUUUAAAAUAUUUUUAAAUGAAAGAAGAUAAAAUUGAUUUAUAAAAUUUAGGGUUCUUUUUUCUAUAUUUUUUUCAAACUAGUGAGUUAUAACCCACUUUUCCCAAAUCAUCACAUUUACACCAAUUAAAAUAAUGAUAUAAAUAACAUUUUUUUUUCUUAACUUUCAUGUUUUAUUAAGAUAUUAUGUUUGGUACCUAAAAAGAAUGACAGAAAAUAAUUUUAUCACAUUUGGAUGUAAUAGAAAAAGAAAAAUAGUAAGGAAAUGAUGAGAGAAAAUUUAAAAGAUUUUCUUUUCCAUUUUCAUUAGAUAAAAGCAUGAAAAAUUUAGGAAAAAAAAAAUAUACUACUCAAUAAUUCAAUUUUCUAGAAACCAAAUAUGGUCUAAUAUUGCUCUACGUUCAAAGUCAAUUUUCAACGAUGAAUUCUCCUCUUACAGUGAUUCUUCUUAACUCGAUUGUGACAAGUGUUGUCAUAUGAAUUUUCUUCCCUCAAUCUACCUACUGAGAAAUGUAAUUUAAAAAAAAAAAAAGUACUCCUAAUGGAAUAAUGAGUAAUCACUAGAGACUUUGGAGUGUAGCAUGCAUCCUAUUCUUUUAAUUCUUGUCUCUCAAACCAGUCUUAAUAUUUUUAUUCAUUGAAUUAAAUUAUUAAAUAUACAAAUUAUUGACUGGUGUCUAAGUUUUUUCUUUCUUCAAUUUCUAGCUUUAAGUUCCCAAAUGAAAAAAAAAAAAAAAUUGUCAAGAUCUUGAUUAGAAAAACCUAUUGUUUAAUUGGAAAUAAAGUGGACUCAGUCUCCUUUCUUGUUGAUACAUUGCUUUCAUCUCUUUUCCUUCUGGCUAGCUACUAUGCUUCCCGCUCUCUUCCAAAGCCUAAAAGAAGGAUAACAUUUUGUUUGUUCCCCCGCCCCCCCUAUGAAUACAUGUGACUAGCUAUGAUCAUGAUGAUGUUCAUUUUUUAAAACAAAGAAAAAUGAAAAAUAUGAGCAUCAACCAAUAAAUUUUAGUACCCUUUCUCCAACUUGGAGAAGUUCCAAAUGGGUAAUUUUUUUAUAUUUUUGUUAUAAUUUUUAUGUUUUUUAUUUUAAAUAAACAAGACAAUCCAUUUUUCUUCUGAACAUUUUUUCUUUUGCCCUUUAGCCCUAAUGGCAGUCCACUUCAAAUAUUUUUGUGCCCAAAGGGUCAAAACUAAGGAAAGAUUCACUUCAAGAAAAAAUUAGGAGAAUUAAAAAUCAAAGCCCAAAAAGGGUUCCAGCAAGUGGAUGAUUUUUCUCAGUCAACUACUGCAAUUUGGGUCUUCCUUCCUCUACUUCCUAUUUUAUUUCCCAUAGUAAGGUUAGGCACAUUGACAUCUUUUUAUCCAUUUCUGUUUGCUUUUGUGCUUUUUUGGGAAAUCAUAAUCUGAUGUAGAUCUUGAUGGAACAGGUUUCUAUAGAAAAAUCAACAAGGGCUUUUUUUUUUACUUUAAGUUAGAUUCUGUUAUCUCAUUGGUAUGGCAUGGAAGAAUCUAUCCUUCACUGAAAAAUUGAGAGGAAAAAAAAUAGAUGUUUAUUUAUUUUUGUAUUAUAGCUCCUUUACACAUGUCACAAUCCCAUUUGCCUUAAUUUGUAGGCAUGACAUCCAAAAAUACUUUUCAGUACCAUAAUUUGAUGGAAAAAAUAGGUUUUGACUCAUUAGUACGAAAAUUUAUGAAAAAAAUACUUUAAUUUUUUUAAAUCAGUAUUAUCUUCAUUUAUUUCAAAAUCAACAACCCUUUUUCUUAUCUUUUAGGAAAAUUCUAUAUUACGUCAUGGGUAUGACAUGGAUGAAUUGACCAUUCAAUGAAAAUUAAGGGGAAAAAAUAGAUGUUUAUUUAUUUUUGUGCUAUAGCUCCUUUACAUAUGUCACAAUCUCAUUUAUAUUAAUUUGUUGGCAUGGCAUCCGAAAAUAAUUUUCGAUACCAUAAUUUAAUGAGAAAAUAAGUUUUGAUUCACUAAUAUGAAAUAUAUAGAUAAAAAAAAAUCUUAAUUUUUCAAAAUCAAUAUUAUCUUCAUUUAUUUAAAAAUCAACAAGGGGUUUUUUUUAUUUAAUUUAUAGGAAUAUUCUAUGUUACCUCAUUGGUAUGGCAUGGAAGAAUUGACCAUUCAUUGAAAAUUAAGGGAAAAAAUAGAUAUUUAUUUAUUUUUGUAUUAUAGCUCCUUCACACAUGUCACAAACCUAUCUAUGUUAGCAGCACAUGUGAUGCUUGCAAAUAAACACAAAUAGGAGAAGGUGCAGAGUUAGCAUCACAUGUUCAUGUAUUACAAUAUGAUUGGUUCUUUCUCUUUCCUCCAUAAAAUUCUCUUAUAUAGUUGACUGGUUCUUUCUCAUAUAUGGUUGUAGAUAUGAUUUGAUCAAACCGCAUUAAAACCCGGGUAACUUAGUUUGCUUUAUUUAUGUUAUUCUGUUCAAUCUGGCAUUAUAGUUUUUUAUCUUGCAAGGAUUCCAUUGAAAAACAUAACUGAAAGGGCUUUUAAGAUUUGGAGUAUAAAUAUAGUUUCCAAUAUCUUCCAAUAUAUGUUGUGGGCUCAGAAAGAAGUCCUCCCAAUUGUACUGAAAAAUCAGUGCAUUUAUGCUGCAAUUUGUUAAUAUAGUUCAGUCAGAAACAGAGCAGAUAAACAGAUAUAACAACAAAAUCCUGGGAAUUGGACAAUUUAUUAGCAGCCUUCACCAUGUACAGGAUCCCAUAGAGACGUCCAAAACAGAGCAUCAAAUGGGAACUCCUCCUGGACUAUCGACCUUCUUCUAUGGUGGCUAGGAUUUCACUGUUCCAGGAUGCUUCAGGUUUGCUAGAAGAAGAAGCUGUCCUAGAAAGGUCUCUUUUUAGGACAAAAGCCGGUUGUUUAGGAACCGGCAUUGUUGCAAUGUCACUGCUGAGCAUUACAACUGCAACUGCCAUGGUGGGACGGUCACUUGGGUCUUCUUGCACACACAACAGCCCAACAUUCACACACCUCAAAAAUUCUUUUGUGUUGCAUGUUUCGCAUAGUGUCUGGUCCAUCAGCUCCAACACCUUGUCUUCUUUCAAUAGCUUCCAUGCCUGGGAAGUUUGAGAAUAGAAAGUUAAGUAUGGUAUGGUAUAUCAUUGAGAACGACUAAAAGAUCAAGGCAAAUGAGAGAUUCAAAGCCCUCACUUGACCCAGAAGGCUCAGUGUUUGGUCAGACUGAUAAAAGCCAGUGUUCCUCUUCCCACUGAUGAUCUCAAGCACCAUAACACCAAAGCUAAAGACAUCAGACUUCUCUGAGAAAAACCCAUCCAAUGCAUACUCUGGAGACAUAUAGCCACUGCAUUGAACCAGUUAAAAGCACUACUCUGUUAAUUGGGGAUACGAUCAUGCAACUGCUUGCUUUUUUCUGUACACAAUAUGCAAUACUUACUAAGUUCCAACUACUCUGUUUGUGCUUGCCUCUACUUGCUUACUGUCAAAAAUCCUCGCCAAGCCAAAGUCUGAAAUUUUGGGAUUCAUCUCAUCAUCAAGUAGAAUGUUGCUUGUUUUCAAGUCCCUAUGAAUAAUCUUCAAUCUUGAAUCUUGGUGAAGAUACAGCAGCCCUCUAGCAAUUCCCAUAAUGAUGUCAAACCGCUUCUCCCAGUUCAGUAACAUGCAUAGGGUUCGAUCUUGCAAGGUUCCCAUUGGAAAGCAUUACUUCAGAUAUGUAUACAAGAAUGUAUAUGUUACAUGAAAAAGAAAAGGGCUUUAAGGCAGGUUUAGAGACAAACCAAAUAUGAAGGAAUCUAAGCUUUUGUUGGGCAUAUAUUCAUAGAGUAAAAUCUUCUCAUCACCUUCAACACAAUAGCCCAAAAGUCUAACCAGAUUCCGAUGCUGAAGUUUGGCAAUUAAAACAACCUCAUUCUUAAAUUCCUGUAGGCCUUGUCCUGAAGCUCUAGAGAGUCUCUUAACUGCAAUUUCUUGCCCCUCUGGAAACUUGCCCUGGAAGCCACAGUGCAUAUGCAUUGGGCAUAUGUUAGAACUUGGUGACUUGAAUUCUAUUUGGUUCGACUCCAGAAGCUCGCGAUGUGAUAUAGGUAGUAAAGCUAAAAUUAUGAAUUUUUUUUUGGGUUUGUGGUAGUAACAGAGGGAUCGGACCUAUUACUCUUUCAUGUAUAUACAUACAUAUAUAUACAUACAUAUAUAUAUAUAUAUAUGCAUGCGAUGAUGUAUAGUUUUCAGGGUUAUGAUGAUUAUGUUUUUGCUAUAGGGGUCCGUAUCUCUUUCCUCUUGUACUAAUUUUUUAUAUAAUAAAAUUUCUUCUCCUCGUGGUCUUUCCUAUCUAGGGUUUUCCAUACAAAUUUAUGUGUUCUUAUCCUGUUUUAUUUCUUAUUGCAUAUUCUCAUUAUUUUGUAACAGCAUAGAUGAUGAUAAACCAGUUGAAAAUGAGAGGAACAUGGAAAUUAAGAACAAUUACCUUGUAAACUGGCCCAAAACCCCCUUGUCCAAGCUUAUUUGCAUCUGAAAAGUUAUUUGUAGCAGCCAGUAUGUCUUCUAAGUCGAAAAACGGUACAUCAAUGCCUUUCUUAUCCUCUUCUUUGAAUUGCUCCGAGUCUAUUAAGUGUUUCACACGACUCUCACUAUCAUAUAAGUGAAGCACUUGAUUUGCUCUGUUCUCUGAACUCAAAAAAAACAGAAAAUAUUGUAUACAAGACCCUGAAAUAUUCUCAAUUCAGCCAAGCACAAGUCGAAAAGAAAAGACCAGAAGUUAUAGGCUAGUGCAUAUGGCACAAAGAUUACCUUUCCUUUUGGUGAUGGUUCUUUUGCGCAAAUAAGCAAUAUAACCAAUGAUGCCUAAAACCCGCACUAGAACAACAGCAAUUGUUAUGCCUACNNNNNNNNNNNNNNNNNNNNNNNNNNNNNNNNNNNNNNNNNNNNNNNNNNNNNNNNNNNNNNNNNNNNNNNNNNNNNNNNNNNNNNNNNNNNNNNNNNNNNNNNNNNNNNNNNNNNNNNNNNNNNNNNNNNNNNNNNNNNNNNNNNNNNNNNNNNNNNNNNNNNNNNNNNNNNNNNNNNNNNNNNNNNNNNNNNNNNNNNNNNNNNNNNNNNNNNNNNNNNNNNNNNNNNNNNNNNNNNNNNNNNNNNNNNNNNNNNNNNNNNNNNNNNNNNNNNNNNNNNNNNNNNNNNNNNNNNNNNNNNNNNNNNNNNNNNNNNNNNNNNNNNNNNNNNNNNNNNNNNNNNNNNNNNNNNNNNNNNNNNNNNNNNNNNNNNNNNNNNNNNNNNNNNNNNNNNNNNNNNNNNNNNNNNNNNNNNNNNNNNNNNNNNNNNNNNNNNNNNNNNNNNNNNNNNNNNNNNNNNNNNNNNNNNNNNNNNNNNNNNNNNNNNNNNNNNNNNNNNNNNNNNNNNNNNNNNNNNNNNNNNNNNNNNNNNNNNNNNNNNNNNNNNNNNNNNNNNNNNNNNNNNNNNNNNNNNNNNNNNNNNNNNNNNNNNNNNNNNNNNNNNNNNNNNNNNNNNNNNNNNNNNNNNNNNNNNNNNNNNNNNNNNNNNNNNNNNNNNNNNNNNNNNNNNNNNNNNNNNNNNNNNNNNNNNNNNNNNNNNNNNNNNNNNNNNNNNNNNNNNNNNNNNNNNNNNNNNNNNNNNNNNNNNNNNNNNNNNNNNNNNNNNNNNNNNNNNNNNNNNNNNNNNNNNNNNNNNNNNNNNNNNNNNNNNNNNNNNNNNNNNNNNNNNNNNNNNNNNNNNNNNNNNNNNNNNNNNNNNNNNNNNNNNNNNNNNNNNNNNNNNNNNNNNNNNNNNNNNNNNNNNNNNNNNNNNNNNNNNNNNNNNNNNNNNNNNNNNNNNNNNNNNNNNNNNNNNNNNNNNNNNNNNNNNNNNNNNNNNNNNNNNNNNNNNNNNNNNNNNNNNNNNNNNNNNNNNNNNNNNNNNNNNNNNNNNNNNNNNNNNNNNNNNNNNNNNNNNNNNNNNNNNNNNNNNNNNNNNNNNNNNNNNNNNNNNNNNNNNNNNNNNNNNNNNNNNNNNNNNNNNNNNNNNNNNNNNNNNNNNNNNNNNNNNNNNNNNNNNNNNNNNNNNNNNNNNNNNNNNNNNNNNNNNNNNNNNNNNNNNNNNNNNNNNNNNNNNNNNNNNNNNNNNNNNNNNNNNNNNNNNNNNNNNNNNNNNNNNNNNNNNNNNNNNNNNNNNNNNNNNNNNNNNNNNNNNNNNNNNNNNNNNNNNNNNNNNNNNNNNNNNNNNNNNNNNNNNNNNNNNNNNNNNNNNNNNNGAUUCAGUACUGUAGAAUUUCUCAAAACAAAACAAAAACAUAUACUAAUCGAAUGAUUAAUCAUUGGAGUGUAGAAUGCAAAGCUUUUUCUUUCUUCAUUUUAAUGAGACAAUGAAUAAAAAUAAGGUGGACCAUGUCUCCUUUCCAACGCACACCUUUCAUCUUUUCUCUUUAUCCCAACAUGUUUCUCAUUCCACUCCACUUUUUUCUUUGUAUGUAUAGUUUAUCUCUUUUAAGAAAUCAAGUAUGAGCAUCAACUGAUAAAUUUUUCUAUACUUUCUUCGACUUGGAGGAGCUUCAUAAUGGGAUAAACAAUCAAGAGUCUGUUUUCACAAUGUUUUUAAAAAGGGUAUUUGAGAUAACUUAAAUGUUUUUGAGGCAAAAUUUUAUUAAGAAUUCAAAUAUAAAAACUAAUUUUCUUUGUUUAUGCAUGUACGAUAUAAAAGUUUUUAAAGUGCUAUUCUCUAUUUUUUCAAUUGUCACUCAAUGAAUUCUAAAAAAAAAAACAAAACUAAAAUACCUUAAAAUCUUUCUAAAAAAUAAUUCAUUUUCAAAACAAAUUCCCAAUAAAAAAAAAUUGUGUUUUCUAUCAUAAUUUUUUGAAACAUAUUUUCUAAGUUAGAAAAUAAUUUUUUAUUCUAAAAGAUUAAUAUAUAUAUUUUCAAGAACAGAUACCAAAUAUAACCUAAUUUUUCUUCUAAGGUUUUUUUCCUUAUGUCUCCGUCUAGUUGUCAUCCAAUGAACAAUCCACUUCAAAUAUUUUUGUGCCAAAGGGUAAAACCGAAGGAGAGAAUUACUCAAACACAGGAGAAUUAAGAAUCAAAGGACAAAAGGGAUUGGAGCAAGGUGAUAACUUUUCUCAGUGAACUUCACUGAUUUGCUCAAAGGCAAGUUGCCAGCAAAAUCAAGGAUAUAAAAUGUGUAUUUCAUCUUUUUUUGUUGGACCCAUUGGGUUUGCUUUUUUUCCCUCUCAAUUUGGGAUUUAAUAUAAUAUAGAUCAGGAUUGAGCAGGUUUCUGUAAAUAAAUCAAAAUGGGCGGCCUUUUUUUAACUUGAUUCCCUCUUUGCUUUCUAGCACAUGAGAAAAAGUAGAGCUAGCCUCACAUGUGCACACUGCACAUGGCAUAGCAUUGGGUACCUAUUGAGUCAUCUCCACCAUAUGAUUAAGCACAGUGGCCCAAAUACUAGCAAUGAAGUUAGAAAAUGCAUUCUUCAUUUUCGUCUCCGAGAGAGUAGGAAAACCAUAUUCUUUCUCUGAUUUUUCAGGAAGAGAGAAGAGACUUCUCACAUAGAGAAUAAAAAAUAAAAAAAUUAUUUAUUUUUAAUAGUGAUAGUUUCUAUGUAGUUUUAAAACUCCCUAAAACUACUUCCCCAUUUUCUCAUUUAUUUGAGUCAGGUCGGGUCAGUCCACUUGGACACCCAAACCCAACUCCAACAUUGUGGAACUUGGAAGUGUAGUUUAUCUCACUGCUGAACAUGAGAACUUUGUUGGACAUGGUGGGACAUCACUUGGGUCUCUUGAACACUGAAGAGCCCAACAUUUAUAUUGUCAUUUAGUUUGCACCAUAUGCAGAGCCCAGUUCAAACAUGAUAUUGAAAAAAGUUCUAUACACAAAUACAGCUGAUGGAUAGGAGAAACAAAACAGAACAUCAGAUGGAUAAAACUUAGUAAACUAAAUAAACGGUAAAGGAUUCAUUGGAUCUCCUCUUAGCUAUCGCCCUUCUCCUAUGGAGGCUACAAGCUCAUUCUUCCAGGAGGCUUCAGCCUUGCUAGAAGAAGAAGCUGUACUAGAAAGGUUCCUCUUUACAACAAAAGCUGGUUCUUUAGGAACGGGCACUGUUGCAGCAUCACUGCUGAGCAGAAGAACUGCAAUGGCCAUGGUGGGACGGUCACUUGGGUCUUCUUGCACACACAACAGCCCAACAUUUACACACCUCGAAAAUUCGUUUGUGUUGCAUGUUUCACUUAGUGUCUGGUCCAUCAACUCCAAAACCUUGUCUUCUUUCCAUAGCUUCCAUGCCUAGAACAGUUCAAAAAGUUGUAGGUCAGAUGAACAGAGAAUGACUAAAAGAUCAGUACAAAUGAAAGAUUCAAAGCUCUUACAUGACCUAGAAGACUCAGAGUUCGGUCAGACUGAUAAAAUCCAGUGUUCCUCUUCCCACUGAUGAUCUCAAGUACCAUAACACCAAAGCAAAAGACAUCAGACUUCUCUGAGAAAUAUCCAUCCAAUGCAUACUCCGGAGACAUAGCCACUGCAUUGAACCAGUUAAAAGCAGCACUCAGCUAAUUGGGAAACGCAAUCAUACAACCGCUUGCCUUUUUCGAUACAAAAUAUACAAUACUUACUAAGUUCCAACUACUCUGUUCGUGUUUGCCUCUACUUGCUUACUGUCAAAAAUCUUUGCCAAGCCAAAGUCUGAAAUUUUGGGAUUCAUCUCAUCAUCAAGUAGAAUGUUGCUUGUUUUUAAGUCCCUAUGAAUAAUCUUCAAUCUUGAAUCUUGGUGAAGAUACAGCAGCCCUCGAGCAAUUCCCAUAAUGAUGUCAAACCGCUUCUCCCAGUUCAGUAACAUGCAUAGGGUUCAAUCUUGCAAGGUUCCCAUUGGAAAGCAUUACUUCAGAUAUGUAUACAAGAAUGAAUAUGUUACAUGAAAAAGAAAAGGGCUUUAAGGCAGGUUUAGAGACAAACCAAAUAUGAAGGAAUCUAAGCUUUUGUUGGGCAUAUAUUCAUAGAGUAAAAUCUUCUCAUCACCUUCAACACAAUAGCCCAAAAGUCUAACCAGAUUCCGAUGCUGAAGUUUGGCAAUUAACACAACCUCAUUCUUAAAUUCCUGUAAGCCUUGUCCUGAAGCUCUAGAGAGUCUCUUAACCGCAAUUUCUCGCCCCUCUAGAAACUUGCCCUGGAAGCCACAGUGCAUAUGCAUUGGGCAUAUGUUAGAACUUGGUGACUUGAAUUCUGUUUGGUUCGACUCCAGAAGCUCGAGAUGCGACAUAGGUAGUAAAACUAAAAUUAUGAAAUUUUUUUGGGUCUGUGGUAGUAACAGAGGGAUCGGACCUAUUACUCUUUCAUGUAUAUAUAUGCAUGCAAUGAUGUAUAGUUUUCAGGGUUAUGAUCAUUAUAUUUUUGCUAUAGUCGUUAGUAUCUCUUUCCUCUUGUACUAAUUUUUGACAUAGUAAAAUUUCUUCUCCUCGUGGUCUUUCCUAUUUAGGGUUUUCCACACAAAUCUAUGUGUUUUUAUCCUGUUUUAUUUCUUAUUGCAUAUUCUCAUUAUUUUGUAACAUCAUAUAUGAUGAGAAAUCAGUUGAAAAUGAGAGGAAUAUGGAAGUUAAGAACAAUUACCUUGUAAACUGGCUCAAAACCCCCUUGUCCAAGCUUAUUUGCAUCUGAAAAGUUUUCUGUAGCAGCCAGUAUGUCUUCUAAGUCGAAAAACGGUACAUCAAUGCCUUUCUUAUCCUCUUCUUUGAAUUGCUCUGAGUCUAUUAAGUGUUUCACACGACUCUCACUAUCAUAUAAGUGAAGCACUUGAUUUGCUCUGUUCUCUGAACUAAAAAAAAAAACAGAAAAUAUUGUAUAGAAGACCCUGAAAUAUUCUCAAUUCAGCCAAGCACAAGUCGAAAAGAAAAGACCAGAAGUUAUAUGGCUAGUGCAUAUGGGAACAAAGAUUACCUUUCCCUUUUGGUGAUGGGUCUUNNNNNNNNNNNNNNNNNNNNNNNNNNNNNNNNNNNNNNNNNNNNNNNNNNNNNNNNNNNNNNNNNNNNNNNNNNNNNNNNNNNNNNNNNNNNNNNNNNNNGAAGGAACUGAAUUGAACUUCUCUCACCUACCCAGAAGGCAAAUUUAGUAAGAUACUGGGAAUGUGGCAGUGUCACUGCUGAGCAUUACAACUGCAACUGCCAUGGUGGGACGGUCACUUGGGUCUUCUUGCACACACAACAACCCAGCAUUCACACACCUCAAAAAUUCUUUUGUGUUGCAUGUUUCGCUUAGUGUCUGGUCCAUCAGCUCCAACACCUUGUCUUCUUUCAAUAGCUUCCAUGCCUGGGACAGUUUGAGAAUAGAAAGUUAAGUAUGGUAUGGUAUAUUGUUGAGAACGACUAAAAGAUCAAUGCAAAUGAGAGAUUCAAAGACCUCACUUGACCCAGAAGGCUCAGUGUUUGGUCAGACUGAUAAAAUCCAGUGUUCCUCUUCCCAUUGAUGAUCUCAAGCACCAUAACACCAAAGCUAAAGACAUCAGACUUCUCUGAGAAAAACCCAUCCAAUGCAUACUCUGGAGACAUAUAGCCAUUGCAUUGAACCAGUUAAAAGCACUACUCUGUUAAUUGGGGAUGCGAUCAUGCAACUACUUGCUUUUUUCUAUACACAAUAUGCAAUACUUACUAAGUUCCAAAAAUAAUUUAUGGUGUCACUUUUAAAAUAAUGACCCAUAUGACUUAAAAUCCAUAAAGGUGACACCUCAUAUAAAAAUUUUCAAUGAAGAUAAAUGAUAUUAAUUUUAAGUUUAUAGUGUCAGUUUUUGAAAAGUAACACUAUAUAAAAUAAAAAUUUUAAAAUACUAUAACUUAAUGAGCCCGAGAAUAAUAAUAGUAUAUAAAAAACUCAUUAUUUCCACAUACCCACAAUCCAAAAAUCUCAUUAUAUAACCCUAACCAUAAUUUUCUUCUACCUCUUCUCACACCCAUAGUUAACACACAACUGCUCUUCUUUACUUCAUGGAUUCUCAAGUAAUCCAAAAUCUCUUAGAUCUAUCAUUUUCAUUUUUUUUCAUUAAUGUCAAAAUCUUUAUUAGCACAAUUGAUUUAUAUUCAUUGAUUUGGUAUAUCUGUGAUGUGGAUUAUGUAAAUAGUGUUUUUUUAUUAAGUUGUAAGAAAGUAAAAAUUAAGUUUAACAUUACACCAUAUCUUCUAUUUCAUUGUUAAACCUAUAAACCUCAAAAUGAAUGAAAAUAAGAUAAAUGAAUGAUUUUUUUUAAUUUAUUUCAUACUCAAGAAUGAGGGAUAAACAUUUUACAGUAUGAAAUUUUCUUUUGAUCUUACAAGAAAUUUCCUUUGAUGCGACUUUCUGUUUGUUUUCUAGGAAUAUUAUAGUAUAUUGUGAUGACGAUAUGUGUUGGUGAUAUUUGAAAAAUAAUUUUUAGAAAGUUAUUCUUAAUAUUGUUAUCUCCCACAAAAGGAAAAAUGAAAUAGUUUCCAUAUCAUGUUGGAGUUGGUUUGGAAUGUUGGAAUUAACAAUGAAAAAUUAAUUUUUUUUUAUUAAUGUAAAAGAAUUGUUUUUUAAAAUUUAAAUAGGAAUGAAAAUUUUUAUAAUUAUAAGAAUGAUCAAAUCUUAUAUUUUAAUUUUUUUAUUCUUUUACAUGGUAUUAUGGUUAAUAUCUUAUCUUGUUCUAUUCAUAUUGUUUCUAUUCUUAAAAUGUGUUUUUUGUUUUUUUGUCUUUACCUUUUUUUAUAUGCGUCGACCAAAAUUUAUAAUUUCCGUUUUAAGGUUAGAAAAUUUCUAUAAAAUCCUUUUACUACAUAAAUUUUUUCAAUUACUUCCAUAAAACUCUUUUUUUUUUUUUUUUUUGGAAAGAAGAAGAAGAAGAUGUUUUAUCUUUUGAUUUUCUAUGAAAUUUCCUUUAAUUGGACUGUUUGUUUAUUUUCUAAGAAUAUUAUAGUAUGUUGUGAUGAAGAUAUUGGUUGGUCAUAUUUGGAAAAUAAUUUUUGAGAAAAUUAUUCUCAAUAUUGUCAUAUCUCGCAAAAGGAUUAUUUUUGCUUUCUUUUCUUAUUGUUUUUAUAUGCAUUGACCAAACUUUGGAGCAAUUUGAAAUUGAUGAUGAAAUUUUCCUUUCAAGGUUAGGAAAUUUCUAUAAAAUCCUUUUAUUACAAAUUUUUUUCCAAUUCUUUCCAUAAAACUCUUCAUUUUCUUCAUUUUUCUUUUUUCUGAAAAAGAUGUUUGAUAAUUUAUUGAUCUAAAGAAUAUUAAAAGUAAAAAAAAUAAAAAUAUUGAAUAUAUUUUCCUUUGAUGUUUUUAAUUUUUUAUUAUUUGAACACAAUUUCAUAUCCAAAUUUUUUAUUAAUUAUUUUAAUUAGAAAAAAGAAAUAUCAAUUGGAGUUUUGACUGAAAAAUCAAUAAUUUUUAUGAAAAGCUCUUUAAUUCUUUCUCAUACUAUUUUUUCUCUUAAUAUUUUUUAAUAAUGAAUUAGGUUUUUUGUCUUAUAUACACAAUUUUCAUGCUUGUUAUAAUAUCAUGUCCUAUCAUAUUAGUAGUUGAAAACAUUUUGAUAUUUUGUUACUAAAAUUUUAUUUUAUGUAAUUGAGAUGAAAUUUAAUGGACAUUGUUAUUUCAUAAAAUGAACAUUAAAAAAAUAUUGAAAUUAAGAAAAUCCUUCCAAGAAAUAUAUAUAUAUAUAUAUAUAUAUAUAUAUAUAAUGUUAAAAAUGAUUUUUAAAAACAUAAUGAAUUAUAAAAAAUAAAUUUAAAAAGUGCAUAUUUUAAGUGGAAGAUUAGUAUUUUCUAAAUUUUAGAUUUAUAUUUUGAUUUGGUAGUUUUGAUUUAUUUUUUAUUUUCUUGAAUUGUUUUUAUUUGAAUUCAAAUGUGACUACUUUGUUAUGAGAUUCAUUAAAGAGAUAAUUGUUGAUUCUAUAGUUAUUGCAUUAAAGGUUUUACUCAUUUAAUGAAUUGCACAUAGUUUCAUACUUCCAAUUAUUGUGAUAUUAAUGUUAUUAUCAUUUGAUUUUAGUUUGAUGAUAAAAAAAAAACAUAUUCUUAAGUAGAAUGUGAUGAAAUUAGAGGAGAAUUGACUACUUUUAUAUUAUAACUAAUCAAGAAUCAUGUUGAUGUAUCGUGAUCAUGCAUGGUGAGUCCCUUAGUUGUUGUAUGAAUUUUCCAUUGGUAUUGUAUAACAUUACUUAUUCUUUACAAAUUAUAUUUAUAUCAAAAUGGAAAAAAGAAAAAAAGAAAACAUUAGUAGUUAGAUUUGUUUAUUUUUUAUAACAUUAAUUAAUUUUUAUUUUUAAUAAAAACUCUAAAACUCAUUAAACUAUGAAAUGCAAGUAUACACUCUUGGAAGGACAGUAUGAAGAAUAAAAAGAAAGGAGAAAGAGACAACAAGAUUUUGGGUUUUUAGAUGUAACUUUUAUGUCAUAUAUUAUAGGACAUAAACGUUACUUUAUUUGGUAUUGAGAAUUUUGGGUUUUUGGAUGCAACACUUGUGUCAUUUUAUGGUUAGCCAGUUUUAUGCAUAUGAAUUGUAGGUAUACAUGAAUGUUGGGAUGCUUAACAUUUCUAUGUCAUGUUUUAAUGUGCAUUCACUUUUCCUUUUUAGUUUUGGUGGGUUUGAUGUACUAUCAUUUUGUGAACAUUUGAUAUACAAAUAUUAUUGGAUGAUUUAAUGUAUUACAGGUUGAUCUUAUUUAUUAAUAAGCAUUACAAAAAUCUAUAGGCUAAUCAAUAAAAAACAACCAUAUAUUCCAUAAUCAUUUACAAUGAUGUGACACCAUAACUCAAAGGUGAUGCAUUUAACGUGACACCAUAACUCAAAGGUGAUGCAUUUAAUAUGACACCUUAUAUAUCUCACACAACUCUAUAUCAAAUUAAGCAUUACUAAAAAUAUAUGGUGCCGCUUCUGAAUGUGUCACCAUUUAUCUACAUUGGUGUCGCUUCCAAAUACAUCACCAAUUGGUACCCUCUAUGGUGUCAGUGGAUAAGGUGACACUAUGUUGUAGUGACACCUUAUGUUUAUAGUGACUCAUUAUAAAUGUCACCAUAUAUCUUUUUCCUUGUAGUGUAUUCACCCCCUCCCCCUCUAGGUGUAGUCCAUUAUUGAGAUUCACCUUUUCAUCAUCCAUCCACAUGCCAGGAAGAAAAGUAUCAGUAAGAUUAUGGAAGCUCUCCCAAAGAAUCUCCCCUGAUCUGUUGUCACUUAAAACAAGGUUCCCGGAGUCCAUGAGCUUCAUCACCAUGCCUGUAGAUAAAGAUGUCUCAGUAUUAGAAGACCAAUGAACUUUCCCAUUUUCAUCCAAUAAUUUGAGCUUACCAUCGUCUUUAAUGGCAAAAACUCCAAAGGGGGGAUCAAAAAGGGGAAGGGGGCUGUCUCGGUUGGCCACCCAUACAACUCUUUGUGGUUUCAACAAGUAAUACCAUAUGCCAAUGUAUUUUCCAUUGUUGAACCUUCCAUCCGAAUUAAAGAAGCCAAGUUCAAAAGUUUUGCCUACAGAAACAAGAGUUCCUCCAUCAUUUCUAAGCCAAUCCUCUGGUGUGAUGGUAUCUCUAGCAGAGCAAUAUAGGACAGAACAUAAGAAAAAGAUGGUUGAUAGCAUGUGAGUUGUAGAGACAGGAACCAUGAAUUUUCUUCUUAUCAUUUUGCCCUCUAUUGUUGUUAGUCAAAGAACCAUGAAGAGUUGCAGAGACAUGAACCACGAAUUUUCUUCUUAUCAUUUUGCCCUCUAUUGUUGUCAGUCAAAGAACCAUGAAGGGUUUGCUACUGUUGUAUUGCACUCUCAUUUUUAAUGGAGACUUUUCCUUUUAACUCUUGAGUGGAGAAAAUUCAUAUCAGUAUUCUUAUCUUGAUUUCCCUUUUUGAUGCAUAGCUUUCAUCUCUGGACUUUUGUGGCAACUUGAGUCUUUAAGAUGGCAACUUUAAUAUGCUUCCUGGUGUCUUCCAAGUAUUGACGUUUUGUAUGCAUCACCCUCCUCCUUCUACACCAAUUUGUUUCUUUGUAUGUAUAGUUUUAUCUCUUCUAAGCAAUAAAGCAUAUGGCAUCAACCAAUAAAUUUUUCUGUACUUUCUCCAAUUUGGAGGAGCUUCGUAAUGGGACAAACAAGAAAAAUUAGAAGUUUAUUUGGCAAUGCUUGUAGAAACAGUUUUUCAUAACAAUGCUAAGAAACAGUUCUCAAAUGUUUCGACUAACUCAAAUAUAAGAACUAGUUUUCUUUGUUUAUUCUCUUACGUACAAAGCGAAAGUUUAAAAAAUAUUCUUUAUUUUAUAAAUUUUUAUCCAAAGAACUCCAUAAAAAUGAAAAAAAUUACAAACACCUCAAAAUGAUUCUAAAAUAUAAUUCAUCUGCAUAACAAAUUUGGCAAAAAAAAAAAUCAUUUUUCAUCAAAUGUCUAUCAAACGUGUUUUCUAAUUAACAAAAAAAUUUUCUGUUUAAAUAAAAAAAUCUAAAAUAACUACUAAACAUACCCUGAUUUUUGUUUUAAGCUUUUUUCCUUCUCAUGUCUUCUAAUUGCCAUGCAAUGAAUUAUCCACUUCAAACAUUUUUGUGCCAAAGGUAAAGCAAAGGAGAGAAUUACUAAAACAAACCCAGGAAAAUUAAGAAUCAAAGGACAAAAGGGGUUCAAGGAAGUGAUAAAUUUUCUCAAUGAAUUAACUUCACUAAUUGCUCAAAGGCAAGUUGUCAAUUGUUACAGAAUAGUGAAUAUAGGAAAUAAGAAAAACAAAAUAUGAACAUAUAGAUUUGUGUGAAAAAUCCUAAACGAGAAAAACCACGGACGGAUGAGAAGAAGAUCCACUAUAUCAAAAAUUGGUAUAAGAGGAGAGAGUUACGAGCGUCUAUAGCAUAACCCUAAAAAUACAUCAUCACAUAUACACACACAUAUGUAUAUAUAUAUAAAGCAGGUUCAUACUUUUGAAUUCAUUUAAUCUUUAUAUAAUGAAGGAAAGUAAAAUAAAUUAGAAAAAACAUAUGAAAUAAUUUAUUAACUUCGAAUUUAUUUUUUUAUUUUCUUUUGUUUUUUCCUUUCUUCUAUUUUUCCUCUCUAUUUUUUUUUUUCCAUAUUUUGCCUUAUAUUUUUUGAGAACCAAAUAUAGUCUUAAAGUUUCUUGGAAACUUUGGACUUUAGAAAAAACUUAACCUUUUUUUCUUGGGAAUAAUUUUCUAGAUUUGAGGUACAUUAUCUUAGGGGUGUACUAAGCAUGCCAAAAUACUUUCAAAAUCUAACUCCUAUUUUUUGGAAAGUUAUGAAUUAAUAUUUCUAUUUUUUUUUUUUUUUUUUACUCUUUCCAAAUCUAAUUUUACUAGGAACCAAAUUUGUGAAUUUUUGCACAAAAUCCUAUCCAAGAGAGGAUCUUUUAGAAAUCUCAUCCAUUCUAUAUUUAAUUGGUAGAGAAUUAAAACCACGGUUGUGCAAAAAGCAUAUGAACAAAUAAAAUUAGACCAAGAUAUAUAUCUAUAUAUCUAUAUCUAUAUAUAUAUAUAUAUAUAUAUAUAUAUAUAUAUCAAUGAUUCAACUUAGAAGAAUAAUGCAUUAGAUUUCUACACUUUGAGUAGUUGCCUUGAUUAAGUCCAAUUACUAGAAGCCAAGGUCAAGGUCAUCGAAGUUUGUCCAUUCUCUUUCAUAAUUUCUUUUUUCCUCACUAAAGGAGAGAAUAUCUCUUUUACAAAUCUUGUCUAUUCUUGAUUGAUUUGGUAGAGAAUUUAAAAAAGGGUUGUGCCAAAAGCAUGUCAACAAUUUAAAAUGGACCGAGAGACGAAACUUCUCAAUGAGUGGAUGUAUAUCUUUGUCAAUCCUUCAACUUUGAAGAAUAAUGCAUUAGACUUCUAUGCUUUAAGUAGUUUCCUUGAUUGAGUCCAAUUAUUAGAAGCCAAAGUCAAGGUCAUCGAAGUUUGUACAUUCUCUCUUGUGGUCCCAUGGUAUUUGCUCUUUUUUACCUCAUUAGAGGAAAAAACAUUAACACAGCUUCAUGUGGGAACCAACCUUUCUUUUAGCAUCCAUGAUAGUUUUUCUUCCCAAUAAUUAGAAAAAGAUUCAUGAGGACCCCAUAUGAGAACUAUUAUUGGUGAUUGUAUAUAGAAAUAAAGAGAAUUCAUUUAUCCUAUAAAAAACAACCCCUUCCUAACGAUUAUAUAAUUUAUUGGUAACAAUGUGAUAGAAAAUUUUGAGACACAUAUUAUAGAUGAAUCUUGGUUAUGGAUUAUAGUUAGAGGGGNNNNNNNNNNNNNNNNNNNNNNNNNNNNNNNNNNNNNNNNNNNNNNNNNNNNNNNNNNNNNNNNNNNNNNNNNNNNNNNNNNNNNNNNNNNNNNNNNNNNNNNNNNNNNNNNNNNNNNNNNNNNNNNNNNNNNNNNNNNNNNNNNNNNNNNNNNNNNNNNNNNNNNNNNNNNNNNNNNNNNNNNNNNNNNNNNNNNNNNNNNNNNNNNNNNNNNNNNNNNNNNNNNNNNNNNNNNNNNNNNNNNNNNNNNNNNNNNNNNNNNNNNNNNNNNNNNNNNNNNNNNNNNNNNNNNNNNNNNNNNNNNNNNNNNNNNNNNNNNNNNNNNNNNNNNNNNNNNNNNNNNNNNNNNNNNNNNNNNNNNNNNNNNNNNNNNNNNNNNNNNNNNNNNNNNNNNNNNNNNNNNNNNNNNNNNNNNNNNNNNNNNNNNNNNNNNNNNNNNNNNNNNNNNNNNNNNNNNNNNNNNNNNNNNNNNNNNNNNNNNNNNNNNNNNNNNNNNNNNNNNNNNNNNNNNNNNNNNNNNNNNNNNNNNNNNNNNNNNNNNNNNNNNNNNNNNNNNNNNNNNNNNNNNNNNNNNNNNNNNNNNNNNNNNNNNNNNNNNNNNNNNNNNNNNNNNNNNNNNNNNNNNNNNNNNNNNNNNNNNNNNNNNNNNNNNNNNNNNNNNNNNNNNNNNNNNNNNNNNNNNNNNNNNNNNNNNNNNNNNNNNNNNNNNNNNNNNNNNNNNNNNNNNNNNNNNNNNNNNNNNNNNNNNNNNNNNNNNNNNNNNNNNNNNNNNNNNNNNNNNNNNNNNNNNNNNNNNNNNNNNNNNNNNNNNNNNNNNNNNNNNNNNNNNNNNNNNNNNNNNNNNNNNNNNNNNNNNNNNNNNNNNNNNNNNNNNNNNNNNNNNNNNNNNNNNNNNNNNNNNNNNNNNNNNNNNNNNNNNNNNNNNNNNNNNNNNNNNNNNNNNNNNNNNNNNNNNNNNNNNNNNNNNNNNNNNNNNNNNNNNNNNNNNNNNNNNNNNNNNNNNNNNNNNNNNNNNNNNNNNNNNNNNNNNNNNNNNNNNNNNNNNNNNNNNNNNNNNNNNNNNNNNNNNNNNNNNNNNNNNNNNNNNNNNNNNNNNNNNNNNNNNNNNNNNNNNNNNNNNNNNNNNNNNNNNNNNNNNNNNNNNNNNNNNNNNNNNNNNNNNNNNNNNNNNNNNNNNNNNNNNNNNNNNNNNNNNNNNNNNNNNNNNNNNNNNNNNNNNNNNNNNNNNNNNNNNNNNNNNNNNNNNNNNNNNNNNNNNNNNNNNNNNNNNNNNNNNNNNNNNNNNNNNNNNNNNNNNNNNNNNNNNNNNNNNNNNNNNNNNNNNNNNNNNNNNNNNNNNNNNNNNNNNNNNNNNNNNNNNNNNNNNNNNNNNNNNNNNNNNNNNNNNNNNNNNNNNNNNNNNNNNNNNNNNNNNNNNNNNNNNNNNNNNNNNNNNNNNNNNNNNNNNNNNNNNNNNNNNNNNNNNNNNNNNNNNNNNNAGUCCAAAUACAAGCGAUGAGGUUUGACAAUUUUAUGCUAUGCAAUUAAUGAUAAUGUAGAGAGGACCAAAAAAACAGAAGAGCUUCCUAUUGACACUCAUUAGGAAAAAAAAUUACAUUGAAGCAUAAGAAUAAAUACUCCAUAAAAUUCAAUUUUAAUGAAAUUAUAUAAUACAAAUGAAAAUGAUGUUGUUAAAGAGCAUGGUAUAUAUUGUGAACUCAAAUUCUACAAGUUAACCUUUUAGAAAAAUUGGUAAUUGAGUAGAGCUUGGUUUGACGGGAGGUCAUGUGUUCAAGAGUCGCUUCUCCCCAAUUUGCAUAUUUAUUUCCUCCUAGGCUACCAAUGAUCUCAUUCUUGGAGCAUGUGUUUCUGGUUUGGUAGAAGAAGCAGCAGCCCUACUAUAGAACAGUGGAAGAAGCAUUGGAAUCUUUGUCCCUUCUUCAAGGUCUUUAGAUUUUUUCAAUUUGUUUUCUUUUCAAUUCUCAUGCAUACAUCUAAUUUUCCACUUCCAUAAUAUUUCAACCUCUGGAUGUGAAAUAGUAUUUGUAGAUCAAUCAAAAGUAUUCCAACGUAAUAUGUCACUAUAUAAUAAUCCAAUAUUUCAACCUCUAUAUCUGAAAUAGUAUAUGUAGAUCAAUCAAAAGCAUCCCACCAUGUAUAUUCAGCUAAUGUAAUCGUUACCACCAACAAAACUAAUUAUUGGUUUCAUUUUAAGAUGUUAUAGCUAAUAAAUCCCUACUUUCCUUACCAUCAAUUACUCAAUAGAUAUCAUGCUUCAAUUUAUUCUUAAUUCCAACGGUAAAUCACUGGUAAUAGAAGGCAUGAUAUACAUAUAUAGGGUCAUUUCUUUGAGUGACUUUACUCAAAAGGAUGGUCUUGAUUACAACUAGCAAAUUCUGUUUAUAAGAAGACCCUAUACAAAACUCACAUGGCUAUGAUCAUUACUUGAGUCACUAUCACACAGAAUUCAUACCAGUUUUGUUUACAAAUUGUUCUUAGGAAGAACAUAUUCCAACUGGGGGCUAAUACAAGUAGAGGUUCCAAGCUACAGACCAAGAAGGUAUGUACCAACAGAUACCUAGCUAGGAUUGCUUCUUCUAGUAACGGUUGGUUAUUAACACAUAAAAAUGUGAGCAGGCAACUAAGUUGGAACCUUAUAGACACCGUUAGUCUCCCUAGCUUAUGAUAAAGAAUCUUUAAGGCCAUUAAGUCAACAGUUCACACUUACUAACUAGGUUUUUCUCUUUGUCGUGACUUUUUUUUUUUCUUAUGCUUUUGGUAGAGCCUUGGUUAACACAUCUGCAAUUUGAUCCUCAAUCUUGCAAUAAAGCAGUUUAACUUCACCAUCCUUUUGUUCUUCUCUUAAGUGAUACAACUUGAUCUUGAAAUGCUUAGUCUUGCCAUGAAAAACAUAAUCAUUUGAAAUUGCAAUUGCAGCUUGGUUAUCUACAUGAAUCUGUGUUGGCUCAUUUUGCUUCAUGUGUAGAUCUGCAAGUAUUUUUCUGAUCCAAAUUGCUUGAUUUACAGUAGCAUUGGCUGCUAUAUAUUCUGCAUCUGCUAUACUUUGAGCUAUCACAUCUUGCUUCUUUAAGGACCAUGAAAAAAUUCCAAAUCCGAAGCUGAAACAAAAUCCUGUGUACUUCUCAUGUCAUCAAUAGAACCUGCCCAAUCACUAUCAGAAUAACCAUGACGUUUUAAAUUNNNNNNNNNNNNNNNNNNNNNNNNNNNNNNNNNNNNNNNNNNNNNNNNNNNNNNNNNNNNNNNNNNNNNNNNNNNNNNNNNNNNNNNNNNNNNNNNNNNNNNNNNNNNNNNNNNNNNNNNNNNNNNNNNNNNNNNNNNNNNNNNNNNNNNNNNNNNNNNNNNNNNNNNNNNNNNNNNNNNNNNNNNNNNNNNNNNNNNNNNNNNNNNNNNNNNNNNNNNNNNNNNNNNNNNNNNNNNNNNNNNNNNNNNNNNNNNNNNNNNNNNNNNNNNNNNNNNNNNNNNNNNNNNNNNNNNNNNNNNNNNNNNNNNNNNNNNNNNNNNNNNNNNNNNNNNNNNNNNNNNNNNNNNNNNNNNNNNNNNNNNNNNNNNNNNNNNNNNNNNNNNNNNNNNNNNNNNNNNNNNNNNNNNNNNNNNNNNNNNNNNNNNNNNNNNNNNNNNNNNNNNNNNNNNNNNNNNNNNNNNNNNNNNNNNNNNNNNNNNNNNNNNNNNNNNNNNNNNNNNNNNNNNNNNNNNNNNNNNNNNNNNNNNNNNNNNNNNNNNNNNNNNNNNNNNNNNNNNNNNNNNNNNNNNNNNNNNNNNNNNNNNNNNNNNNNNNNNNNNNNNNNNNNNNNNNNNNNNNNNNNNNNNNNNNNNNNNNGUCAUUCUUUCAAUCAUUCUAAGCUCUCUUUCAUUGCUCAGUCCACUUGUCAUCUUCUUUGCCUCUUCAAAUUCUGCAGGCUCAAAAACAACAACAUUACUUCUUUCAUAAACAUCAGAUAAGGACCUUGUACCUCUAACUAGGGCAUCAUCUAUGUUUUCAUCAAAGUAUUGCGGAACCUCUGGUAGUUGCAUCUUUAUUGACUCCUCCCAAUUCCAUUGUCUAUCCUCUAUGAACUUGACAUCUCUACUUACAAGAAUUUUUCCAUUUUGUGGUUGGAAAAUUCUGUAAGCCUUGGAAGAGUUGCUAUAUCCAAUGAAAACUCAUGGUUCUGCCUUCUUAUCAAGUUUGUCUCUUUUCACCUGUGGCACAUAAGAAAAACAAAGACAACCAAAAGUUCUUAGAUUCUGCAAAUCUGGUUUAUAACCAAACCAGGCUUCAAAUGGAGUUUUUUUUUUUGCAAAACUCUAGUUGGCAGCCUAUUCAGCAAAAAACUGCAGUGUUUGCAGCCUCUGCCCACAAUUUCUUUGGCAACUCCUUCUCAUGUAGCAUACACCUUGUCAUCUCCAUAAUACUUCGAUUUUUUUCUCUCACUUACUCCAUUUUGUUGUGGAGUGUAAAGUGUUGUGAGUUGGUGCUCAAUACCGGCUUCUUCAUAGAACUUAUCAAAAAUUUCAUUUGUGUAUUCUUUCCCAUUAUCUGACCUUAUCUUCUGCAUCCUGCAACUGCUUUGAUUCUCCACCCAUGCUUUAUAUUUCCAAAAUACAUUAGGAACCCCAUAUUUGGAUUUGAGGAAAUAAAUCCAACAAAAUCUGGUAUAAUAAUCAAUAAAUGCAAUGUAGUACUUAUUACCAUUUAAAGAUGGUGUUUUCUGAGGUCCUCCAACAUCUGUAUGUACCAGUUGCAGCUUGUGCAUUGCUCUCCAUGUUGUUUGAGGGAAGGGUUUUCUAGUUUGCUUUCCAUAUUGGCAAGCCACACAAUCAGCUAGCUUGUCUUGUAGCAAUGGCACACCUUUCACCAAAUUAUGUUUCUGCAUAUAUAGAAGUCCAACAUGGUGGAAAUGCCCGAGCCUUCUGUGCCAUAAUUUUGCAUUGCGUUCAAUGCUUGAAAUGCUAUUUGCUCAUCCUCCAUUAGAUUUAGAGCAAAGCUUUUUGCUCUCAUUUUCACUUUGAAUACAUCUCUACCUUUCGCGUCUUUGAUCAAGCACCAUUUGUCUUCAAAUAUGACUUUGAAACCUUUUUCAGUUAGCUAUCCAACACUAAGCAGGUUUUGAUCAAUGUCAGGCACAUAUAAAACAUUAGUAAUAUACUUCAAACCUAUUAAGCUUUCUAUAGCCACAGUUCCUUCCUUUACCCUUAACUGAAAUAAAUUCACCAUUUCCAAUUUUUAGCUUGGAGAUAAUAGUUUUAUCAAGCUCCUUAAAGAGCUCUUGGUCAUUGGUCAUGUGGUUUGUGCAGCCACUAUCAAUCAACCAAGAAUUGCUAGAGUUGUUACUUGUUGUGAAGCAUGUUGCAACAAAAAGUUGCUCUUCUUGAUGUUGCUUAGUAGAAGCUGUAGGGACUCCUCCCUCUGAGAACACGUGGCACGCAUCUUACAGUGACACGUGGCACGCAUCUUACAGUGACACAUGGCACGCAUUGUCAUCCGGGUCAUCCUCAUCCGGAUCUUCCUAUAAAGCACACAUGGCGCACUUUUUAUCCGGACUGCCUCAAGGAAGGGCAAACGACGCUUACAAAGCAUAGACAUCCGGACGACUUCCAUUAAUGCGUCUGCUCCACAAUACAUCCGGAUAACCAACAUGGACUAUCCGGAUAUGAUUGUCCGGAUCAUUAACUAAAGUAAAGCAAAUCUUAUACUGAUUCGAUGCCCAGCCGGGUCUUUUAAUCAAAAACAUUUAUAAAACCUAUGACCUUAUACUGGUGUAGCAAAGCUACUAUAGUAUAGUAGUUCUAGGGUCGAACUCAGGGAUGGGUUUUCACUCUAUCAAUGACAGACUCUAAAUUAGAAAUUGAUUCUGAUGAUUUCCUUUAGCACAAACUUGAAAUUUAAAAGAAAAUAAAAUUGUUUUGAAAGUGAUGAUUUAAACUAAACUCACAUAGAACUAAGUAAAAAGUGUAAGAAAGAAAGUCUCCCGGAGCUGAAGGUUGCUAGGUUCAAGUGCCAGAUGCAAAGUGGAAAAUUUCGGAUUUUUCUCCUCACAUUGGGGAUUUAACCUAUAGUUAUUUCCUGAACCGGUAUAGGUUUGACAAUGAAGUUUUAAUCCAUAAAAAGUCACUAGAGAUGGUAGUCAAGGUCCAUUAAUGGCUUAAGACACUAUGGGCUAUCACCUUGAAUCACUUUCCAAUGGCUCGUACAUGAUAACUAAUGGACUGAUAUGGAUCUAGUAAUAAGCAUCCACAGAGACCUUAAACUUACCAUGUAUUGGCCAGUCAAAGUGAUUCAAAGGAAUUUAAGGCAAAACCUUGGCUUUAUAAACCAUNNNNNNNNNNNNNNNNNNNNNNNNNNNNNNNNNNNNNNNNNNNNNNNNNNNNNNNNNNNNNNNNNNNNNNNNNNNNNNNNNNNNNNNNNNNNNNNNNNNNNNNNNNNNNNNNNNNNNNNNNNNNNNNNNNNNNNNNNNNNNNNNNNNNNNNNNNNNNNNNNNNNNNNNNNNNNNNNNNNNNNNNNNNNNNNNNNNNNNNNNNNNNNNNNNNNNNNNNNNNNNNNNNNNNNNNNNNNNNNNNNNNNNNNNNNNNNNNNNNNNNNNNNNNNNNNNNNNNNNNNNNNNNNNNNNNNNNNNNNNNNNNNNNNNNNNNNNNNNNNNNNNNNNNNNNNNNNNNNNNNNNNNNNNNNNNNNNNNNNNNNNNNNNNNNNNNNNNNNNNNNNNNNNNNNNNNNNNNNNNNNNNNNNNNNNNNNNNNNNNNNNNNNNNNNNNNNNNNNNNNNNNNNNNNNNNNNNNNNNNNNNNNNNNNNNNNNNNNNNNNNNNNNNNNNNNNNNNNNNNNNNNNNNNNUGUUAAUGGGGUUAAAAGGUAAUAAUUACUACUCAAGGGUGUUUAAAAGAGCUAAUUACAAGCUACAAAAUAGCAUGUUUUGAGUAGUAAUCAUACACGCUAUCACAACAACCAACCAUGGCCCACGUCCCAUCACCUGCAGAGUGAAAGGACGGGUUGAGGUGACAACAAGUCACUUCCCACGAUCGUUCUACAUGAUCACUUUCUACAAUCUCUGAUAGCCGCAUCACCUACCACGGUUUCUGACAGCCGCCCGUAGGGUGGUGAUGACCCUGCUUCCAUCUAAAUAUCAUCAUGACAACAUGAAAUAUCUCCCCACCAUUAAUGAGAGGAACAGUACUCCUGGCACUAUAUAUAAACCUUCACACGAAGAGGAAGGUAAUCGCCUGAUACCUAGAAAAAGGCCAACUGAUUUAUAUCUCCCUCUCUAACCAUGGCUAACAAAAUCAUCGGAGGGUGCGUCCGGACACCCUGUCCGGAUGCCUUUUGCAGGUAUAACGACUGAAUCAAGAACCUAUUUUGGUUGAGGUCGCGCAUCCAUCCAUUUGGCAACUACGUGGAACACCAGGAGCGCGAGGUAUCAACAUAAGUUUUUGCCUCUUCAUGUUGUCGUGACUUGCAAAUCCACUCCAUGUGUCCAAUCUAACCAUAUUUCUUGCACUUGACAUCAGGCCUCCACCAACACUUCCUUUGUGGGUGAUUUGUCUUUUUGCAGUGUAGGCAAGGUGGAUAGGUUCCAUCCUUGUUUUUGUUGUUGUUGUCAGUCUUGUUGAUCUUCUUCUUAUUGUUGUUUUUCUUGUUUUUGCCUCAUCUUGAAUUUUAUGCCUUUGCUUGAAGAGCACCCUCCAUCGAUUCUUCUUUUCUUAUCAUUCUCCUUUGCUCUUGUGCCUGCAAUGCAUUCACCAAUUCUACCAAGGAUAUGCUUGACAAAUCCUGCAUAUAUACUUGAGUGUUGCAUUUACAACACACUGAAAGAGAAGUUCACCUAUAUCAGAAACUGCCACACGCACAUAGAGAUCAUGGCCGCCAUCCAAAUACGCCUCCUGAAUGUCAUUAAGAUUUUCCUCCCAAAUCAUACUGAUGGCGGUGUCUGCACGAGUCUCGGCUUCAACAUAGGCAUAAGCCUGGCAGUUGUUACAGUCUCUGUUGCAGUGAUUUUCGCAUUCUUUUUCAUUUGUAGUACUGUUGAACUGUGUGUCUGAUUUUUUCACUCUCAUCAUCUCUAGCCUCAAAAAAGUGUCAUUCUUGCUGCACAGGGGUGAAAUUCUUCUACAGCCCCCCGAAAAAUCUCCACCAUUCCACUUUGCUGGAAAUUUUGGUUGGAAUCCUGGCAAACACCUGCACAAAAUCCUAUUUCUAGUACUGCAGCUGCCAAAACUUCCACAGGGAUUAUUCCCAUCGCAUCUGUCUUUUGGUUCCUUCAAAAGCGAAUACCAAGCCCGUCUGAUUACGGAUCUGUAGAUACUCUAUCUGGCCGGAAAAUUUCAUCACCAACCUCCUAUAAUAAAAAGAGGUUGUUGGUUGGCUACUAUUAAUGCUGGAAUUUGAUAACAUUUUGGAUAAUUCAGAAUACAUCUUAUGGUCCCAACCGGAUGUAAUGAAAUCAUCUGAUAUCCCACUCUUCCAGUAUGUAUUAGGCCCAUUCUGGAUGAUGUACAGGUUCUGUGCUACUUGAUCUUUCCUGAAAGUGAAGUUCCCCGAACCCGGGUCACUGCUGCUUUUCCAUGAAGUCAACACCAAGUUGCCAUCCAUCUUCAUACCUGGAAGAAAAGUAUCAGUUGCGUUUCCAAAGCUUUGCCACAGACUUGUUGGCAGCUGAUCAUUCUUCAGAACCAGGUUCCCGGAAUCUAUGAGCUGCGCUAGCUACCUUUUCUGUAGAUGACGAUUUCUGGAGAGGGGUUGACCAGAAAGGUCUCCCUCUUCCAUUCGAAUUCAACACGAGGUUACCAUCUUGAAUGGACAAAUCUCCAGUGGAAUCAGGCAGUGGGUCGUUUCUAUUGGCUACCCACACAACGGUUUUCGUCUCCAACCUGUAAUACCAUAUACCAACAUAUCUUUGGUGACUAGACUCCCAUUAGGGGUGAAGAACCCCAAUUCAAAUGUCUUACCAGCAGACAAGAGAGUUAUCACCAUCACCAUCACUGAUCGGAUCAUUCUGCCUUAUGGUAUCUCUUGCUGCACAUGUUUGAUAACAACACAACAAUGUUGGGUACAAGAUGAAGAUGGUAGAUACCAUGUGAAANGUUGUUGACCAUNNNNNNNNNNNNNNNNNNNNNNNNNNNNNNNNNNNNNNNNNNNNNNNNNNNNNNNNNNNNNNNNNNNNNNNNNNNNNNNNNNNNNNNNNNNNNNNNNNNNNNNNNNNNNNNNNNNNNNNNNNNNNNNNNNNNNNNNNNNNNNNNNNNNNNNNNNNNNNNNNNNNNNNNNNNNNNNNNNNNNNNNNNNNNNNNNNNNNNNNNNNNNNNNNNNNNNNNNNNNNNNNNNNNNNNNNNNNNNNNNNNNNNNNNNNNNNUCUUAAAAUCUUGACUAAACACAAAGUCAUAGUUUAAAAUUUUAUCGAAUGCCUCUAAUACUUUAAAUCAAGUGAAACGUGAAUGAAAUUAACAAAUAAGAAGAAUAAGAAAUAUAGUUUCACACUUAAGUAACAACUAAUACUAUAGAGAAAUGACCACAAGUUGGAAAGUCUUGACCAAUUUGAAAAAUCAUUUGAUGUAGUUGAAAUAAUUGAAUUUUGGAUAAAAUUCAUAACUGUCUCAACAUUAUUUUUUUUCCCUUUUUAUUUUUAUUGUUUGAAUAUUCAAGAGUUAAAACCAUUCCAAUGCUCCUUUUUGCCAUGUAUAAUUAAACUGAACCAACAAUUAGGAUAAGCACGAAAAAGAAGGAACCGAGAAGAAGAUAUCAACAAUAUUAAUCGGUUUUAUUAUGGGACAACUCAUGAUGUUCAUAUUGAUCUAUUAUGCGCCUUUGCAUCUAGCAUUAGCUAGACUCAUACUGUCCUAGCUCUACUAUAUCUUUUAUUUCAUUUCGAUCUUCUGAAACAAUCACAAACACUUUUCAUUAUUAUUAUUAUUAUGAAUCAAAUGGGACAUAAAUGAAAUUAACAAAUGAGAAGAGUGAAAAAGGUAAUUAACAAAAUUUCAAGCUCAUCGUUGCUAAAUAUUUUAUAAAUUAAAAUUGCCCAAGAAACGAGCCUUUAAAAGUGUACCUUUAUUUAAAAAUAAAUAAAGGUAAAUUAAAGUAUUGACUUAGUACAUAAAUAUCAACACGAUUCCAAUCCAACGCAUUUUUUUGUGGGUUUUGGUUGAAUAUAAUUCUAUUUAUAUCAAAUCCGUAUCAACUUGUGUAAUAUAUUUUACUAAUAGGUUAUUUUUAAAUCAACAUACAUAACACGAAUUUGACUCAAGUUAACCUUUAUAUUUAAUAAUCAUACCAAUUAACCUAAUUAUAAUUCUAACCGUUUAAUUAAUAUUUGAUUCAUUUUAAAUUUAUUUUUGAACAAAUAGUUAAUUAAAUUAUAACUAUAUUAACUUGUAAGAUUAAUUAUAUAAAUUUAUACAAAACUUAACUCAAUUAAAAAUUUGAUUUAAAUGAGUUAAAUAAAUUACAAAACAUGUUAUUUGUUUAAUAAUUACAUUGUAUUUAGGUUUAUGCUUUUUACUUUAUUAAUAUCAUUAUUAUGAUUGAGUCAACCUAUUUAGUAGAAUGUUUUAGUCUUGAUAUCACACAAAUUGUCAUCCCUAUCUCUAAUCUUGUCAAACAAAUAGUUUGAAGGACAUAUUUUUUUAACUAAAGAAAAUUAUUACCUUACAUAGAGUUUUAUUAAAAAAAAAAAAAAAAAAAGCCAAAUAAAAAAAUGUAAUUAAAAAUAAUUAGAAAUUUAUGCAUUUUCAAAUUAUUUAAUAAAUUUAAAGAAGUGAAAUGGAUUUAAAUUGACUUAUAAAAAUAAGUUAUCAACUUCAAUUUUUUUUUCUUUCUAAUUUUUUUUUAAAUUUUUUUCCCUCACAUUUUUUUUCAUAGUUAUAGGAAACCAAACAUAACCUAAUUAGGAUCCUACUAUCAUGUUUUUUUAUUCCCAAAAGUUUUUGGGUCUAACCUUUUUCUAAACUUAUUUCAAAGGGCAUCUAUAACACAAGAUAUUAAGUGUGCUUGCUCGACAUGUAGUCUUUCAUUGAUUUCCUUUUCGAUUAAAAACUUUUAGACAAGUCAGAUAUAUAGUUUUUGCUUUCUUAACAGAAACCAAAGUCUAAGGUGGUAUUUGUUUUUUUACUUAAUUCUAAAUAGAACCUUAAUACUUAAUAGUAUUAAAUAUUAGGUUGUUUGUUUUUGUAGUAUUUUAUUUUUAUUAAGUAUUAAAAAGUAAAAAAAAUCAUUGUGUUAUUUUUUCUAUUUAGAAAAAGCCACAUAUUUUGGCUUUUUCUAUUUAGUAAAAAGUUUAUAAUAAGUAAUGAAAAAGUAAAAAAACAAACAACCUAAAUUCUAAAACUAAAUGGUUUUCAGCAAAAAGCCAAAAAAACAAACACCACCUAAGUCUUUGCACAAAAUCCUAAUCAAAGAGAUCUUUUAGAAAUCUUAUUGGAAGAGAAUUUAAAACCAGAGUGGUGACAAAAGCACACGAACAAAUAAAACUGGACAAAGAAAUUAAGCAUCUCGAUGAGUUGAUAAAUAUCUUUGUCAAUACUUCUACUUGAGAGAGAAAUACAUUAGAUUUCUACACUUUUGAAUAGUUGCCUUGAGUGACUCCAAUUAUUGGAAGCCAAGGUCAAGGUCGUUGAAGUUUGUCCAUUUUUUCCCCUUGGUCCCACAUUAUUUGCUUCUCCUUAAUUUCCUCCGGUUUGGGAAAAGGACAUUCACACGGUUUGGUGUAGGAACCACCCUUUCCUUUAGUAUCCAUGAUUACUUUUCUACCCAAUAAUGAGGAAAACAUUUAUGAAGGCCCCAUGUGAGGACUAUUAUUGGUGACUCUAGAAAUAGAGCUAUUCAAUUUCCCUCAUAAAUAGUGUAACAUCCAAAAUAAACUUUAGAGACAAAAUAGUAAAUUAUUAAUUAAUUAAACUCAUUAAAAAUAAACGAGUCAUUUUACAAUUAAAAAUCGUAUCAAUUAGAUUUUCAGUUUAUCUUCUUUAUUUAGAAAACUUUAUUAACAAAAAAUCAAAGAAUUGAAGAACGUAAGGUUAAAGAUUUGGAAGUCUAUAGUUUGAAGUUCAAUUAUUUUUUUUCAAGUAAGAUUCUAACUCUAGAUUAAUAUAUUAUAUUCAUUAGUUAGUUUUGACUGUGUUAGAUAUUUUUAGAAAAUUUUAAUUUAGAUUAUAAUUAGUUUAUUUAAUUUAUUUUAAGAUAUAAAAAAUUGAAAUUAUGAAUGUUGUUUCAUUGAUGAAAAUAGAGAAAUUCAAAAUUUUUUUAGAUGAAUAAAUCUAAACAAUGAAAUUUAAAAAAAUUAAAUGAUUAAAUAAGUAUAUGAUUAUAUGUGGCUUAAGGGAUUGAAAAAUAAUAAAAAGAAGAAUAGCAUGUUUUUGGAUUUUGGAUUUGAGGAACUUUUUAAUAAUAAAAAUAAUUAAGGUUUAUGAUUAAUAAGAAUAAUGAUAAUAAUGAUAUUAAUAAUAAUAAGAAGAAGAAUUGUGUGAAGAAUAAUUUCAUUUUCAACGUAGAAAUGUGAUUGUCAAGGCCUCAGUGAAGAGAACGGUAACGGACCCUGCUGUAAACGACGAUGGGUCACGAGCAAAUGGUGAAAUUGCGGAUGAACCCCAUAACUGUAAAGUGCUUUUGACGCGUAAUGGGUUCCACCACUACCAUUAUUGGGGAAUCUUUCUGGUGGAUGAAAAGCCGCUUUUGGGUUCACGGUUGACUCAUUAAAUCUCCUACCUAUCUCUGAGUUUGUCAACUGAGACCACCGAGUUUUAUUUAUUUAUUUAUUUUUUUCUUUUCCUCGGUUCAAUUUUUGUUUCCAAUACGAGGAAAAGGGCUUUCAAGUCUGACACGUGGAAAGUCAGUGGGCUUCAUAAUUUUGUUACAUUUUUNNNNNNNNNNNNNNNNNNNNNNNNNNNNNNNNNNNNNNNNNNNNNNNNNNNNNNNNNNNNNNNNNNNNNNNNNNNNNNNNNNNNNNNNNNNNNNNNNNNNGGGGUUGCUGCUGCUGUAACGCACUCUCAAUAUAUCAUAAUAAAUAAAUAAAGAUUAUUAAAAAAAAAAAAAAAACCCUCCCCAUUGUAUCUAGGUUGACAUCUUAUUAUGGGAAAAGAAAGAAAGGAAAAAAAAGCAAUGCAGAAUUAAAUUAAAAAAAAAUCCAAAAAAUUAAAAGUGAAAUGGAAAUUCUGCCCUCCCUAAAAAUAUAAAUUUAGUUUUAAUUCUUUUUUUAAUUAAAAAAACAAUAAUGAUAAUUAAACAUUAUUAAUAAAAAAUAAUACUUACCUUUGAGUAUUAAUGAUAUAUUAAGAUUUAAUUAAAAUUUAAAAAUAUAUUUUAUGUUAAUACCUAUUUCUUCCCUUUUUAUCCUAUCUUUAUCUUUUUUUUAGUGGAACCAUUGUUCCAAUUUAUUUUGCAUUAAUUCAAAUUAUAUGAGCUUUUUUGUUUUAUAAUAAACCCUUCAAUGAAAUUGACUUUUUAAAAUUUUGUAUUUGAUGGUUUAUAAGCUUUAAUUUAAUGGUGGGUUAUCUAUAGUUUUAAUCUUAAUAUUUAAAAAAAAAAUAUUUUUUAAAUUUGUGACAUUUAAUUAAAUAAUAAAUUUUGCUUUCUUUAGUUUUUGAUGAUUUACUCUUAUUGAAUUGUUUAUAUGAAGUGAUAGCUUAUGUUUUAUUUUAAUUAUAAAGCUGAUGCACCUUAAUAAAAUAUUUUGACUAUAAAUAAUAUCGGUAAAGAUCUCUACACAUAUUGUGUAAUAUAUUUGAUGAAGACCUCUACAUAUAUUGUCUACUUUUGAGUCCAUUAGCUUUUAUAUUCCUACUUAUAACAUUGUUUACAUAUUCCAAAUAGCUAAUGGGUGGUCAUCCUCAUGUUUUCAAUUAGGAAUUAGUUUUAAUAUCACUUAACCCAACUCAUGUAACCUUAUUUUCUUUAAACCCAUUAAUCCUCGCAACUUUAAACCCUAACAACAAAUGGGCCACCCUUAAAGUACUAAAAAUUUCUUAUUCAAAUGAUAUGAAAUAUUAUAUUCGAUCAUUUAUAUAGACACAUUGUUCUCAUCAUGACCCAUAGGGUUUAUGGAUAGUCAAAACCCUACAUAUUUCUUAUUAGGGAUUAGCACAACCUACUAGACUUCUUGGCUUUACGUACUAAAUGCAUCACUCUUAUAAGUAUUACAAAUUCUCAUAUGAGAUUUUGAAAAAGGGAAAAGUGAGUUUUUCCUCACUAAUUUAAAGAUAUAUAGAAAAAAAAACCUCAAAUUUUAAUAUAAGUUUUAUCUUUAUUAAUUUAAAAAUAUUUUAAAAUAUAUACACUUUUACAUAAAUAAGAUAAUUAUUUUCUAAAAUAACACUUUACUUGAUAAUAUUAAAUAAAAUUAUCAAAAAAUAUUUAUCAUUUUAAGUUAAUAAAAGUACAUUACAAACAAAUAUAUUAUAAAUUUUUAUUAUAUAAUAUAAGGUACAAAUCAAUAUUCCUCAAGUGAUAAAUAAAUUUUUUGCUAAUUCUCUAGCUAAUAAUAAUUUUAUAUUUUAUAUUAUAUAAAUCCCUUCAUCUUCUUACCUUUUUUUAAAAAAAUAAAAUUGAAUAAAAUUUUUGUUGAUUUACAUCAACAAUAAAAUAAGAAACUUUAAAAAAAAAAAAACCUAAAAGUUAAAAAUAUAAAAAUAAAAUAUUGACUUUCACUUCACGUACACUAGUUAAAAAUCUAGAUAUAAAAAAAAAAUACAAUGGAAGUCAAUAUUUUAUUUUAUUUUAUUUUAAAUUUUUAAAUAUUUUGGUUUUAAUUGCCUUUAAUUUUUAAGUAUUUUAGUUUUAAUUGUAUUUUUAAAAAUUUAAAUUUCUUAUUUUAUUGUUCCUAAGAUGUUUGUUUCUAGAGAGAGAAAAAAAAUCUUAAAUCAAGUCUCACAGUUAACAGAACAAAAACAAAACUAAAAGAAGAAUUAGUUUUUUUCAAUUAAAUAUUUAUGUAUGUACUUGUUAAUUGGAAUUAUUGAUAUAGUAAGUGCAAGUAAAAGGUUAUUUCAAAAAAUAAUUAUAUGACUUAAAAAAGUGUAUGUAUUUUAAAAUAUUUUUAAAUGGAAGAAGAUAAAAUUGAUUUAUAAAAUUUAGGGUUCUUUUUUCUAUAUUUUUUUCAAACUAGUGAGUUAUAACCCACUUUUCCCCAAUCAUCACAUUUACACCGAUUAAAAUAAUGAUAUAAAUAACAUUUUUUUUUCUUAACUUUCAUGUUUUAUUAAGAUAUUAUGUUUGGUACCUAAAAAGAAUGACAAAGAAAAUAAUUUUCUUACAUUUGGAUGUAAUAGAAAAAGAAAAAUAGUAAGGAAAUGAUGAGAGAAAAUUUAAAAGAUUUUCUUUUCCAUUUUCAUUAGAUAAAAGCAUGAAAAUUUUAGGAAAAAAAAAAUAUACUACUCAAUAAUUCAAUUUUCUAGAAACCAAAUAUAGUCUAAUAUUACUCUACGUUCAAAGUCAAUUUUCAAUGAUGAAUUCUCCUCUUACAGUGCUUCUUCUUAACUUGAUUGUGACAAGUGUUGUCAUAUGAAUUUUCUUCCCUCAAUCUAUCUACGGAGAAAUGUAAUUUAAAAAAAAAAAAGUACUCCUAAUCGAAUAAUGAGUAAUCACCAGAGACUUUGGAGUGUAGCAUGCAUCCUAUUCUUUUAAUUCUUGUCUCUCAAACCAGUCUUAACAUUUUUAUUCAUUGAAUUAAAUUAUUAAAUAUACAAAUUAUUGACUGGUGUCUAAGUUUUUUCUUUCUUCAAUUUUUAGCUUUAAGUUCCCAAAUGAAAAAAAAAAAAAAAUUGUCAAGAUCUUGAUUAGAAAAACCUAUUGUUUAAUUGGAAAUAAAGUGGACUCAGUCUCCUUUCUUGUUGAUACAUUGCUUUCAUCUCUUUUCCUUCUGGCUAGCUACUAUGCUUCCCGCUCUCUUCCAAAGCCUAAAAGAAGGAUAACAUUUUGUUUGUUCCCCCGCCCCCCCUAUGAAUACAUGUGACUAGCUAUGAUCAUGAUGAUGUUCAUUUUUUAAAACAAAGAAAAAUGAAAAAUAUGAGCAUCAACCAAUAAAUUUUAGUACCCUUUCUCCAACUUGGAGAAGUUCCAAAUGGGUAAUUUUUUUAUAUUUUUGUUAUAAUUUUUAUGUUUUUUAUUUUAAAUAAACAAGACAAUCCAUUUUUCUUCUGAACAUUUUUUCUUUUGCCCUUUAGCCCUAAUGGCAGUCCACUUCAAAUAUUUUUGUGCCCAAAGGGUCAAAACUAAGGAAAGAUUCACUUCAAGAAAAAAUUAGGAGAAUUAAAAAUCAAAGCCCAAAAAGGGUUCCAGCAAGUGGAUGAUUUUUCUCAGUCAACUACUGCAAUUUGAGUCUUCCUUCCUCUAUUUCCUAUUUUAUUUCCCAUAGGUAGGUUAGGCACAUUGACAUCUUUUUAUCCAUUUUUGUUUGCUUUUGUGCUUUUUUGGGAAAUCAUAAUCUGAUGUAGAUCCUGAUGGAACAGGUUUUUAUAGAAAAAUCAACAAGGGCUUUUUUUUUUACUUUUAGUUAGAUUCUGUUAUCUCAUUGGUAUGGCAUGGAAGAAUCUAUCCUUCACUGAAAAUUGAGAGGAAAAAAAAUAGAUGUUUAUUUACUUUUGUAUUAUAUCUCCUUUACACAUGUCACAAUCCCAUUUGCCUUAAUUUGUAGGCAUGACAUCCAAAAAUACUUUUCAAUACCAUAAUUUGAUGGAAAAAAUAGGUUUUGACUCAUUAGUACGAAAAUUUAUGAAAAAAAUACUUUAAUUUUUUUAAAUCAAUAUUAUCUUCAUUUAUUUCAAAAUCAACAACCCUUUUUCUUAUCUUUUAGGAAAAUUCUAUAUUACGUCAUGGGUAUGACAUGGAUGAAUUGACCAUUCAAUGAAAAUUAAGGGGGAAAAAUAGAUGUUUAUUUAUUUUUGUGCUAUAGCUCCUUUACAUAUGUCACAAUCCCAUUUAUAUUAAUUUGUUGGCAUGGCAUCCAAAAAUAAUUUUUGAUACCAUAAUUUAAUGAGAAAAUAAGUUUUGAUUCACUAAUAUGAAAUAUAUAGAUAAAAAAAAAUCUUAAUUUUUCAAAAUCAAUAUUAUCUUCAUUUAUUUAAAAAUCAACAAGGGGUUUUUUUUAUUUAAUUUAUAGGAAUAUUCUAUGUUACCUCAUUGGUAUGGCAUGGAAGAAUUGACCAUUCAUUGAAAAUUAAGGGAAAAAAUAGAUAUUUAUUUAUUUUUGUAUUAUAGCUCCUUCACACGUCACAAACCUAUCUAUGUUAGCAGCACAUGUGAUGCUUGCAAAUAAACACAAAUAGGAGAAGGUGCAGAGUUAGCAUCACAUGUUCAUGUAGUACAAUAUGAUUGGUUCUUUCUCUUUCCUCCAUAAAAUUCUCUUAUAUAGUUGACUGGUUCUUUCUCAUAUAUGGUUGUAGAUAUGAUUUGAUCAAACCGCAUUAAAACCCGGGUAACUUAGUUUGCUUUAUUUAUGUUAUUCUGUUCAAUCUGGCAUUAUAGUUUUUUAUCUUGCAAGGAUUCCAUUGAAAAACAUAACUGAAAGGGCUUUUAAGAUUUGGAGUAUAAAUAUAGUUUCCAAUAUCUUCCAAUAUAUGUUGUGGGCUCAGAAAGAAGUCCUCCCAAUUGUACUGAAAAAUCAGUGCAUUUAUGCUGCAAUUUGUUAAUAUAGUUCAGUCAGAAACAGAGCAGAUAAACAGAUAUAACAACAAAAUCCUGGGAAUUGGACAAUUUAUUAGCAGCCUUCACCAUGUACAGGAUCCCAUAGAGACGUCCAAAACAGAGCAUCAAAUGGGAACUCCUCCUGGACUAUCGACCUUCUUCUAUGGUGGCUAGGAUUUCACUGUUCCAGGAUACUUCAGGUUUGCUAGAAGAAGAAGCUGUCCUAGAAAGGUCUCUUUUUAGGACAAAAGCCGGUUGUUUAGGAACCGGCAUUGUUGCAAUGUCACUGCUGAGCAUUACAACUGCAACUGCCAUGGUGGGACGGUCACUUGGGUCUUCUUGCACACACAACAGCCCAACAUUCACACACCUCAAAAAUUCUUUUGUGUUGCAUGUUUCGCAUAGUGUCUGGUCCAUCAGCUCCAACACCUUGUCUUCUUUCAAUAGCUUCCAUGCCUGGGACAGUUUGAGAAUAGAAAGUUAAGUAUGGUAUGGUAUAUCAUUGAGAACGACUAAAAGAUCAAGGCAAAUGAGAGAUUCAAAGCCCUCACUUGACCCAGAAGGCUCAGUGUUUGGUCAGACUGAUAAAAGCCAGUGUUCCUCUUCCCACUGAUGAUCUCAAGCACCAUAACACCAAAGCUAAAGACAUCAGACUUCUCUGAGAAAAACCCAUCCAAUGCAUACUCUGGAGACAUAUAGCCACUGCAUUGAACCAGUUAAAAGCACUACUCUGUUAAUUGGGGAUGCGAUCAUGCAACUGCUUGCUUUUUUCUGUACACAAUAUGCAAUACUUACUAAGUUCCAACUACUCUGUUUGUGCUUGCCUCUACUUGCUUACUGUCAAAAAUCCUCGCCAAGCCAAAGUCUGAAAUUUUGGGAUUCAUCUCAUCAUCAAGUAGAAUGUUGCUUGUUUUCAAGUCCCUAUGAAUAAUCUUCAAUCUUGAAUCUUGGUGAAGAUACAGCAGCCCUCUAGCAAUUCCCAUAAUGAUGUCAAACCGCUUCUCCCAGUUCAGUAACAUGCAUAGGGUUCGAUCUUGCAAGGUUCCCAUUGGAAAGCAUUACUUCAGAUAUGUAUACAAGAAUGUAUAUGUUACAUGAAAAAGAAAAGGGCUUUAAGGCAGGUUUAGAGACAAACCAAAUAUGAAGGAAUCUAAGCUUUUGUUGGCCAUAUAUUCAUAGAGUAAAAUCUUCUCAUCACCUUCAACACAAUAGCCCAAAAGUCUAACCAGAUUCCGAUGCUGAAGUUUGGCAAUUAAAACAACCUCAUUCUUAAAUUCCUGUAGGCCUUGUCCUGAAGCUCUAGAGAGUCUCUUAACUGCAAUUUCUUGCCCCUCUGGAAACUUGCCCUGGAAGCCACAGUGCAUAUGCAUUGGGCAUAUGUUAGAACUUGGUGACUUGAAUUCUAUUUGGUUCGACUCCAGAAGCUCGCGAUGUGAUAUAGGUAGUAAAGCUAAAAUUAUGAAUUUUUUUUUGGGUUUGUGGUAGUAACAGAGGGAUCGGACCUAUUACUCUUUCAUGUAUAUACAUACAUAUAUAUACAUACAUAUAUAUAUAUAUAUAUAUAUAUAUAUAUAUAUAUAUAUAUAUAUAUGUAUGCAUGCGAUGAUGUAUAGUUUUCAGGGUUAUGAUGAUUAUGUUUUUGCUAUAGGGGUCCGUAUCUCUUUCCUCUUGUACUAAUUUUUGAUAUAAUAAAAUUUCUUCUCCUCGUGGUCUUUCCUAUCUAGGGUUUUCCAUACAAAUUUAUGUGUUCUUAUCCUGUUUUAUUUCUUAUUGCAUAUUCUCAUUAUUUUGUAACAGCAUAGAUGAUGAUAAACUAGUUGAAAAUGAGAGGAACAUGGAAAUUAAGAACAAUUACCUUGUAAACUGGCCCAAAACCCCCUUGUCCAAGCUUAUUUGCAUCUGAAAAGUUAUUUGUAGCAGCCAGUAUGUCUUCUAAGUCGAAAAACGGUACAUCAAUGCCUUUCUUAUCCUCUUCUUUGAAUUGCUCCGAGUCUAUUGAGUGUUUCACACGACUCUCACUAUCAUAUAAGUGAAGCACUUGAUUUGCUCUGUUCUCUGAACUCAAAAAAAACAGAAAAUAUUGUAUACAAGACCCUGAAAUAUUCUCAAUUCAGCCAAGCACAAGUCGAAAAGAAAAGACCAGAAGUUAUAGGCUAGUGCAUAUGGCACAAAGAUUACCUUUCCUUUUGGUGAUGGUUCUUUUGCGCAAAUAAGCAAUAUAACCAAUGAUGCCUAAAACCGCAACUAGAACAACAGCAAUUGUUAUGCCUACCACAACCACUGGAGAUGACCACGAUGACUUCUGAUCAGCAGGUUUGACACCUGAAACAAAGAAGGAACUGAAUUGAACUUCUCUCACCUACCCAGAAGGCAAAUUUAGUAAGAUACUUGGUGAACAGAAUCCUCACCUUGUGUACAAUUUAAACUUGAGCUAUUCCAUUUGAAGUUUUCAUUGCAAAAGCACCUACUCAUUCCAUCUCGCGUUCCGCAGAUUGAAUUUGGCCAGUCUUUGCAAUCUGCUGAUGAGGUACACGCCGGCUCCGAUGGUGGAUCCCAACUGAUCUCUACUUCAAUACUAUUUUUCAAUGACAUCUCAGAGCCAAAAUGGUCAGUUCCAACCUCUUUGCACGCAUCAGUUAUGCGAAAAGGUGGGUCUAGUGGCGGAAUUAAACUUCGAGAACUGCAAUCUGCUUCUUUCAGUUGGAUUACAAAUCUUAAUGUCUCUGGGUUAAUGCUAGUUACUCGGUAGGCACCACCAGGUACCUUGAACUGAACCUGGCCUGUGGUACUGUUACACUCAAAAUUGAAGUACAUGGGAUCACCACACUUUGAUCCAGUGCUUAGAGGAUAAGGAAUCAUGCUUGAACCACAAGUUUCACAAUUCCUUACUGUUGGUUCUGCAAAGACAGUAGAAUACCAUGUGGGCAUUUCAGUUACAAAUGGAUUAAUGCUUGUUUUUUCAAAGAAAAAAUAAAAUAAAAAUUGAAAGGGACAUACUUAUAUCUGAAAUGGCCACACGAACGGAGAGGUUGUGGGCAUCAAAGGCAUACUCCUCCUGAAGAUCAGUAAGGUCUUCCGUCCAAAUCAAGCAUUUUAGGGCAUCAGUAUCACCUCUUUCUUGUUUGAUAUAAGUUUCAGCAUAAGCUUGACAUUGGCAUUUUUCAAGGCAAGCCUUUCUGCAAGGAUCACUAUCAUUUGGAUCUGCGUCAAUCUGAGAGUCUGGCUUUCUCACUUUCAUCAUCUUUAAGCUCAGGAACAUGUCUUUACUAGAAUUCUCCUCGCAUAUGGGAGACUUUCUGGUACACCCACUUGAAAAGUCUUCAGUUUUCCACUUAUCCGGCGAGGCGGGUUUGAACCCAGGUAAACAUUUGCACAUCAAAGGAUUUUUAGUGUUACAACUACCGAAUUUCCCACAAGCUUUUGACACACUGCAUCGAUCUCGAGGUGCCCACCAGUCUGGAGAUGAUGUAUUCGGAUUCAGAUAGUACUGGAUUUCCCCUGAAGAAUUCAUCACCAACCGCGUGGUAUUCUUAUACCUGCGGGACAGUAUUUCAAGGGUUCCAUUGAAGAAUUUUAUAUAGCUGGUUGGCUUACCAUUCUUGCUGAGGUUGGAUAACAAGCUGAGUAUUGCAUCUGGAAUUUCAUCAGGCGUUCCUUUCGAGUCCUCACUGCUCCAAUAUGGGACAAUUGAACUUUCCCAUAUGUUAUAAUGAUCCUUAUUGUCUUGAUCUAUCUUGAAAGUAUAGUUUCCAGGUGCCGGGUCAACAGAACUCAGCCAUGAAGUCAAUGUUAAGGUUUCAUCCAUCUUCAUCCCCGGAAGAAAAGUAUCUGUAGGAUUAUGGAAGCUCUCCCAAAGAAUCUUCCCCGAUCUGUUGUAGCUCAAAACAAGGUUCCCAGAGUCCAUGAGCUUCACCACCCUCCCUGUAGAUAAAGAUGUUUCAAUAUCAGAAUGCCAGUGAACUGUCCCAUUUGCAUCCAAUACCUUGAGCUGACCAUCUUCUUUAAUGGCAAAAACUCCAGAGGGGGUGUCAGAAAGGGGAAGGGGGUUCUUUCGGUUGGCCACCCAUACAACUCUUUGUGGUUUCGACCUGUAAUACCAUAUGCCCACGAAUCUUCCAAUCUUGGAGCUUCCACCUGGAUUAAAGAAGCCAAGUUCAAAAGUUUUGCCUGCAGAAACAACAGUUUCUCCAUCAUUACUAAGCCAGUCCUCCGGUGUGAUGGUAUCUCUAGCAGAGCAAUACAGGACAGAACACAAGACGAAAAAGAUGGUAGAUAGCAUGUGAGUUGCAGAGACAGGAACCAUGAAUUUUCUUCCUUAUCAUUUUGCCUCUUUUUAGAGCUGUGUCCUCAAAUCUAUAGUUUUUAGUGGAGACUUUUCCUCUUGACCCUGAGUGGAGUAAAGUCACAUCAAUACUGUCUGUCAUCUUUGUCUUCCUCCCGCAAACUAAAUAACGGUUGUCCUUUUGUACCCACUAUUUAUUUUGGACCUACCUACCCUCAUUUCACUCCAGUAAUAAAAUGAAAUGUGUGAAUUGCAUGUCAUUAAAUAAAAACAAAAACACGUAUCUAAUCGGUAUUAUACUGAUUCAGUACUGUAGAAUUUUCUCAAAAACAAAAACAAAAACAUAUACCUAAUCGAAUGAUUAAUCAUUGGAGUGUAGAAUGCAAAGCUUUUUCUUUCUUCAUUUUAAUGAGACAAUGAAUAAAAAUAAGGUGGACCAUGUCUCCUUUCCAACGCACACCUUUCAUCUUUUCUCUUUAUCCCAACAUGUUUCUCAUUCCACUCCACUUUUUUCUUUGUAUGUAUAGUUUAUCUCUUUUAAGAAAUCAAGUAUGAGCAUCAACUGAUAAAUUUUUCUAUACUUUCUUCGACUUGGAGGAGCUUCAUAAUGGGAUAAACAAUCAAGAGUCUGUUUUCACAAUGUUUUUAAAAAGGGUAUUUGAGAUAACUUAAAUGUUUUUGAGGCAAAAUUUUAUUAAGAAUUCAAAUAUAAAAACUAAUUUUCUUUGUUUAUGCAUGUACGAUAUAAAAGUUUUUAAAGUGCUAUUCUCUAUUUUUUCAAUUGUCACUCAAUGAAUUCUAAAAAAAAAAAACAAAACUAAAAUACCUUAAAAUAUUUCUAAAAAAUAAUUCAUUUUCAAAACAAAUUCCCAAUAAAAAAAAAAUUGUGUUUUCUAUCAUAAUUUUUUGAAACAUAUUUUCUAAGUUAGAAAAUAAUUUUUUAUUCUAAAAGAUUAAUAUAUAUAUUUUCAAGAACAGAUACCAAAUAUAACCUAAUUUUUCUUCUAAGGUUUUUUUCCUUAUGUCUCCGUCUAGUUGUCAUCCAAUGAACAAUCCACUUCAAAUAUUUUUGUGCCAAAGGGUAAAACCGAAGGAGAGAAUUACUCAAACACAGGAGAAUUAAGAAUCAAAGGACAAAAGGGAUUGGAGCAAGGUGAUAACUUUUCUCAGUGAACUUCACUGAUUUGCUCAAAGGCAAGUUGCCAGCAAAAUCAAGGAUAUAAAAUGUGUAUUUCAUCUUUUUUUGUUGGACCCAUUGGGUUUGCUUUUUUUCCCUCUCAAUUUGGGAUUUAAUAUAAUAUAGAUCAGGAUUGAGCAGGUUUCUGUAAAUAAAUCAAAAUGGGCGGCCUUUUUUUAACUUGAUUCCCUCUUUGCUUUCUAGCACAUGAGAAAAAGUAGAGCUAGCCUCACAUGUGCACACACUGCACAUGGCAUAGCAUUGGGUACCUAUUGAGUCAUCUCCACCAUAUGAUUAAGCACAGUGGCCCAAAUACUAGCAAUGAAGUUAGAAAAUGCAUUCUUCAUUUUCGUCUCCGAGAGAGUAGGAAAACCAUAUUCUUUCUCUGAUUUUUCAGGAAGAGAGAAGAGACUUCUCACAUAGAGAAUAAAAAAUAAAAAAAUUAUUUAUUUUUAAUAGUGAUAGUUUCUAUGUAGUUUUAAAACUCCCUAAAACUAUUUCCCCAUUUUCUCAUUUAUUUGAGUCAGGUCGGGUCAGUCCACUUGGACACCCAAACCCAACUCCAACAUUGUGGAACUUGGAAGUGUAGUUUAUCUCACUGCUGAACAUGAGAACUUUGUUGGACAUGGUGGGACAUCACUUGGGUCUCUUGAACACUGAAGAGCCCAACAUUUAUAUUGUCAUUUAGUUUGCACCAUAUGCAGAGCCCAGUUCAAACAUGAUAUUGAAAAAAGUUCUAUACACAAAUACAGCUGAUGGAUAGGAGAAACAAAACAGAACAUCAGAUGGAUAAAACUUAGUAAACUAAAUAAACGGUAAAGGAUUCAUUGGAUCUCCUCUUAGCUAUCGCCCUUCUCCUAUGGAGGCUACAAGCUCAUUCUUCCAGGAGGCUUCAGCCUUGCUAGAAGAAGAAGCUGUACUAGAAAGGUUCCUCUUUACAACAAAAGCUGGUUCUUUAGGAACGGGCACUGUUGCAGCAUCACUGCUGAGCAGAAGAACUGCAAUGGCCAUGGUGGGACGGUCACUUGGGUCUUCUUGCACACACAACAGCCCAACAUUUACACACCUCGAAAAUUCGUUUGUGUUGCAUGUUUCACUUAGUGUCUGGUCCAUCAACUCCAAAACCUUGUCUUCUUUCCAUAGCUUCCAUGCCUAGAACAGUUCAAAAAGUUGUAGGUCAGAUGAACAGAGAAUGACUAAAAGAUCAGUACAAAUGAAAGAUUCAAAGCUCUUACAUGACCUAGAAGACUCAGAGUUCGGUCAGACUGAUAAAAUCCAGUGUUCCUCUUCCCACUGAUGAUCUCAAGUACCAUAACACCAAAGCAAAAGACAUCAGACUUCUCUGAGAAAUAUCCAUCCAAUGCAUACUCCGGAGACAUAGCCACUGCAUUGAACCAGUUAAAAGCAGCACUCAGCUAAUUGGGAAACGCAAUCAUACAACCGCUUGCCUUUUUCGAUACAAAAUAUACAAUACUUACUAAGUUCCAACUACUCUGUUCGUGUUUGCCUCUACUUGCUUACUGUCAAAAAUCUUUGCCAAGCCAAAGUCUGAAAUUUUGGGAUUCAUCUCAUCAUCAAGUAGAAUGUUGCUUGUUUUUAAGUCCCUAUGAAUAAUCUUCAAUCUUGAAUCUUGGUGAAGAUACAGCAGCCCUCGAGCAAUUCCCAUAAUGAUGUCAAACCGCUUCUCCCAGUUCAGUAACAUGCAUAGGGUUCAAUCUUGCAAGGUUCCCAUUGGAAAGCAUUACUUCAGAUAUGUAUACAAGAAUGUAUAUGUUACAUGAAAAAGAAAAGGGCUUUAAGGCAGGUUUAGAGACAAACCAAAUAUGAAGGAAUCUAAGCUUUUGUUGGCCAUAUAUUCAUAGAGUAAAAUCUUCUCAUCACCUUCAACACAAUAGCCCAAAAGUCUAACCAGAUUCCGAUGCUGAAGUUUGGCAAUUAACACAACCUCAUUCUUAAAUUCCUGUAAGCCUUGUCCUGAAGCUCUAGAGAGUCUCUUAACCGCAAUUUCUCGCCCCUCUAGAAACUUGCCCUGGAAGCCACAGUGCAUAUGCAUUGGGCAUAUGUUAGAACUUGGUGACUUGAAUUCUGUUUGGUUCAACUCCAGAAGCUCGAGAUGCGACAUAGGUAGUAAAACUAAAAUUAUGAAAUUUUUUUGGGUCUAUGGUAGUAACAGAGGGAUCGGACCUAUUACUCUUUCAUGUAUAUAUAUGCAUGCAAUGAUGUAUAGUUUUCAGGGUUAUGAUCAUUAUAUUUUUGCUAUAGUCGUUAGUAUCUCUUUCCUCUUGUACUAAUUUUUGAUAUAGUAAAAUUUCUUCUCCUCAUGGUCUUUCCUAUUUAGGGUUUUCCACACAAAUCUAUGUGUUUUUAUCCUGUUUUAUUUCUUAUUGCAUAUUCUCAUUAUUUUGUAACAUCAUAUAUGAUGAGAAAUCAGUUGAAAAUGAGAGGAAUAUGGAAGUUAAGAACAAUUACCUUGUAAACUGGCUCAAAACCCCCUUGUCCAAGCUUAUUUGCAUCUGAAAAGUUUUCUGUAGCAGCCAGUAUGUCUUCUAAGUCGAAAAACGGUACAUCAAUGCCUUUCUUAUCCUCUUCUUUGAAUUGCUCUGAGUCUAUUAAGUGUUUCACACGACUCUCACUAUCAUAUAAGUGAAGCACUUGAUUUGCUCUGUUCUCUGAACUAAAAAAAAAAACAGAAAAUAUUGUAUAGAAGACCCUGAAAUAUUCUCAAUUCAGCCAAGCACAAGUCGAAAAGAAAAGACCAGAAGUUAUAUGCUAGUGCAUAUGGCACAAAGAUUACCUUUCCUUUUGGUGAUGGUUCUUUUGCGCAAAUAAGCAAUAUAACCAAUGAUGCCUAAAACUGCAACUAGAACGACAGCAAUUGUUAUGCCUACCACAACCACUGGAAAUGACGACGAUGACUUCUGAUCAGCAGGCUUUGUAGGCUCUGCAGGAUUGACACCUGACACAAAGAAGGAACUGAAUUGAACUUCUCUCACCUACCCAGAAGGCAAAUUUAGUAAGAUACUGGGAGUGUGGCAGUGUCACUGCUGAGCAUUACAACUGCAACUGCCAUGGUGGGACGGUCACUUGGGUCUUCUUGCACACACAACAACCCAGCAUUCACACACCUCAAAAAUUCUUUUGUGUUGCAUGUUUCGCUUAGUGUCUGGUCCAUCAGCUCCAACACCUUGUCUUCUUUCAAUAGCUUCCAUGCCUGGGACAGUUUGAGAAUAGAAAGUUAAGUAUGGUAUGGUAUAUUGUUGAGAACGACUAAAAGAUCAAUGCAAAUGAGAGAUUCAAAGACCUCACUUGACCCAGAAGGCUCAGUGUUUGGUCAGACUGAUAAAAUCCAGUGUUCCUCUUCCCAUUGAUGAUCUCAAGCACCAUAACACCAAAGCUAAAGACAUCAGACUUCUCUGAGAAAAACCCAUCCAAUGCAUACUCUGGAGACAUAUAGCCAUUGCAUUGAACCAGUUAAAAGCACUACUCUGUUAAUUGGGGAUGCGAUCAUGCAACUACUUGCUUUUUUCUAUACACAAUAUGCAAUACUUACUAAGUUCCAAAAAUAAUUUAUGGUGUCAGUAUUUAUGGUGUCACUUUUAAAAUAAUGACACCAUAUGACUUAAAAUCCAUAAAGGUGACACCUCAUAUAAAAAUUUUCAAUAAAGAUAAAUGAUAUUAAUUUUAAGUUUAUAGUGUCAGUUUUUGAAAAGUAACACUAUAUAAAAUAAAAAUUUUAAAAUACUAUAACUUAAUGAGCCCGAGAAUAAUAAUAGUAUAUAAAAAACUCAUUAUUUCCACAUACCCACAAUCCAAAAAAUCUCAUUAUAUAACCCUAACCAUAAUUUUCUUCUACCUCUUCUCACACCCAUAGUUAACACACAACUGCUCUUCUUUACUUCAUGGAUUCUCAAGUAAUCCAAAAUCUCUUAGAUCUAUCAUUUUCAUUUUUUUUCAUUAAUGUCAAAAUCUUUAUUAGCACAAUUGAUUUAUAUUCAUUGAUUUGGUAUAUCUGUGAUGUGGAUUAUGUAAAUAGUGUUUUUUUAUUAAGUUGUAAGAAAGUAAAAAUUAAGUUUAACAUUCCACCAUAUCUUCUAUUUCAUUGUUAAACCUAUAAACCUCAAAAUGAAUGAAAAUAAGAUAAAUGAAUGAUUUUUUUUAAUUUAUUUCAUACUCAAGAAUGAGGGAUAAACAUUUUACAGUAUGAAAUUUUCUUUUGAUCUUACAAGAAAUUUCCUUUGAUGCGACUUUCUGUUUGUUUUCUAGGAAUAUUAUAGUAUAUUGUGAUGACGAUAUGUGUUGGUGAUAUUUGAAAAAUAAUUUUUAGAAAGUUAUCUUAAUAUUGUUAUCUCCCACAAAAGGAAAAAUGAAAUAGUUUCCAUAUCAUGUUGGAGUUGGUUUGGAAUGUUGGAAUUAACAAUGAAAAAUUAAUUUUUUUUAUUAAUGUAAAAGAAUUGUUUUUUAAAAUUUAAAUAGGAAUGAAAAUUUUUAUAAUUAUAAGAAUGAUCAAAUCUUAUAUUUUAAUUUUUUUAUUCUUUUACAUGGUAUUAUGGUUAAUAUCUUAUCUUGUUCUAUUCAUAUUGUUUCUAUUCUUAAAAUGUGUUUUUUGUUUUUUUGUCUUUACCUUUUUUUAUAUGCGUCGACCAAAAUUUAUAAUUUCCGUUUUAAGGUUAGAAAAUUUCUAUAAAAUCCUUUUACUACAUAAAUUUUUUCAAUUACUUCCAUAAAACUCUUUUUUUUUUUUUUUUUUUGAAAGAAGAAGAAGAAGAUGUUUUAUCUUUUGAUUUUCUAUGAAAUUUCCUUUAAUUGGACUGUUUGUUUAUUUUCUAAGAAUAUUAUAGUAUGUUGUGAUGAAGAUAUUGGUUGGUCAUAUUUGGAAAAUAAUUUUUGAGAAAAUUAUUCUCAAUAUUGUCAUCUCUCGCAAAAGGAUUAUUUUUGCUUUCUUUUCUUAUUGUUUUUAUAUGCAUUGACCAAACUUUGGAGCAAUUUGAAAUUGAUGAUGAAAUUUUCCUUUCAAGGUUAGGAAAUUUCUAUAAAAUCCUUUUAUUACAAAUUUUUUUCCAAUUCUUUCCAUAAAACUCUUCAUUUUCUUCAUUUUUCUUUUUUCUGAAAAAGAUGUUUGAUAAUUUAUUGAUCUAAAGAAUAUUAAAAGUAAAAAAAAUUAAAAUAUUGAAUAUAUUUUCCUUUGAUGUUUUUAAUUUUUUAUUAUUUGAACACAAUUUCAUAUCCAAAUUUUUUAUUAAUUAUUUUAAUUAGAAAAAAGAAAUAUCAAUUGGAGUUUUGACUGAAAAAUCAAUAAUUUUUAUGAAAAGCUCUUUAAUUCUUUCUCAUACUAUUUUUUCUCUUAAUAUUUUUUAAUAAUGAAUUAGGUUUUUUGUCUUAUAUACACAAUUUUCAUGCUUGUUAUAAUAUCAUGUCCUAUCAUAUUAGUAGUUGAAAACAUUUUGAUAUUUUGUUACUAAAAUUUUAUUUUAUGUAAUUGAGAUGAAAUUUAAUGGACAUUGUUAUUUCAUAAAAUGAACAUUAAAAAAAUAUUGAAAUUAAGAAAAUCCUUCCAAGAAAUAUAUAUAUAUAUAUAUAUAUAUAUAUAAUGUUAAAAAUGAUUUUUAAAAACAUAAUGAAUUAUAAAAAAUAAAUUUAAAAAGUGCAUAUUUUAAGUGGAAGAUUAGUAUUUUCUAAAUUUUAGAUUUAUAUUUUGAUUUGGUAGUUUUGAUUUAUUUUUUAUUUUCUUGAAUUGUUUUUAUUUGAAUUCAAAUGUGACUACUUUGUUAUGAGAUUCAUUAAAGAGAUAAUUGUUGAUUCUAUAGUUAUUGCAUUAAAGGUUUUACUCAUUUAAUGAAUUGCACAUAGUUUCAUACUUCCAAUUAUUGUGAUAUUAAUGUUAUUAUCAUUUGAUUAUAGUUUGAUGAUAAAAAAAAAAACAUAUUCUUAAGUAGAAUGUGAUGAAAUUAGAGGAGAAUUGACUACUUUUAUAUUAUAACUAAUCAAGAAUCAUGUUGAUGUAUCGUGAUCAUGCAUGGUGAGUCCCUUAGUUGUUAUAUGAAUUUUCCAUUGGUAUUGUAUAACAUUACUUAUUCUUUACAAAUUAUUUUUAUAUCAAAAUGGAAAAAAGAAAAAAGAAAACAUUAGUAGUUAGAUUUGUUUAUUUUUUAUAACAUUAAUUAAUUUUUAUUUUUAAUAAAAACUCUAAAACUCAUUAAACUAUGAAAUGCAAGUAUACACUCUUGGAAGGACAGUAUGAAGAAUAAAAAGAAAGGAGAAAGAGACAACAAGAUUUUGGGUUUUUAGAUGUAACUUUUAUGCCAUAUAUUAUAGGACAUAAACGUUACUUUAUUUGGUAUUGAGAAUUUUGGGUUUUUGGAUGCAACACUUGUGUCAUUUUAUGGUUAGCCAGUUUUAUGCAUAUGAAUUGUAGGUAUACAUGAAUGUUGGGAUGCUUAACAUUUCUAUGUCAUGUUUUAAUGUGCAUUCACUUUUCCUUUUUAGUUUUGGUGGGUUUGAUGUACUAUCAUUUUGUGAACAUUUGAUAUACAAAUAUUAUUGGAUGAUUUAAUGUAUUACAAGUUGAUCUUAUUUAUUAAUAAGCAUUACAAAAAUCUAUAGGCUAAUCAAUAAAAAACAACCAUAUAUUCCAUAAUCAUUUACAAUGAUGUGACACCAUAACUCAAAGGUGAUGCAUUUAACGUGGCACCAUAACUCAAAGGUGAUGCAUUUAAUAUGACACCUUAUAUAUCUCACACAACUCUAUAUCAAAUUAAGCAUUACUAAAAAUAUAUGGUGCUGCUUCUGAAUGUGUCACCAUUUAUCUACAUUGGUGUCGCUUCCAAAUACAUCACCAAUUGGUACCCUCUAUGGUGUCAGUGGAUAAGGUGACGCUAUGUUGUAGUGACACCUUAUGUUUAUAGUGACUCAUUAUAAAUGCCACCAUAUAUCUUUUUCCUUGUAGUGUAUUCACCCCCUCCCCCUCUAGGUGUAGUCCAUUAUUGAGAUUCACCUUUUCAUCAUCCAUCCACAUGCUAGGAAGAAAAGUAUCAGUAAGAUUAUGGAAGCUCUCCCAAAGAAUCUCCCCUGAUCUGUUGUCACUUAAAACAAGGUUCCCGGAGUCCAUGAGCUUCAUCACCAUGCCUGUAGAUAAAGAUGUCUCAGUAUUAGAAGACCAAUGAACUUUCCCAUUUUCAUCCAAUAAUUUGAGCUUACCAUCGUCUUUAAUGGCAAAAACUCCAGAGAGGGGAUCAGAAAGGGGAAGGGGGCUGUCUCGGUUGGCCACCCAUACAACUCUUUGUGGUUUCAACAAGUAAUACCAUAUGCCAAUGUAUUUGCCAUUGUUGAACCUUCCAUCCGAAUUAAAGAAGCCAAGUUCAAAAGUUUUGCCUACAGAAACAAGAGUUCCUCCAUCAUUUCUAAGCCAAUCCUCUAGUGUGAUGGUAUCUCUAGCAGAGCAAUAUAGGACAGAACAUAAGAAAAAGAUGGUUGAUAGCAUGUGAGUUGUAGAGACAGGAACCAUGAAUUUUCUUCUUAUCAUUUUGCCCUCUAUUGUUGUUAGUCAAAGAACCAUGAAGAGUUGCAGAGACAUGAACCACAAAUUUUCUUCUUAUCAUUUUGCCCUCCAUUGUUGUCAGUCAAAGAACCAUGAAGGGUUUGCUACUGUUGUAUUGCACUCUCAUUUUUAAUGGAGACUUUUCCUUUUGACUCUUGAGUGGAGAAAAUUCAUAUCAGUAUUCUUAUCUUGAUUUCCCUUUUUGAUGCAUAGCUUUCAUCUCUGGACUUUUGUGGCAACUUGAGUCUUUAAGAUGGCAACUUUAAUAUGCUUCCUGGUGUCUUCCAAGUAUUGACGUUUUGUAUGCAUCACCCUCCUCCUUCUACACCAAUUUGUUUCUUUGUAUGUAUAGUUUUAUCUCUUCUAAGCAAUAAAGCAUAUGGCAUCAACCAAUAAAUUUUUCUGUACUUUCUCCAAUUUGGAGGAGCUUCGUAAUGGGACAAACAAGAAAAAUUAGAAGUUUAUUUGGCAAUGCUUGUAGAAACAGUUUUUCAUAACAAUGCUAAGAAACAGUUCUCAAAUGUUUCGACUAACUCAAAUAUAAGAACUAGUUUUCUUUGUUUAUUCUCGUACGUACAAAGCGAAAGUUUAAAAAAUAUUCUUUAUUUUAUGAAUUUUUAUCCAAAGAACUCCAUAAAAAUGAAAAAAAUUACAAACACCUCAAAAUGAUUCUAAAAUAUAAUUCAUCUGCAUAACAAAUUUGGCAAAAAAAAAAUCAUUUUUCAUCAAAUGUCUAUCAAACGUGUUUUCUAAUUUACAAAACAAUUUUCUGUUUAAAUAAAAAAAAUCUAAAAUAACUACUAAACAUACCCUGAUUUUUGUUUUAAGCUUUUUUCCUUCUCAUGUCUUCUAAUUUCCAUGCAAUGAAUUAUCCACUUCAAACAUUUUUGUGCCAAAGGUAAAGCAAAGGAGAGAAUUACUAAAACAAACCCAGGAAAAUUAAGAAUCAAAGGACAAAAGGGGUUCAAGGAAGUGAUAAAUUUUCUCAAUGAAUUAACUUCACUAAUUGCUCAAAGGCAAGUUGUCAAUUGUUACAGAAUAGUGAAUAUAGGAAAUAAGAAAAACAAAAUAUGAACAUAUAGAUUUGUGUGAAAAAUCCUAAACGAGAAAAACCACGGACGGAUGAGAAGAAGAUCCACUAUAUCAAAAAUUGGUAUAAGAGGAGAGAGUUACGAGCGUCUAUAGCAUAACCCUAAAAAUACAUCAUCACAUAUACACACACAUAUGUAUAUAUAUAUAAAGCAGGUUCAUACUUUUGAAUUCAUUUAAUCUUUAUAUAAUGAAGGAAAGUAAAAUAAAUUAGAAAAAACAUAUGAAAUAAUUUAUUAACUUCGAAUUUAUUUUUUUAUUUUCUUUUGUUUUUUCCUUUCUUCUAUUUUUCCUCUUUAUUUUUUUUUUUCCAUAUUUUGCCUUAUAUUUUUUGAGAACCAAAUAUAGUCUUAAAGUUUCUUGGAAACUUUGGACUUUAGAAAAAACUUAACCUUUUUUUCUUGGGAAUAAUUUUCUAGAUUUGAGGUACAUUAUCUUAGGGGUGUACUAAGGAUGUCAAAAUACUUUCAAAAUCUAACUCCUAUUUUUUGGAAAGUUAUGAAUUAAUAUUUCUUUUUUUUUUUUUUUUUACUCUUUCCAAAUCUAAUUUUACUAGGAACCAAAUUUGUGAAUUUUUGCACAAAAUCCUAUCCAAGAGAGGAUCUUUUAGAAAUCUCAUCCAUUCUAUAUUUGAUUGAUAGAGAAUUAAAACCACGGUUGUGCAAAAAGCAUAUGAACAAAUAAAAUUAGACCAAGAUAUAUAUCAAUGAUUCAACUUAGAAGAAUAAUGCAUUAGAUUUCUACACUUUGAGUAGUUGCCUUGAUUAAGUCCAAUUACUAGAAGCCAAGGUCAAGGUCAUCGAAGUUUGUCCAUUCUCUUUCAUAAUUUCUUUUUUCCUCACUAAAGGAUAGAAUAUCUCUUUUACAAAUCUUGUCUAUUCUUGAUUGAUUUGGUAGAGAAUUUUAAAAAGGGUUGUGCCAAAAGCAUGUCAACAAUUUAAAAUGGACCGAGAGACGAAGCUUCUCAAUGAGUGGAUGUAUAUCUUUGUCAAUCCUUCAACUUUGAAGAAUAAUGCAUUAGACUUCUAUGCUUUAAGUAGUUUCCUUGAUUGAGUCCAAUUAUUAGAAGCCAAAGUCAAGGUCAUCGAAGUUUGUACAUUCUCUCUUGUGGUCCCAUGGUAUUUGCUCUUUUUUACCUCAUUAGAGGAAAAAACAUUAACACAGCUUCAUGUGGGAACCAACCUUUCUUUUAGCAUCCAUGAUAGUUUUUCUUCCCAAUAAUUAGAAAAAGAUUCAUGAGGACCCCAUAUGAGAACUAUUAUUGGUGAUUGUAUAUAGAAAUAAAGAGAAUUCAUUUAUCCUAUAAAAAACAACCCCUUCCUAACGAUUAUAUAAUUUAUUGGUAACAAUGUGAUAGAAAAUUUUGAGACACAUAUUAUAGAUGAAUCUUGGUUAUGGAUUAUAGUUAGAGGGGGUAAAUAGUUAUUUUUUCCAACUUAGAGAUGGUUCCCAAAGAAGGCUAUCAUUCCCUUCAUUUUUCCCCCUAAAUUCCAUUUUAAUAUUUUGAGCACAAAAUCAGAAAACAUAUGCAAGAAUAGAUACACCGAUAUAUUGUCCCUACAAUGUAAACAAUGUUUAUCAUAAUGAAUCAAGAGUGUACAUACAAACACUUUGAUGUUGGAUUUGAUGGGAAAACAAAAUCAUAACAGUUCACAAGGUAUAAACAACUCAUCACCCAAAUCACAAACACAAAGGGAUACAUAAAAUACCACCCUAAAGAAAACAAUAAGGGAUAUGAAGUUAACUUUAAGAGAUACAAAGUAUAAAAAGAAAAUCAAAAUCUGCUAAAACAAUUUAUCUUUAAAAUGUGUUGAAUAUCCCUCUGAACUAGCUAGCCAAUUUGCUUCAAAUGUAGUGAUUCCAAGAGCAUAUGACAGCUAAGACAAUAAACUUUCCAUUGACAUAUGGUUGACAUAUUAAUUUAGGACCAUUUGUCCCCAGUAAAUUUUCAAAGUUGUCUCUAGUUUCAGAAUUCCCGCUCAUGCUACUAGAGUAAGAAUUUGCAACUCUUUCAACUUAUUUUCAAAGUCUAUGUGUUGGGACACUCCCAUGUCACACUCUCCCAAUAUUAAUUUAAAUAUAGAUUCAUAUUAAUUAGUCUAUGAAUGAUUUGCUUAUCCUCUUGCAAAAUAGUUAAUUUGAUUAAUGAUGAUCUUAAAAGCUUUUAAGUUAUAAACAUAUCUUUGGAUGAUUAAUGAACAUGAUUAUGUGUUCUUUACAAUUUUGAUUUGCUCAUAUAAGCUAAUAACAUGUCUUUUAAGUGACUUGAAAAGCUUGAAGAAGGGCCUUGUGAUUCCAUAAAAGCUUAGUAAUGAUCCUCAAAGUUCAAAUGCAAGCUUAUGUCUAUUUAAUAUGUCUUAAAGAAUUAGUACCACAUAAAAUGAAGUGAUGUCUAGUGUCUAUGUGUUUUGUCCUAGAGUGAAGAACAAGGGAAUUGAAGUUGCUACUUGCACUACUAUUAUCAUCCAGUACAAUCAUGAUUCCUUGAUCUAUUUCAUAAUCACUUUACAAUUGCUUGAUUCAAAGAAGUUAGGCACAAGAACUACCAAUUACAUAUUCCGCUUCAUCUAUGGAUAGUCAAACAUCAUUUUGUUUCUUACUCAUCUAAAUCAAGAUGUGAAAUAGAAAAAUGUAUACUUCAAUUGCAAAUAAAGUGGACAAUGUUCCCUUGCUUUUUAAUUAUGAGAGCUAGCCUCACAUGAGCAUUUGGUUUAGAACUAGGUAAUCAUUGAGUCAUCUCCACUAUCUAAUUAAGCCCUUGAAGUCCAAAUACAAGCGAUGAGGUUUGACAAUUUUAUGCUAUGCAAUUAAUGAUAAUGUAGAGAGGACCAAAAAAACAGAGGAGCUUCCUAUUGACACUCAUUAGGAAAAAAAAUUACAUUGAAGCAUAAGAAUAAAUACUCCAUAAAAUUCAAUUUUAAUGAAAUUAUAUAAUACAAAUGAAAAUGAUGUUGUUAAAGAGCAUGGUAUAUAUUGUGAACUCAAAUUCUACAAGUUAACCUUUUAGAAAAAUUGGUAAUUGAGUAGAGCUUGGUUUGACGGGAGGUCAUGUGUUCAAGAGUCGCUUCUCCCCAAUUUGCAUAUUUAUUUCCUCCUAGGCUACCAAUGAUCUCAUUCUUGGAGCAUGUGUUUCUGGUUUGGUAGAAGAAGCAGCAGCCCUACUAUAUAACAGUGGAAGAAGCAUUAGAAUCUUUGUCUCUUCUUCAAGGUCUUUAGAUUUUUUCAAUUUGUUUUCUUUUCAAUUCUCAUGCAUACAUCUAAUUUUCCACUUCCAUAAUAUUUUAACCUCUGGAUGUGAAAUAGUAUUUGUAGAUCAAUCAAAAGUAUUCCAACGUAAUAUGUCACUAUAUAAUAAUCCAAUAUUUCAACCUCUAUAUCUGAAAUAGUAUAUGUAGAUCAAUCAAAAGCAUCCCACCAUGUAUAUUCAGCUAAUGUAAUCGCUACCACCAACAAAACUAAUUAUUGGUUUCAUUUUAAGAUGUUAUAGCUAAUAAAUCCCUACUUUCCUUACCAUCAAUUACUCAAUAGAUAUCAUGCUUCAAUUUAUUCCUAAUUCCAACGGUAAAUCACUGGUAAUAGAAGGCAUGAUAUACAUAUAUAGGGUCAUUUCUUUGAGUGACUUUACUCAAAAGGAUGGUCUUGAUUACAACUAGCAAAUUCUGUUUAUAAGAAGACCCUAUACAAAACUCACAUGGCUAUGAUCAUUACUUGAGUCACUAUCACACAGAAUUCAUACCAGUUUUGUUUACAAAUUGUUCUUAGGAAGAACAUAUUCCAACUGGGGGCUAAUACAAGUAGAGGUUCCAAGCUACAGACCAAGAAGGUAUGUACCAACAGAUACCUAGCUAGGAUUGCUUCUUCUAGUAACGGUUGGUUAUUAGCACAUAAAAAUGUGAGCAGGCAACUAAGUUGGAACCUUAUAGACACCGUUAGUCUCCCUAGCUUAUGAUAAAGAAUCUUUAAGGCCAUUAAGUCAACAGUUCACACUUACUAACUAGGUUUUUCUCUUUGUCGUGACUUUUUUUUUUCUUAUGCUUUUGGUAGAGCCUUGGUUAACACAUCUGCAAUUUGAUCCUCAAUCUUGCAAUAAAGCAGUUUAACUUCACCAUCCUUUUGUUCUUCUCUUAAGUGAUACAACUUGAUCUUGAAAUGCUUAGUCUUGCCAUGAAAAACAUAAUCAUUUGAAAUUGCAAUUGCAGCUUGGUUAUCUACAUGAAUCUGUGUUGGCUCAUUUUGCUUCAUGUGUAGAUCUGCAAGUAUUUUUCUGAUCCAAAUUGCUUGAUUUACAGUAGCAUUGGCUGCUAUAUAUUCUGCAUCUGCUAUACUUUGAGCUAUCACAUCUUGCUUCUUUAAGGACCAUGAAAAAAUUCCAAAUCCAAAGCUGAAACAAAAUCCUGUUGUACUUCUCAUGUCAUCAAUAGAACCUGCCCAAUCACUAUCAGAAUAACCAUGAAGUUUAAAAUUCUGAUAGUAAGAAUAUUUAAUGCCAUAAUUUGUUGUGCCCUUGAUAUAUCUUACAAUCCUUUUGGUAGCUUGAAAAUGCACUUCACUAGCACAAUGCAUGAAUCUUGAAAGCAAGCUUAAUGAAAACAUUAUGUCUGGUUUGGUGGCUGUAAGAUACAUCAAGCAACCAAUCAGGCUCCUGUAUUGGCUUUCAUCCACUUUUUCUGCUCCAUCAUCUUUGCUAAAUUUCUCCUUCUGAUUCAUUGGUGUGUUGGUCCUUUUGCAAUCUUCCAUGUGAAAUUUGUUAAGUAUUUCCUUUGCAUACUUCUUUUGGCUUAUGAAGACUCCAUCAUGAUCUUGCUUCACCUCCAUACCUAGAAAGUAGGACAUCAAGCCAAGGUCUGUCAUCUCAAAUACUUUGAGCAUUUCAGCUUUAAACUCUUUUACCAGUUUCUCAUUGCUACCUGUUACAAACAGAUCAUCAACAUAAACAGAAACUACAAUUAAGUUAGCAUCUGUUCCUUUUAUAUAUAAUGUAGCUUCACUUGGACUUUUAACAAAUCCAAGACUUUGAAGAUGUUCAUCAAUCCUGCUGUACCAGGCCCUAGGAGCCUGUUUAAGACCAUAUAAGGCCUUUUUCAACAAGUAAACCUUCUCCUCUUGUCCAUUGACUUGGAAUCCCUCGGGCUGCUCUACAUAAAUUUCCUCUUGAAAAUAACCAUUUAAAAAAGCAGAUUUUACAUCCAACUGGUAAGUCAUCCAUCCAUUUUGUGCUGUCAAAGCAAGCAACAUUCUGAUUGUAUCCAAGCGUGCUACUGGAGCAAAAGUUUAUGAGAAAUCCACUCCAAACACUUGACUAUACCCCUUCAUAACUAAUCUAGCUUUGUAUUUAUUUAUAGAACCAUCUGUAUUAAGUUUGGUUCUAUAAACCCAUUUGACUCCAAUGACCUUUCUGUGUUGAGGUAUGUCCACCAACUCCCAGGUGUCAUUCUUUUCAAUCAUUCUAAGCUCCUCUUUCAUUGCUUCAGUCCACUUGUCAUCCUUCUCUGCCUCUUCAAAUUCUGCAGGCUAAAAAACAACAACAUUACUUCUUUCAUAAACAUCAGAUAAGGACCUUGUACCUCUAACUAGGACAUCAUCUAUGUUUUCAUCAAAGUAUUGAGGAACCUCUGGUAGUUGCAUCUUUAUUGACUCCUCCCAAUUCCAUUGUCUAUCCUCUAUGAACUUGACAUCUCUACUUACAAGAAUUUUUCCAUUUUGUGGUUGGAAAAUUCUGUAAGCCUUGGAAGAGUUGCUAUAUCCAAUGAAAACUCCUGGUUCUGCCUUCUUAUCAAGUUUGUCUCUUUUCACCUGUGGCACAUAAGAAAAACAAAGACAACCAAAGUUCUUAGAUUCUGCAAAUCUGGUUUAUAACCAAACCAGGCUUCAAAUGGAGUUUUUUUUUUUUUGCAAAACUCUAGUUGGCAGCCUAUUCAGCAAAAAACUGCAGUGUUUGCAGCCUCUGCCCACAAUUUCUUUGGCAACUCCUUCUCAUGUAGCAUACACCUUGUCAUCUCCAUAAUACUUCGAUUUUUUCUCUCACUUACUCCAUUUUGUUGUGGAGUGUAAAGUGUUGUGAGUUGGUGCUCAAUACCGGCUUCUUCAUAGAACUUAUCAAAAAUUUCAUUUGUGUAUUCUUUCCCAUUAUCUGACCUUAUCUUCUGCAUCCUGCAACUGCUUUGAUUCUCCACCCAUGCUUUAUAUUUCCAAAAUACAUUAGGAACCCCAUAGUUGGAUUUGAGGAAAUAAAUCCAACAAAAUCUGGUAUAAUAAUCAAUAAAUGCAAUGUAGUACUUACUACCAUUUAAAGAUGGUGUUUUCUGAGGUCCUCCAACAUCUGUGUGUACCAGUUGCAGCUUGUGCAUUGCUCUCCAUGUUGUUUGAGGGAAGGGUUUUCUAGUUUGCUUUCCAUAUUGACAAGCCACACAAUCAGCUAGCUUGUCUUGCAGCAAUGGCACACCUUUCACCAAAUUAUGUUUCUGCAUAUAUAGAAGUCCAACAUGGUGGAAAUGCCCGAGCCUUCUGUGCCAUAAUUUUGCAUUGCGUUCAAUGCUUGAAAAUGCUAUUUGCUCAUCCUCCAUUAGAUUUAGAGCAAAGCUUUUUGCUCUCAUUUUCACUUUGAAUACAUCUCUACCUUUCGCGUCUUUGAUCAAGCACCAUUUGUCUUCAAAUAUGACUUUGAAACCUUUUUCAGUUAGCUAUCCAACACUAAGCAGGUUUUGAUCAAUGUCAGGCACAUAUAAAACAUUAGUAAUAUACUUCAAACCUAUUAAGCUUUCUAUAGCCACAGUUCCUUCCUUUACCCUUAACUGAAAUAAAUUCACCAUUUCCAAUUUUUACCUUGGAGAUAAUAGUUUUAUCAAGCUCCUUAAAGAGCUCUUGGUCAUUGGUCAUGUGGUUUGUGCAGCCACUAUCAAUCAACCAAGAAUUGCUAGAGUUGUUACUUGUUGUGAAGCAUGUUGCAACAAAAAGUUGCUCUUCUUGAUGUUGCUUAGUAGAAGCUGUAGGGACCCCUCCCUCCGAGAACACGUGGCACGCAUCUUACAGUGACACGUGGCACGCAUCUUACAGUGACACAUGGCACGCAUUGUCAUCCGGGUCAUCCUCAUCCGGAUCUUCCUAUAAAGCACACAUGGCGCACUUUUUAUCUGGACUGCCUCAAGGAAGGGCAAACGACGCUUACAAAGCAUAGACAUUCGGACGGCUUCCAUUAAUGCGUCCGCUCCACAAUACAUCCGGAUAACCAACAUGGACUAUCCGGAUAUGAUUGUCCGGAUCAUUGACUAAAGUAAAGCGAGUCUUACACGCUAUCACAACAACCAACCAUGGCCCACGUCCCAUCACCUGCAGAGUGAAAGGACGGGUUGAGGUGACAACAAGUCACUUCCCACGAUCGUUCUAGAUGAUCACUUCCUACGAUCUCUGAUAGCCGCAUCACCUACCACGGUUUCUGACAGCCGCCCGUAGGGUGGUGAUGACCCUGCUGCCAUCUAAAUAUCAUCAUGACAACAUGAAAUAUCUCCCCACCAUUAAUGAGAGGAACAAUACUCCUGGCACUAUAUAUAAACCUUCACACGAAGAGGAAGGUAAUCGCCUGAUACCUAGAAAAAGGCCAACUGAUUUAUAUCUCCCUCUCUAACCAUGGCUAACAAAACCAUCGGAGGGUGCGUCCGGACACCCUGUCCGGAUGCCUUUUGCAGGUAUAACGACUGAAUCAAGAACCUAUUUUGGUUGAGGUCGCGGAUCCAUCCAUUUGGCAACUACGUGGAACACUAGGAGCGCGAGGUAUCAACAUAAGCUUUUGCCUCUUCAUGUUGUCGUGACUUGCAAAUCCACUCCAUGUGUCCAAUCUAACCAUAUUUCUUGCACUUGACAUCAGGCCUCCACCAACACUUCCUUUGUGGGUGAUUUGUCUUUUUGCAGUGUAGGCAAGGUGGAUAGGUUCCAUCCUUGUUUUUGUUGUUGUUGUCAGUCUUGUUGAUCUUCUUCUUAUUGUUGUUUUUCUUGUUUUUGCCUCAUCUUGAAUUUUAUGCCUUUGCUUGAAGAGCACCCUCCAUCGAUUCUUCUUUUCUUAUCAUUCUCCUUUGCUCUUGUGCCUGCAAUGCAUUCACCAAUUCUACCAAGGAUAUGCUUGACAAAUCCUGCAUAUAUACUUGAGUGUUGCAUUUACAACACACUGAAAGAGAAGUUCACCUAUAUCAGAAACUGCCACACGCACAUAGAGAUCAUGGCCGCCAUCCAAAUACGCCUCCUGAAUGUCAUUAAGAUUUUCCUCCGAAAUCAUACUGAUGGCGGUGUCUGCACGAGUCUCGACUUCAACAUAGGCAUAAGCCUGGCAGUUGUUACAGUCUCUGUUGCAGUGAUUUUCGCAUUCUUUUUCAUUUGUAGUACUGUUGAACUGUGUGUCUGAUUUUUUCACUCUCAUCAUCUCUAGCCUCAAAAAAGUGUCAUUCUUGCUGCACAGGGGUGAAAUUCUUCUACAGUCCCCCGAAAAAUCUCCACCAUUCCACUUUGCUGGAAAAUUUGGUUGGAAUCCUGGCAAACACCUGCACAAAAUCCUAUUUCUAGUACUGCAGCUGCCAAAACUUCCACAGGGAUUAUUCCCAUCGCAUCUGUCUUUUGGUUCCUUCAAAAGCGAAUACCAAGAGCCCGUCUGAUUACGGAUCUGUAGAUACUCUAUCUGGCCGGAAAAUUUCAUCACCAACCUCCUAUAAUAAAAAGAGGUUGUUGGUUGGCUACUAUUAAUGCUGGAAUUUGAUAACAUUUUGGAUAAUUCAGAAUACAUCUUAUGGUCCCAACCGGAUGUAAUGAAAUCAUCUGAUAUCCCACUCUUCCAGUAUGUAUUAGGCCCAUUCUGGAUGAUGUACAGGUUCUGUGCUACUUGAUCUUUCCUGAAAGUGAAGUUCCCCGAACCCGGGUCACUGCUGCUUUUCCAUGAAGUCAACACCAAGUUGCCAUCCAUCUUCAUACCUGGAAGAAAAGUAUCAGUUGCGUUUCCAAAGCUUUGCCACAGACUUGUUGGUAGCUGAUCAUUCUUCAGAACCAGGUUCCCGGAAUCUAUGAGCUGCGCUAGCUACCUUUUCUGUAGAUGACGAUUUCUGGAGAGGGGUUGACCAGAAAGGUCUCCCUCUUCCAUUCGAAUUCAACACGAGGUUACCAUCUUGAAUGGACAAAACUCCAGUGGAAUCAGGCAGUGGGUCGUUUCUAUUGGCUACCCACACAACGGUUUUCGUCUCCAACCUGUAAUACCAUAUACCAACAUAUCUUUGGUGACUAGACUCCCAUUAGGGGUGAAGAACCCCAAUUCAAAUGUCUUACCAACAGACAAGAGAGUUUCUCCAUCACCAUCACUGAUCGGAUCAUUCUGCCUUAUGGUAUCUCUUGCUGCACAUGUUUGAUAACAACACAACAAUGUUGGGUACAAGAUGAAGAUGGUAGAUACCAUGUGAAUUGUUGUUGACCAUGUAAUUGCAAUUCUUCUUCUUUUGAUUACUAUUAGGUAGUUAAGACUUCCCUUCUUCACUUGGAGCUGUGGUAGAGGCUGCUGCUGAAUUAAUCCCCAGUGUUUUCUGUCAACAACCAUGUCCGGUGUUGUUCCUAAUUCACAAAAAAUGGCAUAUCUCAUUGAUUUGGUAAACCAAUUCAAACAUUGAUCUGGUCAAAUUUUGUGAACUCAUUAUUACAACAUAGUACAUAAGACUUUGUUUGGGAAGUGUUUUAAAUUUUAAAAUUUGGCAUUUCUUAAAAUCUUGACUAAACACAAAGUCAUAGUUUAAAAUUUUAUCGAAUGCCUCUAAUACUUUAAAUCAAGUGAAACGUGAAUGAAAUUAACAAAUAAGAAGAAUAAGAAAUAUAGUUUCACACUUAAGUAACAACUAAUACUAUAGAGAAAUGACCACAAGCUGGAAAGUCUUGACCAAUUUGAAAAAUCAUUUGAUGUAGUUGAAAUAAUUGAAUUUUGGAUAAAAUUCAUAACUGUCUCAACAUUAUUUUUUUUCCCUUUUUAUUUUUAUUGUUUGAAUAUUCAAGAGUUAAAACCAUUCCAAUGCUCCUUUUUGCCAUGUAUAAUUAAACUGAACCAACAAUUAGGAUAAGCACGAAAAAGAAGGAACCGAGAAGAAGAUAUCAACAAUAUUAACCGGUUUUAUUAUGGGACAACUCAUGAUGUUCAUAUUGAUCUAUUAUGCACCUUUGCAUCUAGCAUUAGCUAGACUCAUACUGUCCUAGCUCUACUAUAUCUUUUAUUUCAUUUCGAUCUUCUGAAACAAUCACAAACACUUUUCAUUAUUAUUAUUAUUAUGAAUCAAAUGGGACAUAAAUGAAAUUAACAAAUGAGAAGAGUGAAAAAGGUAAUUAACAAAAUUUCAAGCUCAUCGUUGCUAAAUAUUUUAUAAAUAAAAAUUGCCCAAGAAACGAGCCUUUAAAAGUGUACCUUUAUUUAAAAAUAAAUAAAGGUAAAUUAAAGUAUUGACUUAGUACAUAAAUAUCAACACGAUUCCAAUCCAACGCAUUUUUUUGUGGGUUUUGGUUGAAUAUAAUUCUAUUUAUAUCAAAUCCGUAUCAACUUGUGUAAUAUAUUUUACUAAUAGGUUAUUUUUAAAUCAACAUACAUAACACGAAUUUGACUCAAGUUAACCUUUAUAUUUAAUAAUCAUACCAAUUAACCUAAUUAUAAUUCUAACCGUUUAAUUAAUAUUUGAUUCAUUUUAAAUUUAUUUUUGAACAAAUAGUUAAUUAAAUUAUAACUAUAUUAACUUGUAAGAUUAAUUAUAUAAAUUUAUACAAAACUUAACUCAAUUAAAAAUUUGAUUUAAAUGAGUUAAAUAAAUUACAAAACAUGUUAUUUGUUUAAUAAUUACAUUGUAUUUAGGUUUAUGUUUUUUACUUUAUUAAUAUCAUUAUUAUGAUUGAGUCAACCUAUUUAGUAGAAUGUUUUAGUCUUGAUAUCACACAAAUUGUCAUCCCUAUCUCUAAUCUUGUCAAACAAAUAGUUUGAAGGACAUAUUUUUUUAACUAAAGAAAAUUAUUACCUUACAUAGAGUUUUAUUAAAAAAAAAAAAAAAAAAGCCAAAUAAAAAAAUGUAAUUAAAAAUAAUUAGAAAUUUAUGCAUUUUCAAAUUAUUUAAUAAAUUUAAAGAAGUGAAAUGGAUUUAAAUUGACUUAUAAAAAUAAGUUAUCAACUUCAAAUUUUUUUCCUUUCUAAUUUUUUUUAAAAUUUUUUUCCCUCACAUUUUUUUUCAUAGUUAUAGGAAACAAACAUAACCUAAUUAGGAUCCUACUAUCAUGUUUUUUUAUUCCCAAAAGUUUUUGGGUCUAACCUUUUUCUAAACUUAUUUCAAAGGGCAUCUAUAACACAAGAUAUUAAGUGUGCUUGCUCGACAUGUAGUCUUUCAUUGAUUUCCUUUUCGAUUAAAAACUUUUAGACAAGUCAGAUAUAUAGUUUUUGCUUUCUUAACAGAAACCAAAGUCUAAGUCUUUGCACAAAAUCCUAAUCAAAGAGAUCUUUUAGAAAUCUUAUUGGAAGAGAAUUUAAAACCAGAGUGGUGACAAAAGCACACGAACAAAUAAAAUUGGACAAAGAAAUUAAGCAUCUCGAUGAGUUGAUAAAUAUCUUUGUCAAUACUUCUACUUGAGAGAGAAAUACAUUAGAUUUCUACACUUUUGAAUAGUUGCCUUGAGUGACUCCAAUUAUUGGAAGCCAAGGUCAAGGUCGUUGAAGUUUGUCCAUUUUUUCCCCUUGGUCCCACAUUAUUUGCUUCUCCUUAAUUUCCUCCGGUUUGGGAAAAGGACAUUCACACGGUUUGGUGUAGGAACCACCCUUUCCUUUAGUAUCCAUGAUUACUUUUCUACCCAAUAAUGAGGAAAACAUUUAUGAAGGCCCCAUGUGAGGACUAUUAUUGGUGACUCUAGAAAUAGAGCUAUUCAAUUUCCCUCAUAAAUAGUGUAACAUCCAAAAUAAACUUUAGAGACAAAAUAGUAAAUUAUUAAUUAAUUAAACUCAUUAAAAAUAAACGAGUCAUUUUACAAUUAAAAAUCGUAUCAAUUAGAUUUUCAGUUUAUCUUCUUUAUUUAGAAAACUUUAUUAACAAAAAAUCAAAGAAUUGAAGAACGUAAGGUUAAAGAUUUGGAAGUCUAUAGUUUGAAGUUCAAUUAUUUUUUUUCAAGUAAGAUUCUAACCCUAGAUUAAUAUAUUAUAUUCAUUAGUUAGUUUUGACUGUGUUAGAUAUUUUUAGAAAAUUUUAAUUUAGAUUAUAAUUAGUUUAUUUAAUUUAUUUUAAGAUAUAAAAAAUUGAAAUUAUGAAUGUUGUUUCAUUGAUGAAAAUAGAGAAAUUCAAAAUUUUUUUAGAUGAAUAAAUCUAAACAAUGAAAUUUAAAAAAAUUAAAUGAUUAAAUAAGUAUAUGAUUAUAUGUGGCUUAAGGGAUUGAAAAAUAAUAAAAAGAAGAAUAGCAUGUUUUUGGAUUUUGGAUUUGAGGAACUUUUUAAUAAUAAAAAUAAUUAAGGUUUACUAUUAAUAAGAAUAAUGAUAAUAAUGAUAAUAAUGAUAAUAAUGAUAUUAAUAAUAAUAAGAAGAAGAAUUGUGUGAAGAAUAAUUUCAUUUUCAACGUAGAAAUGUGAUUGUCAAGGCCUCAGUGAAGAGAACGGUAACGGACCCUGCUGUAAACGACGAUGGGUCACGAGCAAACGGUGAAAUUGCGGAUGAACCCCACAACUGUAAAGUGCUUUUGACGCGUAAUGGGUUCCACCACUACCAUUAUUGGGGAAUAUUUCUGGUGGAUGAAAAGCCGCUUUUGGGUUCACGGUUGACUCAUUAAAUCUCCUACCUAUCUCUGAGUUUGUCAACUGAGACCACCGAGUUUUAUUUAUUUAUUUAUUUUUUUCUUUUCCUCGGUUCAAUUUUUGUUUCCAAUACGAGGAAAAGGGCUUUCAAGUCUGACACGUGGAAAGUCAGUGGGCAUCAUAAUUUUGUUACAUUUUUAGGGUUUGUUGGAGCUGCAAUAGGGACAAUAAUUUUUGUAUGGAUAAGCUACAAAUCAGAUAUCGAAUCUAAAACAAAUGUUUAAUGGUGCAACUAAAAGAUGUUUUUUCAAACAUUUUAUUUAUAUUUUUUAUGUGAAAUAUGUUUUUUUUUCUCCCAAAGAAUAGAAAACUAUUUUUAAAAAAAUGUUAUUAACAAAAUCUAAGUAUAAAAUCAAUUAAAAACAAUGAGAUUUUUUUCUUAAAAUUUUCUAUGAUAAGAUAACAUUAGAAUGACACUAUUAGCAAAAUAAAAAUUUAAAGCUAAAUAUACAUUCCUACAAUGUGAAUAAUUAAAUAGCACACAAUCUAAUAUAAUUAUUUAAUUUAUUUCUAAAUUAGAUAUUAUUUAAUUAAUUACCAAAAUUUAGAAAAAAAAAAAAUCAAACUCAAAAUUAAAGAGAACCUAAAUUUUUUUAAAAAAAAUUAUUUAAUAAAAUGUCAAAUACAAAAUUACCAAAAAAAAAUUAACAUUAUUAGAAAAGUUAUAAUAAAAUUAAAAUUUACAUUUAAUGCAAGAAAGAAAAAUAAAUAAAAUGUUGAAUGCAUGAAAAAAAUUAAAUUGAACUUUUAAAACUCAAAAUUAAAUUUAUGGGGUUUCUAUUUUAUUUUUUAUUAUUCGAAAACCUUAUUUAUAUCUAUGAGAUUUUUUAGGGAACUCGCCCAUCUACUGGCUUGGUCAAUGUAAUAUAAACUUCUUUUAAUCAUAUAAAUGUAUUUUAAAAUCAUGAAUAUUGAUUGUGCUCAAAGUAAAUAAUAUCGUAAAUACCUAUUCUGUUCAAAGUGGAUAAUAUCUACAUAAGAAAGAGCAAAUUAUUAUAAAUGAUAUUAAAAUCAAUCCUUGAAUAUGCGAGACUACCUAAAUGGUCUUAGAGGGAUGUUUAUGUGUUUGACCUUUGCAUGGUAUAAGUAAUGAUAUCUAUCUUAUCACCGACCAAUCAUGAAAUAUGAUAUAAUAUCCAUAUUUUAUCUUAUUUUAUACUAUAUCCGGUUAACCAAACAUGACCUAAGGUUAAUUGUUGUAACUAGUCAAGUUUUAGCCAUGACGGAUGCAUACUCAAUCAUGGUAUUAUCUCAGCCUUUUGGGCUUCCAGGACUGGUCCUUUAAAUUUGGGCUCAAACCCAACCUAAUGGAAGAGGGCCUUAACUCAGUUCAUGGGCCUGUCUAGCCUGCCGCGCUGGUUUCCAACUGGCUCGACCCAGCCUAGACUAGGGGUCGUGCCCGUCCACUAUAUUGUUAUAAUUUUUAUAGGAUCAUAGGUGAUUUAUUCUUUGAAUUUUAUAGUAAAGAGACAAAGCUUGAUAAUAAGAAUUUGGACAUUGUCUAAAAAAUUUUAAGGGUGUUUAGCAUCUAAAUUUUGAGAAUUUCUUUGGCUAUAAAAAAAUUUGAGAAAAACUACAAAGAAAAUAAAAUAAAGAAAAAAAGUAAAAAGGAAAAAAAAUGAUGAAAAAUAAUGAAUAAAUUUAAAGUUCAUGCGAUAUUUUUAUAUGUUAUUUAAAAAAAAUUAACUCUUAUAUAUAAAGGUUGAAUAAUUUGAAAAUAUAUAGAUUUCUAAUUAUAUUAAAUUUUCUUACAUAUUUUUAAUGAUAAAAUCAAAUAUGAAAUCAAACAUGAGAAUAUAAUUUUUCUUAAUAAUUUUUAUUUUUAUUUUUUUAACAUUUUUCUUUCUUUUUAUGAUACAUACUCUUAAGUCUAAUCCAAUGAGGUAGAGGUAGUUGUACAUAUAAGGUCCAACUAAUGUUGGUUGAUGUGGGACAUUGAACUUUCGUCUGUCCUAUGUAGUGAACCUACAGAACGAGCAUCCCUAUUCAAUUGUUAAUACUCAAGUCUAGGGUGGGCUAAACCAAAUCUUAUCAUGAUAUCAAAUUAUAUGAGGCCACAUACACUCUCAUGAAAAGCCUAAGCUAAUGGGGUAAAGGUAGCUCCACGUAGAAAACCUAACCAACAUUAGUAAUCAAUUGAAAUGGGACAUUAGACUUUUGUGCUUCCUACUUAACAUUGUUUGAGUUUCUAACAAGGUAAACAACCCUAUUCAAAUAUUUAAUUAUUAGUAGAUCAAGAAUUUGUUAGGUAUUGAUUUUAGGAAUCAUUUCUAAUAUUUUUAGCACUUGGAAAUUUUUAUUAAAAGAGUUAUUUUCUAGUAUUAGAAAUACUAGAAAUGAUUCCUAGAAACCCUAUUCAUUUUAUUUUUUAUUUUUUUUGCUCUUUCUCUAUAAGAGCAAUAUAAAGAGAAUACAACAAGAAGGUAGAUAUUGUUGACAAGAAAGGGAAUAAUUUGUAUAAUGGAAUCUGUAUACACAAUUGCUUUCUUUAAAUGCUUAUAACCCAUAUAUGAUCUAAAUUUGUCUAGAAAUGUCUAAGGAAAGUUGACCUUAUAGAGUAGUAAUCUGCUCCCUUUAGUUAUGCCUGUAACGUAGGGAUUAUACAACUCAUGUCCACACUCUCCCUCAAGUUGGUGCAUAGAUGUCGUUGAUGCCCAACUGCAUACCAUCUUAGUGAGGAUGUCUGCUAGUUGGUCUUCUGAUUUGAAAAAUGGGAAUCAGAUUAUAUUAACUUCUAAGUUUUUCUUGAUAAAAUGUCGGUCUACUUCCACAUGCUUAGUUCAAUCAUGUUGGACUAGGUUAUAAGCAAUAUCAAUGGCUGUCUUGUUAUCACAAAGCAAGUUCAUCUCGCAACAAGGAGAAUAGCCAAUUUCUAUCAAUAAUCUUCUCAGCCAGAGUAACUCACACAACCCCUUAGCCAUUCCUCGAAACUCCGCCUCUGCACUAAAUAGUGCUACUGAUUCGUGCCCGAUUGGUGUUCCAAUUGAUUCAACUCAAUUGAUGUGCUUUGAUCUCAAUCCUCAAACGGGAGUAAUCAACAAAAUUUAUAAACCUAUUUCACCAUAUACUGGGGUAGCAUUUAGCUAGCAUAGUAUAGUGGCUCUAGGAUCGUCCACAGAGAUGGGUUUUUACAUCGCAAUUGAUAUUAGUUCAAAAAUUGAAUUGGUACUUUUUCUUUUCUUUGUUAGCUUUAAAAGAAGACAUAAGUUUGAAUGAAAACGGAUGGUAUUAAGCUAACCUAACAUAAAGUAACUGAUUUUACUUACAAAGAAAAGUGUUUCUUGGAGUUUUAGAUCACUAGGCUCAGAUUCCUCAUACAAAAAGGGAGUUCCGGUCACUUGCUUCUUUUCCUCGCAUUAGAGAAUUAACAUAUAGUUAAUUCUCUAACCGGUGUGGUACAGAUGCUUCCCAUUAAUGGGUUCAAACACUAAAUUUCUCUCACUGAUGCACCUUGCAAUGGGCUCAUACCUCUCACCAAGCACUUUCCAUUCAAGGUGAUCUUUAACCUUGGAUUACCCGUCAAAAGCGAACAAGAGAUAACAAUUAGACCUCCAUGGAGCAAGAUUGCAAGCAAUAAGAAUCCAUGGAAUUCGAAAGCUUACCAAAUAUUGGCUAUUCUAGAAAAUCCUACCUUCAAACCACCUACCAAAAGCUCGCAAGAGAUAAACUAGUGCAUCUCUAUGGACGGAGAUCACUUGCCUUACCAAGUGUUAGCUCAGGUGAAUUGAAGGCGUUUUAAGUUAACUAAAAAGAUAAAAACCAUUAACAGGUCACACUUUCUCUUCAUUAAAAACUAAAACAACAAAACUUCCAAUUUAUGCAUGUGGAAACUUACCCGGCUUUCCUCACUCCAAGAGACGAAGAGCCUAGCCUCUCAUCCUCUGAGGAAAAAUCCUCAGAGUUUGGUUGGCUAGAAAGAAAAAGAAAAUGAAAAUGAAAGAGAAGGAAAAACAAAGCAAAGCUCUGUAUAUUCUAUAUACUUAUAUAUCUAUAUCUUUUACAAUGGAUGCAAGGGAAUAUAUAUAGAGAAGUUUUUCCAACCUUCCUAUCUAAGAAAUCUUAUGGUUGGUGGAUUACAAGGAGAAGAAUGGAAAUUUAUACAAAAAUAUCUUAAGAAAAGAUCUAAAAGAGUUGGUGCACAAAUAUCCCAGUUCGCAUGUAGAUUUCGCACGUUGCAUGGUGACUUGCGAAAAUCUCGCAAGUUGAUUUCGCAACUUGGAAUCCAUUUUCGCACGUUGAGCUCCAAGUUCGCAAGUUGCAAAAUCACUUUCGCAAGUUGGGUUUCUCUGUGACUGUGCGGCUGUAUUCCAUUUCCAUUUCGCAAGGUAGGCUUUAAUUUCGCACGUUGGAGUUCCAAAUUCGCAGAUGCGAAUUGUCCUUCAACUGGGUGUAUUUGUCUUGNNNNNNNNNNNNNNNNNNNNNNNNNNNNNNNNNNNNNNNNNNNNNNNNNNNNNNNNNNNNNNNNNNNNNNNNNNNNNNNNNNNNNNNNNNNNNNNNNNNNUAAAAACCAUUAACAGGUCACACUUUCUCUUCAUUAAAAACUAAAACAACAAAACUUCCAAUUUAUGCAUGUGGAAACUUACCCGGCUUUCCUCACUCCAAGAGACGAAGAGCCUAGCCUCUCAUCCUCUGAGGAAAAAUCCUCAGAGUUUGGUUGGCUAGAAAGAAAAAGAAAAUGAAAAUGAAAGAGAAGGAAAAACAAAGCAAAGCUCUGUAUAUUCUAUAUACUUAUAUAUCUAUAUCUUUUACAAUGGAUGCAAGGGAAUAUAUAUAGAGAAGUUUUUCCAACCUUCCUAUCUAAGAAAUCUUAUGGUUGGUGGAUUACAAGGAGAAGAAUGGAAAUUUAUACAAAAAUAUCUUAAGAAAAGAUCUAAAAGAGUUGGUGCACAAAUAUCCCAGUUCGCAUGUAGAUUUCGCACGUUGCAUGGUGACUUGCGAAAAUCUCGCAAGUUGAUUUCGCAACUUGGAAUCCAUUUUCGCACGUUGAGCUCCAAGUUCGCAAGUUGCAAAAUCACUUUCGCAAGUUGGGUUUCUCUGUGACUGUGCGGCUGUAUUCCAUUUCCAUUUCGCAAGGUAGGCUUUAAUUUCGCACGUUGGAGUUCCAAAUUCGCAAGAUGCGAAUUUGUCCUUCAACUGGGUGUAUUUGUCUUGUGAAAGCCAUAUCUUCCUCAUUUCAGCUCCAAUUCGUACACUGUUUGAAGCGUUGGAUUCUUGACUUCCUGAGCUUUGAAAUGGUAUAUAGCAUGUAGAAAAUGGACUUCGGGAAGUGCUCCAAAAGUGUGAAAGAAGACUGAAGCUGCUGUCCUCUAUUUUCUUCACUCUAUUUUUCCUCUCUCCGUUGUUCUUUCCUUGCAUACUUUGAACGAAUUUGGCAAAGGGCUAUGGAGCUCCAAAGCUUGGUUCUUCAUGAAUUUGAGCUUCCAAAAGCUUUGCCAUGAACUAUAUACAGCUCUCCCUCAUUCUUGGAUUGCUUUGGUGUAGCUAAAAGCUAUCAAAAACACCAAAACUUAACACAAUUUGCUUAGAAACGAUUGCAAGGGUCCUUAACAUGUCAAUUGAGUUAAAAGGUAAUAAUUACUACUCAAGAGUGUUUAAAAGAGUUAAUUACAAGCUACAAAAUAGCACUUUUUGAGUAGUAAUCAGCUACUACUUUAUGUUUUUUUUACUUCGACAUGUUUUCAAGUUUCUCCAACAAAUGUGAGGUAACCUGAUGUGGAUUUCCUAUCGGAGAUAUUUCUUGCCCAAUCAACGUCGAUAUACCCUAUAAUUUCCAGGUACCCAUUCUUUGAGAACAUAAUUCUCUUCCCUAGGGUUCCCUUAAGGUAUCUUAAAAUUUGAGUCACUACAUUCAUAUGAUCUUCACUAGGGCAAUGCAUGAACUGAUUCACUACACUGACCGCAUAGACAAUAUCAGGUCGGGUAUGUGAAAGAUAAAUUAGUUUUCCAACCAAUCUCUGAUAUUUGCCUUUAUCAGUGGGAAUCUGGUCAGGGUAUUCUCCAAGCCUAUGAUUCUAUUGUAUUGGAACAACUGUCAGUUUACAGUCUAGCAAUCCAACUUUUGAUAAUAGAUCGAGAGUAUACUUUCGUUGGGAAAGAAAGAUACCUCGUUUAGAUUGAGCCACCCGAAUUCCUAGAAAAUAUUUCAACCAACCCAAACUCUUUAUUUCAAACUUUGCUGCCAACUGUUUUUUAAGUUUCGCAACUUCCUCGGUAUCAUUACAUGUGAUGAUCAUAUCAUCUACAUACACUAUUAGUGUUGUUACCUUGCCUUGUCGACGCUUUAGAAAUAGAGUGUGGUCAUAAUUGCUUUGUUGAAACCCAUACUUUCUCAUUGCUAGGUUGAGGCGUCCAAACCAAGCUUGUGGAGACUAUUUCAAGCCGUACAGGGUGGGCCACAGUUUACACACUGUCUUGCCAGACGUUUCAAUGUACCCAUGGGGAUAUCCAUAUAAAUUUCUUCUUCGAGGUCACUAUGGAGGAACACAUUCUUUACAUCAAAUUGGAGUAGCGACCAAUCAAGAUUCACUACAAUAAAUAGAAGGACUCUUAUAGUGUUCAACUUGGCUACAAGUGAAAAGGUCUCCAUAUAGUCAACUCCAUAAGUCUACGUAUAUUAUUUCGCUACAAGCCUCACUUUUUAGCACUCAAUUGACCCAUCCACCUUGUAUUUGAUGGAGAAUACCCAUUUGCACCCCACUAUCUUGUGGCAUUCUAGUAAAGAGACAAGAAUCCACGUCUUGUUUUUCAACAAUGCUUCCAUUUCUUCCUUUAUUGGUUGGACCCACCUAGGGUCUUGUAGAGCCUCCUCUAUGCUUGUUUGAAUGUGAUGCGCUGAUAAUGCAUUAGAAAAGCUCUUUAAGGGUUCUGAGAGCUUCUUUGUUGAGACGUAAUUGGCAAUUGGGUACUUUGAUUUGUGUGUCUCAAUAUUUGGAGAAUAGCAUUUUGGUAGUUUGCCAUGAUUGUGCUUGGGAGGUAACUAAUAACCAUCGUCAGUUAAAUGUUUUGUGGCAAGAGGAAAACUUACCUUAGGAACCUCUUCAGGAAUAUUCUCAGAAGUUGGGUCAUGAGGUACUUUAGAAUGAGGGGGUGUCUCAGGAAUUGGAGUUGGUGUCUCAGUAGUCAGCAUUGGUGGCUCUGUAGCUAUUCCAUAUCCAUGGUAAUUGGUGGCUCUGUAAUCAGUGGGAUGUCUGGGAUGUCUUUGAACCAAUUCAACUCUUCAUCGUGUGUCUUCCCCUUAAGAGAAGAAUUGGAUGGAUGAUAGAACAUCUCAGACUCGAGGAAUGUGACAUCCAUAGUAACAUAGAGCCGCAUGUUUGUUGGAUCAUAGCACCAGUAACCUUUUUUAUUGGUGGCAUAGCCUAGAAAGAGACAACGACAAGCACAAGGAUCGAGUUUAGUGCGCUGGUUGCAGUGAAGAUGAACAUAGACAACGCAUCCAAAGGUUCGGGGAAGAAGCGUCGUAGUCGAAAGUACUGAUAUACUCGAGGCUAAGGCCUAUAGAGGUGUUUUGAAAUCCAGAAUUUGGAAUGUCAUUCGAUUAAUGAGAUGCACAAUAAUUGUAACCGCAUUAGGCCAGUAAGGACUAGGUACAUGCGCACUUAAUAGGAGGACACGUGUGGUCUCGAGAAUAUGGCGAUUCUUACGUUCUACUACACCGUUUUGCUCUGGAGUAUGAGGACACGAGGUUUGAUGUAUCAACCCAUGUUGGUGGAAGUACUUCUGGAAUUGUCGAUUGAUGUAUUCAGUGCCAUUAUCAAAGGGAAAAACUCUGAGUUUGGCAGAAAAUUGGGUUUGAGUCAUUGUGUGAAAAGAGUAGAAGACAGUAAAAACCUCAUCUUUGUUUGUCAGUAGGUAGAGCCACAUCAUUCAAGUGCAAUCAUCAACAAAGAGAACAAAUCAGCGAUAACCCGAUAGAGUAGAUUUUAGGGAUGGUCCCCACACAUCAGAAUGAAUUAAGCUAAAAGGUACAUCACUCUUAUUCUUAUGUAAAUGAUAAAUUAUCCGGUGACUUUUGGCCAAAAUACAAGUUUCACAUUGAAAAUCUGAGAUAGAGAAAUCAGAAAAUAAACUAGGUAGUAAAUGCUUCAAAUAUCCAAAUGACGGAUGGUUGAGUCGUCGAUGCCAAAGUCAGAUCUGUUCUAUUCUAGAAUCACCCGACUAUCCCACAUGAUGAGUUUGUCCCAUUUUUAACAGAGCCAUGUUAAAAAUCUCUUAUCUUUCUUUAUUUUCAUGUGUUUGGUUUGGUUAAUGCAGGAGAUCUCCAUCCAAUCUGCAUUUCGCUUAACCAUCCGACAUCAGAAAAUGGAUACAAACUAGAAGUACUUUGCCCUUCCCUACUAUGCAGCCGCUUGUCACCAAAAAUGGCAAGUCCUGGUUGAACUCCAGAAGUCUGCUCAUGGGUGAAAUUCAUCUACAUCCCCAAAAAAUCUCCACCAUACCACUUUCUUGGAAAAUUUGGUUGGAAUCCUGGCAAACACUUGCACAAAAUCCGAUUUCUACUAUUUCAACUGGCAAAACUCUCACUGGGAUUAUUCCCACUGCACCUAUCUUUUGGUUUCUGGAAAAGCGAAUACCAAGAGGCCGUCUCAUUACGGAACUGUAAAUGUUGUAUUUUGCCGAAAAAUUUCAUCACCAACCUCCUAUAAUAAAGAGAGGUUGUAUCUUGAAAGUCAUAAUCAUAUCCUCCAAGUGAGCUUUUUCUUUUAUCAUCACUGAUAAUGGUAGAUCAAAACCAAACUAGAGCACUGAUGAAAAGAUUGAAAUUGCAUUGGGUUCUUUUAAGAUUGAAGAAGAGAACAGUGGAAAAGGCAUUAUGGGUAAAAGAAUUGUCAAACUUGCAAGAUUUGUUUCUAUUUCUUUUGGUCAUUGGUCAAGUAGUCAUUACUUUUUUAUUUUUUAUUUUAUUUUUAUUUUUUAAAAUCAACUCUUGAUUCAAUGAUUUCACAAUGCAUGUAUCAAUUGGAUGAUGAUUCUUGAAUUAGAAAUUUCCUUCCACACAAUAUGAUUAUAAAUAAAUACACAAGAAAAAUGAGCAACAGUACUACCAAAGAAUCAAACAGUUUUAGGUCUACUUCGUCUUGCGGCCUUAAGGCAAAAAUAUAGAAAAUAAGAUGGGAAGUUAGUGAUUUACAAUUGGUGUAGAGAACAAUCGAAUAGAUAUUCAUGAAAUCAAUUUACACUAAAACACACCUGUGAUUAUGUCCUAAGAAAUCCAAUUCUGAUGCAACAUAUAUGAAGUUGAUAACACCAACAAACAAGACUGAACUUAUGGCUGAUUCUCCCUAACUAUCUACCUUCUUCUAAGCUGACAGUUAUCUCAUUGUUGGAGCAUGUUUUCGGAUUGGUGGAAGAGGAAGGAGCUAAGCUGGGCGGCCCUCUUCUCACAACAAAGGCUGGUUGCUAGGGUAUUGGAAGUGUGGCUAUCUCACUAUUGAGCAUGAGAAAUGCAUUGGGCAAGGUGGGGCGAUCACUUGGGUCUUCUUGUACACACAACAACCCAACAUUUACACACCUCAAGAAUUCAUUAGUGUUGCAUGUUUCACUUAGUGUCUGGUCCAUCAAAUCAUACACCUUGUCUUCUUUCCACAAUCUCCAUGCUUGGAACAAUUCUCUUGAUAUUAAAAUUAGAUUUGCUAAAGUAAAAUGAUAGGUUGGGCAAUCAUAUCAAUUUGAUAUAUAAUAUAAAGAUUUUUUUUCUAGGGGAGGUCAUCAAUUCAAACCUCAUUGUUUGUUUAUUUUCUUUAUUUACUAAGCUUACAUGCAAAUCUAAAGAAGGCCACUUGUGAGAUAAUGUUGAAUGACAUGUCCUAGGAGCUGCUGACAUGGAGCUAAGUAGAAUGAAGUGGAAGUAGUUAAAAUAAGUUAGUCAUGUGGAAGAUUUACCUAUUCCUUAGGAAGUAUUUGUUGGUUUGUUUUUAUUCUUUAGGAAGUAUCUAUAGGUAGCAUGUUUGUUGCUAUUUUUAUGUUUUUCUGUUUUAAGCUAGCUGUAUAAAUAAGUGCUUUGAAGCUUAAUAAAAUAUAACUUCAGAUUCCUCAACAUUAUGUUGCUUCUUGAGAGUUUCUACCCUUUGUUUUUAUCAAAACCUACAAAUUGGUAUCAGAGUUGUUGUUAUUGAGUAACCUGUGAGGUGAGUGAGCCUAUACACCACCAUCUACCCUAUCCAAAACAAUAUCCAUGUUGUUCUUGAGUAACCUGUGAGGUGAGUGAGCCUAUACACCACCAUCUACCCUAUCCAAAACAAUAUCCAGAAUGACCUCAGAAGCUUCACUGAAUGCAUUGGCACCUCCAGUGUUUGAUGGAAUAAAUUAUCAACUGUGGGUUGUCUGUAUGGAAGCCUACCUUGAUGCUAGUGAUCUGUGGGAAGCUGUUAGUGAGGAAUAUGAAGUUCCUCCCCUGUCCGACAAUCCAACUAUGGCUCAGAUAAAACUACACAAUGAGAGGAGGCAAAGGAAAUCAAAGGCAAAAGCUAGUCUAUUUGUAGCUGUCUCAUCUACAAUUUUCACCAGAAUCAUGGCAUUGAAGACGAAAAAUGAAAUAUGGAACUUCCUGAAGAAGGAAUAUGAAGGAAAUGAAUGAGUCAAAGGUAUGCAAGUGCUGAACCUGAUUAGAGAGUUUGAGAUGCAAAGGAUGAAAGAAUCAGAAACAAUCAAGGAUUACUUAGACAGACUUCUUAGUAUUGUUAACAAAGUAAGACUUCUUGGUACUGACUUUUCUGAUUCUAGAAUAGUUCAAAAAAAUUUUAUAACAGUUCCUGAAAAGUUUGAGACUACAAUAUCAUCUCUAGAAAACUCAAAAGAUGUGUCAAGUAUCACCUUGGCAGAGCUGUUGAAUGCAUUACAGGCUCAAGAACAAAGGAGGCUUAUGAGACAAGAAGAAUAUGUGGAGGGUGCAUUUCAGGCCAUAUCUCAGUACAAGAAAGAAAUGCAAAGCAACAAUAACAGCAGCAACAACACUCAAAAGUUUCCACCAUGUCCUUACUGUAAAAAAUCCAAUCAUCCACAAAAAAAGUGUUGGUGGAGGUUGGAUGUAAAAUGUCACAAGUGUGGUCAGCUAGGGCAUGUGGAAAGAAUAUGCAAAUCUCAACAGCAGCUAGGAGAAGUCAAGGCUGCUGUGGAAGAACUUCAAGAUGAGCAACUGUUUGUGGUAUCAUGCUUUUUCACUAGCAGCUCCCUAGAAACUUGGCUUAUAGACAGUGGUUGUACAAACCAUAUGACUUAUGAUCAAGGGCUCUUUAAGGAACUUGACAAAACUGUUACUUCCAAAGUUAGAGUUGGAAAUGGAGCAUAUCUUGCAGUAAAAGGCAAAGGCACCAUGGCAAUUGAAGGCCACACAGGUUUGAAAUUAAUCUCUAAUGUCUUAUAUGUUCCUGAGAUUAAUCAAAAUUUGCUGAGUGUUGGUCAGCUGUUGGAAAAAGGCUAUAAGGUGUUGUUUGAGGACAAUCAUUGCAUGAUUGCUAAUGGACAAGGCAGAGAGGUAUUUAUAAUCCAAAUGAAAGACAAAAGCUUUGCCUUGGAUUUGAUGCAAGAAGAGCAAGUUGAAAUUCACAAAGAAAAAACAAUACAAUGCUUUGGCAUAGGCGUUUGGGGCACUUUCAUCAUACCGCCCUGCUCUUUAUGAAGAAGAAGGAUCUUGGAAAAGGCUUGCCUGAAUUAGAGGUGAAGCCUCCUACUUGUGUAGCUUAUCAAUACGGGAAACAAACAAGACUUCCUUUCCCACAAAACAAGGCCUAGAGAGCUACUCAGAAAUUGCAGUUAGUACACACUGAUGUGGAAGGACCUCAAAUAACACCAUCACUAAAUGGCAGUAAGUUCUAUAUUGCUUUCAUUGAUGAUCACACAAGAAUGUGCUGAAUUUAUUUCAUGAAAUUUAAAUAUGAAGUUGCUAACAUCUUUUGGAAGUUUAAAGCUUGGGAUGAAAAUCAAAGUAAAUGUAAAAUGCAAGUGAUCAGGUCUGAUAAUGGAACUGAAUACACCUCGGAGAAAUUUAACAAAUUUUGUGAAGAUGCAGGCAUUGAGCACCAGCUUACAACACCUUAUACCCCUCAACAGAAUGGAGUCGUUGAGAGGAAAAAUAGAACACUUAUGGAAAUGACAAGGUGUUUGCUGCAUGACAAAUGGCUGCCAAAGAAAUUCUGGGCUGAGGCUGCACAUACAUCAAUCUUUCUGCUGAAUAGACUGCCAACAAAAGCUUUGCAACAAAAUACUCCAUUUGAAGCAUGGUAUGGCUAUAAACCAAGGCUACAAAAUUUAAAAACAUUUAGUUGUCUUUGUUUCUCUUAUAUUCCACAUGUUAAGAGAGACAAAUUGGAUAAAAAAGCUGAAGUUGGGAUCUUUAUAGGCUAUAGCUCAAUAUCAAAGGCCUAUAGAAUCUACCUUCCAGAAAAUAACAAAGUGAUAGUUAGCAAAGAUGUCAAAUUCUUUGAAUCAGAAAGUUGGAGUUGGGAGAAUGAUAAGAAGCUUGAGUUUAAAGAGAAUCUUGAGUUCCAAAAGGACCUUGAGUUUCAGGAGGAGCAUGACAAUAUUGAUGAUGAACCUAUCAGGGGAACCAAAUCACUCUCUAACAUCUAUCAGAGGUGCAAUGUUGCUAUAAUAGAGCCUGCAGGGUAUGAAGAAGCUACAACUGAUAAAAAAUGGAUGGCUACAAUGAAGGAGGAGCUUAAAAUGAUUUUGAUGGACAAACCGACACACAAAAGGGCAAUUGGAGUCAAGUGGGUUUAUAGAACCAAACUCAAUUCCGAUGGUUCUAUAAACAAACAUAAGGCAAGACUAGUUGUCAAAGGAUAUGCUCAGAUGUUUGGGGUGGAUUUCUCUUAGACUUUUGCCCCAGUUGCUAGAUUGGACACUAUAAGAAUGUUGUUGGCUCUUGCUGCUCAAAAAGGCUGGAAUAUACAUCAGAUGGAUGUCAAAUCAGCCUUCUUGAAUGGAUACUUGGAGGAAGAAAUUUUUGUGGAGCAGCCUGAAGGUUUUAUUGUUCAAGGAAUGGAGGAGAAAGUAUAUUUGCUGAAAAAGGCCUUGUAUGGUUUAAAACAAGCACCAAGGGACUGGUACAGUAGGAUUGAUUCACAUUUGUUAGGCUUAGGCUUUACAAAAAGCCUAAGUGAAUUUACUCUAUACUUCAGGAAGGUUUGUGAUGAAACACUUGUGGUAUCCUUAUACAUUGAUGAUCUACUUGUGACAGGAAGCAGUAUGGAGCAAAUUGUUAAUUUCAAAAAGGAAAUGAAUGAUGUUUUUGAGAUGACUGAUCUUGGAAGGAUGACAUUCUUUCUUGGCAUGGAGGUACAACAAAAAUAGAAUGAGAUCUUCAUAUGUCAACAAAAAUAUGCCAAGGAAAUCCUGAAAAAGUUCAAGAUGGAAGAGUGCAAUCCAAGUGCAACUCCAAUGAAUCAAAAUGAGAAGUUUUGCAAAAAAGAUGGAGCUGCAAAAGCUGAUGAAAGGCUUUACAAGACCAUUAUUGGGCGCUUGAUGUACCUAACAGCAACUAGACCAGAUAUUAUGAAUGCAGUAAGUUUACUCUCAAGGUACAUGCAUUGUGCUAGUGAAAUUCACUUUCAAGCAGCAAAAAGAAUUGUUAGAUAUGUCAAGGGUACAAUUGACUAUGGUUUGAGGUUUUGUCAAGUUAAAAACUUUACUCUUCAUGGUUAUUCAGAUAGUGAUUGGGCAGGUUGUGUUGAUGACAUGAGAAGUACUUUAGGUUAUUGUUUCAGCUUUGGUUCUGCUAUUUUUGCAUGGUGUUCCAAAAAGCAAGAAGUCAUAGCCCAAUCCACAGCAGAAGCAGAAUAUGUAGCUACUGCUGCUGCUAUGAAUCAGGCUUUCUGGAUCAGGAAAUUGAUGGCUGACUUGUUUAUGGAGCAAAAGAAAAGCACACAAAUACUCGUAGACAACCAAGCUGCAAUUUCAAUUGCAAAUAAUCCGGUGUUCCAUGGCAAAACAAAACAUUUCAAGCUAAAACUCUAUUUACUAAGAGAGGUACAGAAAGAGGGAGAAAUACAGUUGGUCUACUACAAAACAGAAAGUCAAAAUGUUGAUAUCUUAACCAAACUACUUCUCAAAGCUAGAUAUGAGUUCUUGAGGCAAAGACUUGGAGUCUGCAGCUCCAGAGACAAGGAGGAGUGUUGAAUGACAUGUCCUAGGAGCUGCUGACAUGGAGCUGAGUAGAAUGAAGUGGAAGUAGUCAAAAUAAGUUAGUCAUGUGGAAAAUUUACCUAUUCCUUAGGAAGUAUUUGUUGGUUUGUUUCUAUUCUUUAGGAAGUAUCUAUAGGUAGCAAGUUUGUUGCUAUUUUUAUGUUUUUCUGUUUUAAGCUAGCUGUAUAAAUAAGUGCUUUGCAGCUUAAUAAAAUAUAACUUCAGAUUCCUCAACGUUUUGUUGCUUCUUGAGAGUUUCUACCCUUUGUUUCUAUCAAAACCUACAGAUAAGGUAUUGGCCCACCAUCACAUGAUAGUUUAAGCUUUGGGUUGAAUUGAUAAUUUAACAAAGAAUGACUAAAAGAUAAAUCAUCAUGAGAUAUUCAAGCCACUUACAUAACCUAAAAGGCUCAUAGCUUGGUCAGAUUGAUAAAAUCCUGUGUUCCUCUUCCCACUGAUGAUCUCAAGUACAAUAACACCAAAGCAAAAAACAUCAGAUUUUACUAAGAAAAACCCAUCUAGCACAUAUUCUGGAGACAUAUAGCCACUGCAUUACAUGGAAUGUUAAAAAGUAAUCAGUUGAUUAGGUAUAUGCCAAGGCAAAUAUCUUUCCCCAUGCAUACAAUACUUACUAAGUGCCCACUACUUUGUUUGUGUUUGCCUCUGUUUGCUUGCUCUCAAAGAUCCUGGCCAAGCUGAAGUCUGAAAUUUUGGGAUUCAUAUCCCCAUCUAAUAGAAUGUUGCUCGUCUUCAAGUCCCUGUGAAUGAUCUUCAACCUUGAAUCUUGGUGAAGAUAAAUUAGCCCUCGAGCAAUUCCCAAAAUGAUGUCGAAGCGACUCUCCCAGUUUAGUAACACGCAUAGCAUUCGAUCUUGCCCAGUUGCCAUUAGAAAGAAAAAUUUUAGUGGCAUGGUUCAUUCAGUUAGAUCCUGUCUAUCAGUUCAUGGCACGUAUGCAAUGAUACAACAAAAGUAGGGACUUGACGUAGGUUUAGAGGCAAACCAAAUAUGAAAGAGUCUAAGCUUUUGUUGGGCAUAUAUUCAUAAAGUAAAAUCUUCUCAUCUCCUUCAAUACAAUAGCCCAGAAGUCUAACCAGAUUUCGAUGCUGAAGUUUGGCAAUCAACACAACCUCAUUCUUAAAUUCCACUAGGCUUUGCCUUGAAGCACUUGAGAGUCUCUUCACAGCUGCUUCUUUCCCAUCUGGAAAUUUGCCCUAGAAGCCACAAUGCAUAUGCAUUAGACAUUGAUAAUCAGAAAUCAGUUGAAAAUAUGAGCAUUGUUUGAAAUAAGUUAUAUUACCUUGUAAACCGGCCCAAAGCCCCCUUGUCCAAGCUUAUGCGAAUCUAAAAAGUUAUCCGUAGCAGCCAGGAUGUCUUUUAAGUCGAAAAAUGGUACAUCAAUGCCUUUCUUAUCCUCAUCUUUGAAUUCCUUCAAGUCUAUUAAGUGUUUCACACGACUUUCACUAUCAUACAAGUGCAGCACAGGAUUUGCCCUGUUUCCUGAAUUAAAAAAAAAAGAAAAUAUUAUAUAGAAAACCUCUGCAAUUUUCUCAAUUUUGCCAGGUACAAUUUGAAAAGAAAAUAGCGGAAGAUCCAUGGUAGAGCUUAUGGCACAAAGAUUACCUUUCCUUUUGGUGAUGUUUCUUUUGCGCAAAUAAGCAAUAUAACCAAUGGUGCUUAAAAGCGCAACUAGAACAACAACAAUUGUUAUGCCUACCACAACUACCGGAGAUGAUAAUGACGACAUCUUAUUGCCAAGGUCUAAAACAAAGAAGAACCACUCUCAUUCAUGGAAAAGGCAAUGCAUCUAUCAUUACUAACCUCUAUGUCUUUCAUUGGAAAAUAAGUUUAAAUGACCAAAACCAAGCAAAAAGAAAGUAUUGAGUUCAACUUCUCACAUACCUAGAAAGCAAAUUUAGAAAUAUACUAGGUCUGUAGCUCACCUUGUGUAAAAUCUAAACUUGAUCCAUUUCACUUAAAUUUUUCACUGCAAAAGCACUUAGUGGUUCCAUUUUGUGUUCUGCAAUUUGAAUUAGGCCAAUCCUUGCAGUCUGCUGAUGAGGUACACACUAGCUCCAAUGGUGGAUCCCAACUGAUCUCUAUCUCAAUGCUAUUUUCCAAUGACUUCUCAGAGCCAAAAUUGUCGAUUUUGACCACUGUGCAGACAUUGGUCAUGUGAAAAGGCAGGUUUAGUGGUGGAAUUUUGUUGAUAAGACUUCGAGAACUGCAAUCUAAUUCUUUAAGUUAGAUUACAAAUGUUAAUGUCUCUAGAUUAAUGCUAGUUACCCGAUAGGUGCCACCAAGUACCUUGAACUGAACCUGGCCCGUGGUAAUGUUGCAUUCAAAAUUAAAGUACAUGGGAUCACCACACUUUGAUCCAGUGCUUAGAGGAUAAGGAAUCAUGAUUGAGCCACAAGCUUGACAAUUUCUUAUUGUUGAUUCUGCAAAUAAAAUGUAGAAUCCCUUGUUAAAGGGUAUUUCUUCCGAUUACAGUUUCUUCCUAAUGUCUAUAAAUGGAUUUAUGCUUGUGUUGAUCAAUAAACUAAAACAUGAGGUACUUCUUCUCAAGAAAAGGGGAAAAAGAAAUUGGAAAGGGACAUACCUAUAUCUGAAAUAGAUACACGAACAAAGAGAUUGUCAGCAUCAGAGUCAUACUCCUCCUGAAGACCACUAAGGUCGUCUGUCCAAAUCAAGCAUUCUGGGUUAUUGCCCCUUUAUGUUAUUUAGUUUGAGCAUAAUGUCACGGACUUAGUCGUUCACUAAGCUCUUGUGGCACUUAGGCAAGUCAAGACGCUUGAUCUUGCUAAGUCAGCCUUGCUCCCAAUGCUUAGCUUGCUAGGCUAAGACACUCACGACUCGAAAGCUUAAGAAGCUUAGUAAGCAACUCUUUAAAGGAAGCUCUUAUUAACUCAUGGAAGCCUUUACAAGUGCUUGGAAGCUCACUUGCUUGGUACCUUGGCCAAAUGAGGCCUUCACCUAUUUAUAGGCACCAAUGGAACUCUCUGGAACCUUGGAGGGUUCCUUACAACUUAAGUAUAUUCUAGAAUGUCCUACAUCAUUCUAGGUACAAGCCUAUGUACAAGGAUAUACAAGAGACUUCUGGAAUUCUCUAGAAAGCCCUGGACUCCUCUCAUGCCUUCCACCAUAGUGUAGAAUUGUGUGGAUUCCUCCAGGCUUCUCCACAACCUUCCACACUCUUCCCACUCUAGGAGUCUCCAGAAGCUUCCUGGCUCUAUAUAAGCCCAUGGGGAGGCUCAUUUGAAUCAGCUUGUGACACUCUCCUCCACCUAAGCCGCAGACGUUCUUGUCGCGCCUUCUGCCCGGAAUUGCUCAAUUUGCUCCUAUAACUGCCAUAGUGCAUCUGUUGGCUCCCAGCUAGCCUCACUUUUUGGUAGUCCUUUCCAUUUCACUAAGUAUUCCGUACCAGGAGGUACACCUCGUCUCCUGAUGACCCGAUCUACGAGAAAGUGUUCUAUCUCCUUAUCAUAGGAGAUCACGACCGUUGUAGGUGCCCUCUUAGACAACCCUCGGCUUGGAUCAUCUUUGUCUUCGUGAUAGGGUUUCAAGUAGUUUACGUGGAAGACAUGAUGAAUCUUCAACCUUGGCGGUAGCUUAACUCUAUAGGACACCUUGUCGACAUUCCCAAGUACGGGGAAGGGUCCUUCAUACCUCCUCAUAAGGCCCUUAUGCACUAACCUUAGGGAUUUGAAUUGUUGAGAAAUGAGCUUGAAAGCACCAUGUCUCCGACUUUGUACUCCGUGUGUCGUCGCUUCUUGUCAGCCCACUUCUUCAUUUUCUUAGCGGCCUUGUCCAAGUAUGAGCGUGAUAUGUCAGCUUGCUCGUGCCACCCUUUCGCGAACUUGAAAGCUGCUGGACUUCUCCCCGUAUAGCCUAUCGUUAGAGUGUGAGGAGUUAACGGUUGCUGCCUUGUGGCCAACUCGAAUGGGCUCUUAUUGGUUGCCUCACUCCUUUGCAGGUUAUACGAGAAUUGGGCUAUGUCUAGCAACUUAGCCCAAUCCUUCUGGUUGGCACUCAUGAAGUGCCUUAAGUAUAGCUCCAAUAAAGCGUUCACCCUCUCAGUCUGCCCAUCCGUCUGUGGGUGAAAGCUUGUGGAGAAGUGAAGCUCCGAACCCAUAAGCUUGAAGAGCUUCAUCCAAAACUUCCUAGUAAAACGCGGAUUGCAAUCACUUUAGGCAACCCCCAAUACUUGACUACGUGCUUUAGGAAUAGCCUCGUCGUCUCUUCCGCAGUGCGGUCAGUCGGGGCUGCUAUGAAGGUUGCAUAGUUAGAGAACCUGUCCACUACCACUAUGAUAGAACCGUUGUCCUCCGACUUGGGUAGCCCGAUGAUGAAGUCCAUGGUGACGUUGUCACAUGGGCGCUCUGCUAUAGGUAGUGGCUUCAACAGGCCUCUAGGUUGUUAUUGUUCCACCUUGUCUUGUUGGCACACAAGACAAGUCCUCACAUAGGCCUCUACCUCAUCCCGUAUUUGAGUCCAAUAAUAAGCCGACUCGAGUAGUGCCCUCGUGCGUCGUUGCCCAGGGUACCCAGCCCACUUGGUGUCAUGGCACUCAUUUAUCAGAUUCCGUCUUAUGUUCCCCCAUUUAGGCACAUAGAGUCGUCUCCCCUUAGUGUAGAGUAGGUCGUUCUCCACCCAGAACCGCUUAGUCUUCCCUUCAUGAGCUAGGACGAUGAGGCUCUUAGCCACUGGAUCAUGUUGCAGUCCCUCCCUUAGAAGAUCCAUUAUGUCUCCUUGGGGCUGACUCGUCAUGGAUGCUAGCUCCGUUUUACUGCUUAGGGCGUCAGCCACAUGAUUAGCACUCCCUGGCUUAUACUCCAACGUAUAGUCGAACUCAGCCAGGAAGUCUUGCCACCUAGCUUGCUUAGGACUCAACUUCUUCUGUGUUUGGAAGUAGCUAGUGGCAACGUUAUCGAUCUUCACUAUGAAGUGAGACCCUAGAAGAUAGUGCCUCCAGGUGCGCAAGCAGUGGACGAUGGCGGUCAUCUCUUUUUCUUGCACCGUAUAGCGCAUCUCUGUGUCGUUUAGCUUGCGACUCUCAAAUGCGAUCGGGUGUCUUUCUUGCAUAAGGACUCCCCCAAUAGUGAAGUGUGAGGCAUCUGUGUGUAUCUCAAAAACCUUGGUGUGGUCGGGUAGUGCUAACACCGACUCCUCAGUCACAGCCUUCUUAAGAUCUUUAAAGGCUUGUUGGCACCUUUCGUCCCAUUCUCAUGCCUUAUUCUUCUUAAGGAGAUCAGUGAGAGGAGCGGCCCUUGCUAAAUAACCUUUGAUGAAUCGCCGAUAGUAAUUAACUAAACCAAGGAAAUAUCUGAGCUAAGGUACCUUGGUUGGUGGAUCCCAUUCCUGGAUGGCUUUCACCUUGCUAUCAUCCAUCUUCAGCUUGCCAUCCUUGAUGCGAUGCCCUAGGAAGCUCACUUCUUUUUUAACAAAGGAGCAUUUUUCCUUCUUCACGUAUAGCUCGUUCUGCCUUAAGAUCUUAAAGACCUUCCUCAAGUGCUUUACGUGCUUCUUUAGGGUGUUACUGUAGAUGACUAUGUCAUCCAAGUAUACCACCACGAACUUGUUGAUUACUACUCAAAAAGUGCUAUUUGAUAGCUUAUAAUUAAUCCUUUUAAACACUUUUGAGUAGUAAUUUUGGCAUUUUAACUCAAUUGGCAUGUUAAGGACCCUUGAAAGCAAUUUUAAUCAUUUUGUGUAAGUUUUGGUGUUUUUUGUUAGUAAUUUGAUCACCAAAGCAAUUCAAGAUUGAGGAGAUUUAUGAGGAAUCUUGGGCAAAGCUUGGAAGUCAUUUGCCAAGAGUAAAUCAGGAAUGCAAGGAGAAAAAGUUAAGAGAAUCUGCCAUGAAGCAUAUUCUUGAUGAUAGUAGUAGCAGCCACUUUUGGAGCACUUUUUGAAGUCCAAUUGAUGCAUGCUAUAUACCAUUUCAAAGCUCAGGAAGUCAACAAUCCAAUGCUUCAAACGGUACGCAAUUCGGAGUUGAAACGAAGAAGUUGCAGCCAUUGCAAGCCAAUCACUCCAAGCUGAAGGAAGCAUUUUCCAAAGUGUUGCGAAAUCACCCUUUUGUUGCGAAGUGAUUUCGCAGCCUUUUUGUACAGUAGGGUGUAUUUCCUUCUGAAGUUGCCCGAUAUAUGCCGCAAACUGGAAGCUGAGAACAUCAAGGUGGAAGCCAACUUCGCAGCCCUGCGAGAAUAGCUUUUUGCUGCGAAGUGAUUUCGCAGCCCUUCUUGAGUGUUUGCGAAAUCUCGCAGACACCAUUUUCUCUUGCGAAAUGGUCCCUGGAGCAUCCCGAUAUUUGCUACCGACAUUGGGAGAUAUUUUACAUCAGAUUUUUGUUGUCUAAAUCCCAAAAUACUUCUUGUAAGCCACCAAUUACAAGAUUCCUUAGCUUUUAAGUUAGUAAAAAGAGAAAAUAUCCAUGUAAUAAUUAGUUUUAUAUUAUGUUCAUAUAAAUACUUCUCGGGAGCCUGUUCUCAAAAAGGGACCCUUUUGUAAAGUUUUGGGAAAGCAAGUAAAGUUCAGGUCCUUUGUUUUGUCUUACCUUCUCACUUUGUAUUAUUUAUUUCUUACUAAGUUAUGCACUCUCUGAGGAAUUUUCCCCAGAGAAUGAGUAACUAAACCUCUAGUUCCUUGGAGCUAAGGUUGCCGGGGAAGGUUCCAAAUGCAAGAAUGCAAAGCUUUGUGGUUUCAGCCAUCAAUUAAGAGGAAGUAAAGUCUUUUAGUGAUUUCUAUGUUUUUAGUUAACUUAAAACACCUUAGAGUCACCUGGGCCAACACUUGGUAAGGCAAGUGAUCUCCAUCCAUGGAGAUGCACUAGUUUACCCCUUGCGAGCCUCUGGGAGGUGACUUUAAGGUAGGAUUUUCUGGAAUUGCCAACACUUGGUAAGCUUUUGGACUCCAAGGAGACAUCCAUUAGUUAUCUCUUGCGAGCUAGAGAAGGGAAGUCUAAGGUUAAAGAUCACCUUGAAUGGUUAAGGCUUAGUGAGAGGCUUAAACCAUUGCAAGUUGCAUCAAUGAGAGAAUUAAAGUUGAAAUCUAAUUAAAGGAUGUAUCUGUACAACACCGGUUAGAGAAUUGACUAUAUGUUGAAUCUCUAAUGCGAGGAAAUGAACCAUCUGACCGGAGCUAUGUCUUUUGCAUGAGGAACCACCCCAGUGAACCUAACUCUCCAAGGAAUGUUUUUCUUCCUAAGUUAUUCUCACUACUUAUUCUGUUAGUUAGUUUAAAUCUAAAUCUUUACCAAUCAAAAGGUUGUGUUUUAUUUUUUUAGCUAACCUUGAAAUGAAACAAGACCAAUUCACUUUGAAUUGGUAUCAUUGAUAGCUUGCUAAUCCUUCCCAGUGAACGAUCCUAAAGCCGCUAUAUUAUAGUAGUUUUUUCUUUGCUACCCUAGUAUAUGGUGUAAUAGGUUAUAAAUUUUGUUGAUUACUCCCCCAAUCAAGGAGCACCAGCUGGACACGAAUCAGCUGAGACACCAAUUGGGCACGAAUCACUUGUCUAAGCAUGGGUGGAAGAUCUUGUUCAUGAGGGUGCAGAACGUUGCUGGGGCAUUGGUGAGUCCGAAAGGCAUCACUAAGAAUUCGUAUGAGCCAUACCUGAUCACACAUGUGGUCUUUGGCUCGUCCCCCUCCGCAAUCCUUACUUGGUAGUAGCCCGACCUUAGGUCUAGCUUCGUGAAGUACCUUACCCUUCCAAGUUGAUCGAAUAAGUCAGCAAUGAGCGGGAUAGGAUACUUGUUCUUUACCGUCACCUUGUUGAGUGCCCGAUAGUCUAUGCACAUUCGUAGGGACCCAUCAUGCUUCUUCUGAAAUAGAACCGGCGCGCCAUAGGAAGCCUUGGAUGGUUGGAUGAACCCCGCAUCUAGUAACUCCUUAAGUUGUCUCCUUAGUUCCUCCAACUCCGGUGGUGUCAUUCUAUAUGUACCAUAGUAGGGGGCUUAGCUCCCGACUCCAACUCAAUCCUGUGAUCUUCCUCUCUCCUAUGAGGAAGUCUCUUAGGCAACUCGGGCGACAUCACGUCCUUGAACUCAUCAAGGACCCCCUCGAUUUCCUUAGGCAUGGGUUCUCCCGACCCAUCGUCUCUUUCUUCCUUCAGGGUGGCGAGGUAGGUCACCUCUUUCCUCUUUAACCCCUUCCUAACUUGCAUAGCUGAUAGCAUAGGGGUCUUAAGCGUACCUUCAGUGACCGUAGGGACCAUGCAUGGCUUCUCCUCCUCUAAGAUAGCCAUUGAGCAUAGGAAAGGUAGUGGCACGACCUUGACCUUCUGUAGGAAGUCCAUUCCUAGCACCAUCUUGAAGUUAUCCAUGGGUGCCACUAUGAAAUCGACCCUUCCUUCCCAUGAGCCGAUGUGCAUAGCCACCCUGCAAGCUACUCCAUGUGACGGGCUUGGCAGCUGAAUUAACUGCCUUGAGUCAUCCUCCUUCCUUGGAUGCUUGGAGCUUUAGUCUCUUUGCCUCAUCCUCCGAGACAAAGUUAUGAGUGGCACCAGUGUUCACCAAGGCCUUGGUGGCCUUCCCAUUCACAAGGGCCUCUACAUACAUUAGCCCUUUGCUUUGAGGCGUCUUAGGCAUCGGCUUGGCCUUAAGGGCAUUUAGGAGUUGCAACGAUCCCACUUUAGCAUCGCCUUCCUGCUCAUUUUCCUCAAUCAUAGCAUUUAGAGCUUUCCUUUUAGGGCAGUCUCGUGCCCAGUGUGUACCAUCGCACAGGAAGCAAUUGGUCCUGGGCAUGAACUCCUUCCACUUAUCUUUGCCUUUACCAUCCUUGCCACUAGGGUCUUUGCUUGAUCCUUCCUUAGAAGUGUGGCAUUGUGAUCCAUUGUUUCCCCCACCUUUGGCCUGGUUACCCUUGGAUGGUGGUUUUGGCUUGGAGGAGUCUCCCCUUCUAUAAUCUACCAAGGACUCUGCUACCGCCAUGGUCAUGGCUAGGUCUUAGACACCAUGUCUCCUCAACUCUUGCUCGGCCCAACUUUGCAAGUUGUCCAUAAAGUUAAAUAGUAGCUCCUCCUCAGCCAUGUUAGGUAUCUCAAGCAUAAACGUAAAGAACUCCUUGACAUACUCACGGAUCGAGCCUGUGUGCUUGAGACGCUUCAUACUCUUCCUUGCUAGGUAAGCCACAUCUUCGGGAUAGAAUUGCCUUUUGAUUUCUCUCUUAAAGGCAUCCCAUGUGUCUAUGGUGCACGUCUCUUUCUCUAUGUCGGAAAACUGUCGACGCCACCAUAGAGUAGCAUUAUCGGUGAGGUAAAGGGUCGUGGUGCAUACCUUAGUGGCUUCAUCCGUCAAUGCAAUGGCCUCAAAGUAACGCUCCAUGUGCCACAAGAAGUUAUCUAGCUCCUUAGCAUCCCUCUUUCCAUUGAACGAGUGUGGCUUGGGCACCUCCACCCUUGGUGCCUCAUGAGUGGCCAUGACUCAUGUUGAUAUCGCAGUCUUGUAGAUGGCUAGCUCUUGAUGAAUCUCUUGGUCUCGGGUCUCCAUGAGCGCAGCCAAGGCCUCCAUCCUUGAUUCCACACUAGCGAACAUGAUCAUGACCUUGUCUUGGAAGGACAUGAACUCCUUGUGUGACACAGUUGAACUUGUGAGCCUAGCACCCCCUCGCGAAGGUCUUGGAUCUGCUCCCUUAGAUCCUCUAAGCCUUUCUCCAUGCCUUGCUCGAUCAAGUCCACCCCUUCCCGGGUGUCCGUCAUGGCUAGCUCCACCUUAGCUAGCCUUGCCUCCAUGUUGGCUAAGGCAUCACGAGACUUAUCCUUCCUGCCUCGGCCCCGUGCAGUAUGCUCCAUCUCCCUUCCACGGGUUUGCUCGCUAGUCUCCUCCACGUUAGAGCCCGACAUGCUUCCUUUGCUAUGCCCACUUCGUAACCGCGCUCUAAUACCACUUGUCACAGACUUAGUCGUUCACUAAGCUCGUGCAGCACUUAGGCAAGUCAAGACGCUUGAUCUUGCUAAGUCAACCUUGCUCCCAAUGCUUAGCUUGCUAGGCUAAGAUGUUCACGACUCGAAAGCUUAAAAAGCUUAGUAGGCAACUCUUUAAAGAAUGGAAGCUCUUAUUAACUCAUGGAAGCCUUUACAAAUGCUUGGAAGCUCACUUGCUUGGUGCCUUGGCCAAAUGAGGCCCUCACCUAUUUAUAGGCACCAAUGGAACUCUCUGCAACCUUAGAGGGUUCCUUACAACUCAAGUAUAUUCUAGAAAGUCCUACAUCAUUCUAGGUACAAGCCUAUGUACAACGAUAUACAAGAGACUUCUGGAAUUCUCUAGAAAGCCUUGGACUCCUCUCAUGCCUUCCACCAUAGUGUAGAAUUGUGUGGAUUCCUCCAAGCUUCUCCACAACCUUCCACACUCUUCCCACUCUAGGAGUCUCCAUAAGCUUCCUAGCUCUAUGUAAGCCCAUGGGGAGGCUCAUUUGAAUCAGCUUGUGACAAUAAGCUUGACAUUGGCAGUCACUAAGGCAAGCCUUUUUGCAAUAUUGAUUAUCAUUCGUAUCUACUAAAAUAGAAGACUACGGUUUUUUGGCUUUCAUCAUUUUUAAGCGCAAGAACAUGUCUUCAAUGGAAUUCUUCUUGUAUUUGGGUGACUUUCUGGUACACCCACUUGAGAACUCUCCAAUUUUCCAACUAUUCGGCGAGAUUGGUUUGAACCCAGGCAAACAUUUUCACAUCAAAGCAUUCUUAGUGCUACAACUUCCAAAUUUCCCACAAGCAAUUGACACACUGCAUCGGUCUUUCGGUGCCCACCAGACUGGAGACGAUGUAUUCCAAUUCGCAUAGUAUUGAAUUUCCCCUAAAGAACUCAUUACCAACUGUUUUUCAACUGAUGAGUUGGGGAUAGAGCUAUGCCCUUUAUACACGUUCCUCUAGGAGAUUUUGGACAACAAGCUGCGUGUUGCUUCAGGCAUCUCAUCAAACGUUCCAUCCCAGUCCUCACUGUACCAAUGUACAUAUAAAAUUUGAGAUAUGAUAUACUGGUACUCUUUUUCUUGAUCUAGCUUGAAGGUAUAGUUUCCAAGUGUGGCGUCAACGGGGCUUAACCAUGAGGUCAAUAUUAAGCUUUCAUUCAUCUUCAUACCAGGAAGAAAAAUAUCGGUGGGAUUACGGAAGCUCUCUCAAAUAAUCUCUUCGGAUCUAUUGCCACUCAAAACAAGGUUCCCAUAGUCCAUAAGCUUCACUAUCCUGUCUUUAGAUGAAGGUGUUUCAAUAUCAAUAGACCAGUGAACUGCUUCAUUAAUUUCGGCCAACACCUUCAGCUUACCAUCUUUUUUAAUGGCAAAAACUCCAAUGGAGGUACCAGAAAAGGGGUUCUCUCGGUUGGCUACCCACACAACUCUUGGUGGUUUAGACAUGUGAUGCCAUAUGCCCAUGAAUCUUCUAUUCUUGGAGCUUCCAUUUGGAUGAAAGAAGCCUAGUUCAAAAGUUUCACCGGAAGAGACAAGAGUUUCUCCAUUAGUAAGCCAAGUGUCUAGUGUGAUGGUGUGUCACGCCCCAAGACCCACUCCAAGGGCGUGACGGUCAUUUCACACCUCAAACCCGAAGGCUUAAAGUAUAAUCUGACCCAAACAGUCAUAUUGUAACUGGAUGUUACCAAUUACCAAAUACCUGCUCAGAGUAGCGGAAACAAAGUCUAAAAUCCUCAAAAUUCAAUUUCCAAAUAACUUCCAAAUACCAAAUGAUCCAAAAUAACAUAACUAAUAGUUAAACAAAAUCCAACAUAAAAUCCUAAGUCAAAUCCUAAUGAUGACCAUUCCUCAGCCUAGCCAUCACUCCUCACCCGAACUAAGAGUACCUGAAAAAUUUUCAACGAUUGGGAAUGAGCUCACAGCCCAAUAAGGAAUAUUAAUGCAGUUCAUGGAUCAAAUAUUUUCAUUUCAAAUAGGAGAUAUCAAUUUUUUUUUUUUUCAUCAAAUAUCAGAGUUUCAAAAAUGCCAAUAUAUUCAAAAUUCAACCAACCAAUUUCAUAUCAAAUUCAAACACUUUCCCAUCAGACUUAAUCAAAUCCAUUCAAUUUUUCAUUACUCUGGUUAUCAAAUAUCAAAUGCCCAGUUAGGUGGGACUUUUCAAAUGGGUGGCUAGCCUCAAAUUGUUCCUGGUGGACGGAACCAAACACUACUAGUACUAGUAACCUCUAAACAAACCCCUAGAGGUUGGGGUCCAAAUCAAUUACAUUCCCACCAUGAAAUGUAAAGGUCAACUAUUAUAUCCCAUUGACAGGGCCGAAUAGUCAACUAUUAUAUCCCGUUGACAAGGGCCAAAUAAACCAGAGUGAUGUUUUUUGUUCAAGUAUUCAAAUUUACACAACAUAAUAUCUCCAUAUUUUGUGUCAUAAAUAAAACAAAAUAUUCCAACAUAACAUUUAGUGCAAAACAAUUUGAUCCAUGCAUGGUAACAAAAUAUCAUUUUAUUUUCCACAAUUCAAAAUAACAUAUAAAAUAAUUUUAUUUUAUAAAUAUUACAUUAACUUCCCUUACCUCAAAAGAAGUCCUUGAAAGCUUGGGAGAAGAAUGAUUCUGAAAAAAAAUAUAAUCUACUCUUCACCUAAUAUAACAUAAGAGAAACAAUUAUUACUAUUUAUUUAUAAUUUAACUAAUCUAUUCCUUAUUUAAAUAAAACUAAUAAAUUCUCAAUUUGUUUCUAAUAACACAUUACUAAUUUAAUUAAAUUACAAUUUUAUGUCAUUAUAAAAUUCUCUAUAUAUAUAUAUAUAUAUAUUUUGCUAAAUCUAUUAUUACUAUUAUCUUAUUCAUUAAUCUAAAACUAAAUAUUAUUAUUUUAAUUAACCAAUUCAAAAGCCACUAGAUGUCUCGAGUACACCAAACCACCAAACCAAAAAGCAAGUUUUUUUUUUUUUUUUUCCAUUGCAUCAUCAUUCAUUAUAUAUAUAUAUAUAUAUAUAUAUAUAUAAAAGGCUUCCUUCCAUUUGGCACAUGCCUAUUUUUUUUUUUUUCCUCCUUGCUUCCAGUAGCACAGUACACGUACACCCCCCAUAUAUUUUUUUUUUUCUUCCUUCCUUCCUUCCAGUGCUGUGCACACGCGUUCUCCCUCUUUUUUUUUCUUUUUUUUUUUUAAUUAACCCUAACCUAAAAUCGAAAUAUUCCAAGGAAUUUUUUUUUUCUAAUAAAACUUAAGAUCUCCCAAAUUCCAAUGCUAAAAUCAAAAUAUUAAAUUUUCACUAUUUGAUAUUAAAACGAAUUAAAAAAUAAUCUAACCCUAAUCUAGAUUUGGGGUUUUCCAAAAAAAUAUAUCUAAUGUGUUUGAAAUUAAUCAAUGAAUCUAAAAUAUUAAACUAGGGGUUAGAAUCUUACCUAUAGAGAUCUGUUCUUCAACCCUGAAAUCUGACUCCAACCUUACGUUCUCUGGAAUUCUGCGAACAGGAACUCUAUUCAGAAAAGAAGGGAAAGAAUAAAAUUUCUAAUUUAUACCUAGGGUAUUUAUUCGUAAAAUUACUCUUUUACCCCUCUUCUUUUUUUUAUUAAAUUAAUUAAUUAACUAAUUUAAUUAUUAAUAACAAUUUCCUAAAUUACCCUUAAAAGAAAAUGCUUGGGCGUUACAUGGUGUCUCUAGUAGAGCAACACAGAAAAUAACACAAUAAGAAAAAAAUGGUAGAUAACAUUGUGAAUUGCAGAGACUGAAACCCUGAAUUUUCUUGUCUUUUUCCUACUAUUUUUGUUAAUCCGAGAAUCUCUUUAGUUUUGGUGCCACAAAUUCACUGUGGGAUAGCGUGCUACUUCUCUAGGUUGACCUUCUAUAUGUGGCGCCUAAAACAUUGGCCCCUUAGAUUAACUUUUUAAUUGUCUAAAACCAUUUUUACCGCAGGUCCAUACUCCGGGACAAGCCCCCACACCCCCAUCGGAUCAGUGGUGAUAGGCCCAAUCCCCCUGUUAGACCCUAAAAAAAAUCUCAUAGUUUUUUUUUCACCAUAUAUAUUGUAUUGCGAAAUUUUCAAGUCUGACAAAAUAAAAUUCGAGUCACGAAUCUUUAAUAGUUAUCAUCAAGAAAUGAGAUGGAAAUGUUUCAGCUAGUGAAAAUCUACAUCAAGAGGCUUUUUGGGAAGACAAAUAUAAAAAUACAUCUAAACAUCAUUAAACUUCAUGAUUCUAAUACACAUCAUGGGAUGAAUUCUCAAUCAUAUAUAGGUGAGUAUCACAUAUAUAUAUAUAUAUAUAGGUUUAACACACAAUGCUACAUAAUGUGGUGGAUAAAUAUGCAUGUCAAAUUGAUCAUAGUUGUAAAAUUGUUAGCUAGAAACUAAAAAUUUCUAAUCUGAUUCCUAAGUGCUUCUUUUUUUUUCUUUUUCUUUUUUUAAAAAAAAAACAAAAAAUGAUAAUAAUUUCUACAUAAAAUGUAAAAAUUAUCGUAAAAAAUUAAUAACAUUCAAUUUAGAAAAUUUUAAGAUAUUAUAUAAAACAAAUUCACCAUCUUAACAUUUAAAAGUAAUUUUUAAAGAUAUAAGAUAAGUUCAUAUUAUUUAUAUAAAAACUAUUUUAUAAUUUACAUAGAAAUUAUAUAUAUAUAUAUAUAUAUAUUGAAUUGGGUUAUUUCACAAUAUUGGAGCAUAGUUUACCUUAGGUGAUUAAAGAUGUGAUACAGUAUAGUUUUUAGGAUAGAUGUGAUAAUUUAUAAUUGAAGUUUUGAUAUGGGUUAAUUAGUAAUAUUAAACAAAGGAUAAUGCUUUUUCAUAUUCUUAGAUUUAAUUUUUGGUGAAAAUAAUUAAGAGUAAGUAUUUGAUAGUGAUUUUAAGAAAUGUUUUUAGUCUUUUUAAUACUUGAAAAAGAAAAUUUUUCAAGUGUUAGAAAAACCAAAAAUACCUUUUAGAAACAGUACUAAACAUAUUCUAAAUAUGUACUCAAUAAUCGAUUUAAUAAAUUCACGGGUGUCAAAAUAAAUAUGACAUCAAGAUAUGUUAAUAAAUUUUUUUUUUUUUUUUGAAAAAUAAUUCAACAUAUUUAUUGAAUUCACAUUCAAGACAAGGUCGCCUGUAACAUAGGUGCAUGGCUGUCCAUUUAUUCCCAAUUGCCUUAGACAAACAUCCCCUUACUCUUAAGUCAUUUUGUUUUUUUUUUUUGUGAUUGCAUGUUGAAAAUUUGAUUUUAACAUGAGUCCACUAGGAGUUCAGGACAUCUAUUAAUUAAUGGGGGCAGUUCUCGACCUCCAUGGCCUGCCUACUAAUUUUGGUGGGUUGCUCACAGGUGACGUCUGACUUAAAAUACGUCCAUCGCCCAACUUACUAUUCAUGGACAAACAAAAUAUUAGUAAUGUACCAAUCAUCUUGUAUAUGUAGUAACAUUUUCAAAUUUUUAAUCUAAACCUUGGUGUAAAUAAUUAAAUUUAAAUAAAUUAAUUAAAAUGUAUAUUUAAUUUUUUUUCACCCGCAAUUGAAGGCCGGUGGAGUGGUGAAAUCUUGGAAAUGGAAGCCAACCAUGCAGCAAAUAAAGUGACCCAAAGUCCAAGACCACGUUUAGAGCAUUUGUCCAUUUUUACUUGUUUUCAACGGCUUCUAGUCUUGAAGUUGAAAUCUGCGGUUUCAUAAACGGUAUUCUGAAUUUUCUCUCUUGCGUUCUGUUUUUCACAUUUUCCAGGAAAUGGGACCUAUUUGUUUGGCUAUCAGCAAUGAGUUUCUUGUCAGAAUCUGUAAAAGAACUAGAACUUGCAGAGAAAAAAUAAAUAAUUUGAGAGUUACGAAUUGAAGGAAGGCACACAUCUAUUUCACAAAUGAGAAUGCCUAUUUAUAGGCUUACAACCAAACGAAAAUUGCAAAAAAAAUCUUAGCUACUUUCAAAUUUUAUUGGCAUUACUUCUAUUAACUGAAAAUAGAAAAUUAUGGAGUAAGAAUCUGAUAUGAAACAAUAACAAAGACUAAGUCUAACUAAGACUUUUUCAAACUUCAGAGGCAAACUCUCAUGAGUUCUAACACUCCUCCUUGAGAUUUGCCUUGGACAUGCCAAGCUUCAACCUUAGAAACUCCAGCCUUGAUUUAGGAAGUGCCUUAGUCAUUAUGUCAGCAAGUUGCACAUCAGUUGAGCAAUAAUGCAACUUGACAAGUGAAUUCUUUUUAGCUUCCCUUAUAGAAUGAAAUUUUACAUUUAUGUGUUUGGUCUUGCCAUAUUAGACAGAAUUUUGAGCAAUGGCAAUGGCUGACUUGCUGUCACAGUAAAGCUCUGUUGGUGAGCUUUAUUCCUAGCCUAGAUCAGCAAGCAAUUUCCUUAACCAUAUCCCUUGAUUUGCAACAGCUGCUAAGGAGAUAUACUCAGCUUCUGCAGUUGAUUGUGCCACUACUUCUUGUUUUCUUGAAUUCCAGCAAAUGACACCUGAACCGAUUGUAAAUACAUAACCUGAAACGUUCUUCAUGUCAUCAACACUUCCUGCCCAAUCACUAUCAGCAUAGCCAUCUAGCUUAACUCCUCCUGUCUUUAAAUACCAAAUGCCAAGAUUUGUUGUACCUCUAACAUACUUCAGCACCCUUUUUGCAACUCCCAUGUGAACAUUGCUAGGUGAACUCAUGAAUCUUGAAAGUAAACCAGCUAGAAACAUCAAGUCAGGUCUGGUUGCUGUCAAGUAUAGUAGGUUGCCUACCAAGCUUCUAUAUGCAGAGGGUUCCUUAAGUUUCUCACCAUCAUUCUUUGAAAUUUUCUCAUUUUGUGCCAUUCCAAGGAAGUAGUUCAUGAUGCCAAGGUCAGACAUCUCAAAUACAUCUUGCAUUUCCAUUUUGAACUCAGCCAGCAAUCGUACAUUACUUCCAGUCACUAGCAUGGCAUCAACAUAAAGUGACACUACCAAUUGCAAACCAUUCUCAUUUUGUUUCAAAUACAAAGUAGCUUCAUUUUCACUCCUCCUAAAUCUAAGUUGGAUCAGGUGAGAGUCAAUUCUGCUAUACCAGGCCCUUGGUGCUUGUUCCAAACCAUAAAGAGCCUUUUGCAACUUGUACACUUUGUGUUCAUGCCUAGUAACCUCAAAGCCUUCUGGUUGUUGAACAUAAAUUUCUUCAAGAAGUAUGUCAUUUAGAAAAGCUGACUUGACAUCUAAAUGGUACACUUUUCAUCCCAUUUGACCAGCAAGUGCAAGUAACAGCCUUAUAGUGUCAUGUCUGGCUAUUGGUGCAAAUGUAUCACCAUAGUCCACUCCAGCAACUUGAGCAAAACCCUUCACAACCAAUCUAGCCUUGUGCUUGAAGAUUAAACCAUCUGAAUUCAAUUUGGUUCUGAAAACCCAUUUUACACCAAUUGUCUUCUUAGCUUCAAGUAAUUCUGUCAACUUCCAAGUUCCAUUUCUUUCAAUAACAUCAAUUUCAGCUUUCAUAACCUCAAUCCAUUCUAGAAAUCUUGCAACUUCUAUGUAACAUGUAUGCUCAACAUGUACAAGAUUGCACCUCUCAUACACAUUAGAUAAUGGCCUUACCUUAAGCACUGGUAUGUCUAAAGUUGCUUCAACAUCAAGUGGAUCUUCUGCUGGUUCAAGAAUAGAUGGAGUGGUUUGAUCACAUUUAUGGACUUUCUUCAAGUCCCAAUUCUAGUAGGAAUUUUCAUCAAAGUGCACAUCUCUACUUAUCACAAUUUUCAUUCUACUCAAGCUAUAAAUUCUGUAACCUUUUGAUUCUGCUGCAUACCCAACAAAAACACCCUUCUCAGCUCUUUCAUCAAGCUUACCUCUCUUGAUAGAUGGCACAUGAAGGUAACACAAUGAACUAAACACUUUUAGGUGCUUGACAGAUGGUUUUACACUAGACCAUGCCUAUAUUGGUGUUUUGCUCUUAACAGACUUAGUCGGUAGUCUGUUAAGCAAAUAUACUGAGGUGCUAACUACUUCAGCCCAUAGAAGCUUUGGUAGCUUCUUCUCGAGUAGCAUGCACCUCGCCAUCUCCAUUACCGUUCUGUUCUUCCUCUCAGAGACUCCAUUCUACUGCGGUGAGUAUGGAGCUGUCAGUUGGUGUACAAUUCCAACUUCUAGACAAAAAACAUUGAACUCUUUUGAGGUAUAUUCACCUCCAUUAUCAGUUCUGAGCACCUUAACCUUUUGGCCACUUUGAGUUUCAACCAUUUUCUUGAAGCUUUUGAACACAGAGAGCACUUGUGAUUUGGUUUUUAGAAAAUAAACCCAAGUCAUUCUAUUGAAAUCAUCAAUAAAUAGUGCAAAAUAAACAUUGUUGCUCAAUGAGGCUAUGCUCAUUGGUCCACAAAUAUCUGAAUGAACUAAUUCCAUCUUGUGAGUAGCUCUCUUGGACAUAUUUUGAGGAAAUGAUUUGCGAUGCUGCUUCCCUAGCUCACAACUUUCACAAGUUUGAUCAUUAACUGUGAUUUCAGGCAUGUCUUCAACCAUACUUCUUGCAUGAACUUCAAUGACUUCAAGUUGAAAUGACCAUAUCUUUUGUGCCAAACAACACUCUCAUCAAUCUUGGCACUAAAGACAUGACCUUCAACUAAAUCAAGCUUCAAAUAAAAGUUAUUUCCAUUCAUUUUAAUUUUUCCUAUCUCUGUUCCAUGUACAUCAGUGAUAAAACAAAAAUUUUCUUUAAAAGAGACUGCAUAUCCAUUUCUUAGCAUUUGUGUAACACUAAGAAGAUUUUGAUCUAGUUUUGGAAUGUAAAGAACAUUAGUGACAAUUUUUGUACCUCUCUUGGUGUUGAUAGCAAUUGUCCAUUUUCCUUUGGCCUGCACAACUUCACCAUUUCCCAACUUGACCGUUGCUUGAAUUGAUUUAUCAAUGGAGGUAAAAAUUGAUAGAUGUUUGGUCAUGUGACUGGUGCAGCCAUUGUCAAUGAGCCAAGUAUUCAGUUCAUGAGAACUGAGUACUUGUGAUGCCAUAAAUAAAUGCUUAUCAUCUUUUUUGUCUUCUUCAAUCACAUUUGCAUGUUGUUGUGUUUGCUGUUGAGAUUGUUUUUUCUUGGCUCUACAAUACUUCUCACUGUGGCCACAUUUAUUACAGAAAUUACAAUUAAAAAGGGAUUUACCUUUGUACCAACAAUCUUUCUCAACAUGGUUGGUUCUGCUGCAAUGAGAGCAAGGCGAAAAGUUUCAUUUUCUUGAAGAUCCUUCAGCUUUCCCUUUGUUGUUCUUGAAGAACUUCUUUCCUUUUAGGUUUCCAGAACUCUUUCCCUUAUGAUUUGCUCAAAAAGCACCUUCAGUAGCUUCAACACCUUUCAUUAAGACCCUUUGCUCCUGCGCAUGAAGCUUGCUGGUUAAUUCUGCAAUUGUGAGACUUUGCAAGUCACAAGACUCUUCAAUUGUAGAGAUCUUGGCUUCAAACUUUUAAGGCACUGAAACCAUGAUCUUUUCUACCACCUUUUGAUCUGUAAAUGCCUCACCAAGAAGCCUCAUUUGGUUUACAACAUCCAUUAACUUGCUAGAAUAAUCUUUCACAGAUUCAUUGUCUUUCAUCUUCAUCAAUUCAAACUCUCUCUUCAAUGUGAGGAGCCUGACAUUUUUUACUGUCACUACCAUCAAAUUCACCUUGGAGUUUGUCUCAUACCAGUUUAGGUGUUUCCAAGUCCAUGAUUUUGGUGAAGAUGUGGUCUACAAGUCCUGAAUGUAGGCAGGUGAUGGCUUUGUCUUUCUUAAGUUUUUCCUCCUCAUAUGCUUUCAUCUGAGCAACUGUAGGAUUUGCUCCCAAUGGUGGUGGAUCAGCUUCAAACAUCACAACAUUCCACAAACCUUGAGACCUUAAGCAAAACCUCAUCUUGACAACCCAAAUGUGAUAGUGUUCACCAUUAAACACUGGAAUAACAGAGGAAGUACUGCUGGAAGUAGACAUGUUUGCACCACAACUGCCUGAAAAAAAUAAAUCACUCAACCUCACUGUGUUUAGCACUCAAAACACUCAAAGAAACUUUGCCUCACAACUCGUAGGAACAAGGCUCUGAUACCACUGUCAGAAUCUGUAAAAUAACUAGAAUUUGCAGAGAAAAAAUAAAUAAUUUGAGAGUUAAGAAUUGAAGGAAGGCACACAUCUAUUUCACAAAUGAGAAUGCCUAUUUAUAGGCUUACAACCAGACAGAAAUUGCAAAAAAAUCUCAGCUACUUUCACAUUUUAUUGGCACUACUUCUACUAACUGAAAACAGAAAAUUAUGGAGCAAGAAUUUGAAACAAUAACAAACUUUAGAGGCAAAUUCUCAUGAGUUCUAACAUGGCAUAUGGGUUUUGGGUUUUUCAAUUGAGGGAAGCCUAUCAUAGCAUUUAAAAAUGGAUCCCCAUAGUGGCCAACACCAUAGGAUGAUAAUUCAUCAUGGUUCUUAAUCAUGAUCUUUAUUAAAUAGAUCAAACCCAAGUACGAUACAGAUAAUAAUCGUAUUAGAAAAACAUAAAUUCAUCUAAUUAUUUAAUAAACAAUAAGUCGUAUAAUUCAUUUAAUUAAUCUAAUAAUCAUACAGAAUUAGGUCUUAUACAAAUCUACACGAUUAAUUUCUUAAUCUAAUAUGUUUAUAAUUCAAUUAAUUUAUUUAUUUAAAAUCAAUUUUUAAAUAAAUCAAAUAUAAGUUAAAUGAGUUAGGGUUAAUCAUAUUAAUCAGUAUGAUUAUCAAGUUGGUCAAUUAGGAUCAAAAUUGUGUUUGACUAAUUUAUUUAAAAAUAACUUAUUUAUUAAAUGAGUUAUACAUAUUAACAUAAAUUUAAUCCUUAAACCCACAAAAAAUAAAUUGAAUUUGAGUCAUGUUAACGAAAUAUAUUACACUUUUGACACUCGUAGUCUACGUAAAGAAAAGAUGUUGCAUCUUGCCAUUAGCUAAGCUUAGAGCAUCCAACAACUGACUAUAAGGGUCCAUAUCUUAGGCUAAAUUGAAUGAAAGCAUUAUAUUAUACAAAACCCCCUAUGCUGAUGAUGGUGCAAACACCAAAUUUGAUUUCCCAAAGUUGUAUAAUAAUGUAUUAGUUGUGUCUGUUGUGCGGAAGUUAGGUACAACUUAGUGACAAGUGUGUAUGGGGCUUGGAAUCUAGUGAGAAUCCAUUGGAUAGGAGUACAAAAUGUCGGCCAUGAGCAUGAUCUAGCCAUCCACAUUUCUCUGUGUCAGAGGGGUCAGGACCAUGGAAGAAAAUAUCAAAAUAUAUUACUGAUAUAGUAUUGGAGGUUAUAAAAACGAUAUUUGAUGAAAAAAAUAUUAUUCUGACAAAAUUAUUUUAAGGAGUAUCGAUAUAUUUGUGAUUACUGAUAUUUUUAUCUUUGGUCAAAUUAGUUUUUGAAUUCACCCAUGCAUGACAUUUGAGAUUCAGCUUAAAAGUUGGAUCAACCCACCUGAUCACCUAAGCUUAUAGAAUAGUUACAAUGAAAAAAAUAUAGUUAUAUGACAUGGAAACACUUGAGUCUUCAUUGAUUUCCUUUUCAGAUUGAAAACUAUUAGAAAAAUUGAUUCAAUUGUCAUGAAAUUGGUAUCCACAAAACCAAAGAAACACCCUAAAACUAGUCCAAAAUCUUAUCUAACCCACAUAAAUUACAGAAAAUUAUCUUAACAGCAACCAAAUUCCUAAGUCUUUGCACAAAAUCCUAUCCAAGAGAGAUCUUUUAGAUUUCUUAUCCACUCUGGAUUGACUGGUAGAGACUUUUAAACCAGGGUUGUGCCACAAGCUCAUGAACAAAUAAAAUUGGACAAAGAAUUGAAUGAGUGGAUAAACAUCAUUGUCAAUGUUUCUACUUGAGCGAGAAAUACGUUAGAUUUCUACACUUCUAAAUAGUUGCCUUGAGUGAUUCCUUGGUCCCACAGUAUUUGCUUCCCCCUUUCCUCGUGGUUUGGGAAAAGGACAUCCACACGGUUUGGUGUAGGAACCACCCUUUCCUUUGCUAUCCAUGAUUAUUUUUCUUUCCAAUAAUAAGGAAAACAUUCAUCAAGGCCCCAUGUGAAAACUAUUAUUGGUGACUGUAGGAAUAGAGCUAUUCAAUUUUUCCAAUAUACAGGACAUUGGAUGGAUACUGAUAACAAAAAAGAAUUACAUUAAAAUGUAUAAGCGAUGUAUUAUAAUUCAUUUUCUCAUCUAUUUUCAUGUUUUGAUUAUUUUAACGAGAUGGGAUGAAAUUAAAUAUGAUUUUAACAGAAGUGAAACUUGUCUCGUAAAUAGGAUUCCAUGUUGAUUUCAACAGAAGUAUGUGGAAGGAUAUCGUGGUUAAUUUAUUUAUUUUUUCAUUUUCAUUUCUAUUAUUUUUAAAUAUUGAAAUAACAACAAAUACUCAUUUCAAAUUUAUAUUGCUAGAUGCAUACAAAUAUAAGAACUGAAGCACCAAAUUCACUCCUAUUCUAAGAGGAAUAAGAACAUUGAUUUUCAUUCCCUACAGUCAAGUACCGAACAUGGCCUAAAACGUAAGGGUUCAUGGGAGAUCCUUCUCGCCUAUCGACCUUCUUCUAUGGUGGCUAGGAACUCACUAUUCAAGGAUGCUUCUGGUUUGCUUGAAGAAGAAGCUGAGCUGGAAAGGUCUCUCCUUACGACAAAAGCUGGUUGUUUAGGAACUGGGAGUGUGGCAGUGUCACUGCUGAGCAUUACAACUGCAACUGCCAUGGUGGGACGGUCACUUGGGUCUUCUUGCACACACAACAGCCCAACAUUCACGCACCUCAGAAAUUCAUUUGUUUUACAUGUUUCACUUAGUGUCUGGUCCAUCAACUCCAACACCCUGUCUUCCUUCCACAGCUUCCAUGCCUGGGAAAGUUUGGACGUACAAGGGUUUCAUGGCAUAUAUAUAGAAUGUCCAAAGGAUCAAUGCAAAUGAGAAAUUCAAAGCACUUACAUGGGCUAGAAGGCUCAGAUUCCGGUCAGACUGAUAAGAUCUGGUGUUCCUCUUCCCGCUGAUGAUCUCAAGUACCACAACACCAAAGCUAAAGACAUCAGACUUUUCUGAGAAAAACCCAUCCAAUGCAUACUCUGGAGACAUAUAGCCACUGCAUUGAACCAGUUAAAAACACUACUCAGUUAAUUGGGGAUGCAAUCAUGCAACUACUUGCAUUUUACCAUACACAAUAUGCAGUACUUACUAAGUUCCAACUACUCUGUUUGUGCUUGCUUCUACUUGCUUACUCUCAAAAAUCCUUGCCAAGCCAAAGUCUGAAAUUUUGGGAUUCAUCUCGUCAUCAAGUAGAAUGUUGCUUGUUUUCAAGUCUCUAUGGAUAAUCUUCAAUCUUGAAUCUUGGUGAAGAUAAAGUAGCCCUCGAGCAAUUCCCAAAAUGAUAUCAAAUCGCUUCUCCCAGUUCAGUAACAGGCAUAGAGUUUGAUCUUGCAAUGUUCCCAUUGGAAAGCACGACUUCAGCAUGUACACGUUGUAAUAUGGGAGAAAAAAAAAGGAACUUUUAGGCAGGUUAGAGGCAAACCAAAUAUGAAGGAGUCUAAGCUUUUGUUGGGCAUGUAUUCAUAGAGUAAAAUCUUCUCAUCUCCUUCAAUACAAUAGCCCAAAAGUCUAACCAAAUUUCGAUGCUGAAGUUUGGCAAUUAACACAACCUCGUUCUUAAAUUCCUGUAAGCCUUGUCCCGAAGCUCUUGAGAGUCUCUUUACUGCAAUUUCUCGCCCUUCAGGAAACUUUCCCUAGAUGCCAUAGCGCAUGGUAUUAGACAGACAAACCAGAAACCUUGAAAUGAGACUAAUGUGGAAAUUAAGGACUAUUACUUUGUAAACUGGCCCAAAGCCCCCCUGUCCAAGCUUAUUUGCAUCUGAAAAGUGAUCUGUAGCAGCCAGUAUGUCUUCUAAGUCGAAAAAUGGUACGUCAAUGCCUUUCUUAUCAUCUUCUUUGAAUUGCUCAGAGUCUAUUAAGUCUUUCACACGGCUCUCGCUAUGAUACAAGUGAAGCCCUGGAUUUGUUCUGUUUUCUGAAUUCAGAAACAAGACUACAUUAUGAAGAAGUCCCCUAAAAAUAUUAUCAAUUCUGCCAAUCAACACGAAACAAAAAAAGACCAGAACUUAAACGGUGGCGCAAAUAGCACAAAGAUUACCUUGCCCUUUGGAGAUGGUUCUUUUUCGAAAAUAAGCAAUACAACCAAUGAUGCAUAGAAGUCCAACUACUACAACAGCAGUUACUAUGCCUACCACAACUACCAGAGCCGAGGAUGAUGAUGAUGACUUCUGGUUUGCAGGUGUUGGAGCCUCCGCAAGAUUGCCACCAUCUGAAACAAAGAAAGACCACUCUCAUUCAUGGAGAAGGCAGCGCAUCUGCCAUUACUAAUCACUGUGUCUUUCAAUGCAAUUUAGCAAUAUGCUUGCUGAAAAGCAUCCUCACCUUGUGUACAAUUUAAACUGGAGCUGUUCCAUUUGAAGUUUUGAUUACAAAAACACCUUCUCGUUCUAUUUUGCGUUCUGCAACUCGAAUUUGGCCAGUCCUUGCAGUCUGUUGCUGAGUUACAAACCGGCUCUGGUGGUGGAUCCCAACUUAUUUCAAUUUCAUACUGACCUUUCAUAGGCAUGCUGGAGCUAGAAUUUCCUGUGUCAGCAUUGCACCAGCUAGUUAUCCUGAAAGGUGGAUUGAGCUGCAGUAUCUUCGUGUCUUGUGAAUUUCGUGCUUCGCAGUUAUCAAUAUCAUUCACUUGGAUGAGAAACUUCGAUCUCUCUGGAGUGAUGCUGGUUACUCGGUAGCUGCCAUUAGGUAAGGCGAACCAGACUUGGUCUGUGGCCUUGUCACAUCUGAAACUGAAGUACAUGGGAUCACCACAGUUUGGUCCAGUGCUUAGUGGAUAGGGGAUCAAGUUUGUGCCACAAGUUUCACAAUUUCUUACUGUUGAUUCUGCAGAAUUAGAAUGAAUUUCAAGAUUUUCCUCAUUAACAAUCAAUUAAAUUCAGAAGUAGAAGGGGGCAAGCAGAGAGGAUACCUAUAUCUGAUUUGGCGACACGGAGAGAAAGAUUAUAGCCAUCUGUGUUAUACUCCUGAAGACUACCGAGAUCUUCAGACCAAACCAGCACUUGGGAGGGGUGCUAGCACGGCCCCUUCGUAUCGUUCCAACUCCAGCAUAAGCUUGACAGCGACAGGUCUUAAGGCACUCUCUUCUGCAUUCACUUUCAUCCUUAUCCGAAAACUCAAUGUCAUACUUUCUUACUUUAAUCAUCUUCAAGAUCAAGAAUGUGUCCCCACAGAGGGUUGUCUUUUUAGAACACCCACCUGAAAAAUCUCCAUUAGUCCAUCUCUCCAGCGAGUUAGGCUCGAAUCCAGGCAAACAUUUGCACAUAAAUGCAUUGUUAACAUUGCAAGAACCGAAAUUCCCACAAGCAUUCAACACACUGCAUCGGUCUUGCGGCGCCCACCAGAAUGCAGACCACUCCUCCGUAUAAUUAUCCCAAACUAGAUAUCUUAUUUCCCCGGUGAAAUUCAUCACCAACCGUGUAUAAGAACUGCGGACAAAUUCAGACCCAGUUGGUUUUCGGGUCUUGCUAAAAUUGGAUAAGAGCUCGGCUGCUGCAGAACUCAUUCCUUCUGAUUCCUCACUUCUCCAAUAUUUAACAAUUGAAUCUUCAAAUAUGAUAUACUGAUCUUUAUCAUCAUCUUGCUUGAAAGUAUAGCUUCCAGGUGCAGGGUCAACGGGGCUUACCCAUGAAGUCAAUGUUAAGUUUCCCUCCAUAAUCAUCCCAGGAAGAAAAGUAUCAGUUGGGUUCUUGAAACUCUCCCAAAGAAUCUUCCCAGAUCUGUUGUCCCUUAAAACAAAGUUCCCAGAAUCCAUGACCUUGGCCACCCUACCCAUGGAAGAUGAGCUUCCAAGAUUAGUAAACCAGUAAGCUGCUCCACUUUCAUUCACUAGCUUGAGGUUACCGUCAUCUGCAAUGGCAAGAGCUCCAACACUGUCGUCAGGAAGGGGGUUGUCUCUAUUGGCUACCCAUACAACUGUUCUCUCCUUCAACCCGUAGUACCAUAUGCCAAUGUAUUUUCCAUUGUUGAACCCUCCCUUGGGAAUAAAGAAGCCCAAUUCAAAAGUUUGAUUGGCUGAAACAAGAGUUCCUCUACCAUCAUCAAUAAGCAAAUUGUCUGGUGUGAUGGUAUCUCUAGCAGAGCAGCACAGGAUAGAACACAAGAAGAAAAAGAUUGCAUGUCGCAUUGAAUUGCAGAGACUGAAACCAUUAAUUUUCAUCUAGUCCUUUGCAGGAUAGAACCCAAGAAGAAAAAGAUUGCAGACAGCAUAUGAGUUGCAGAGACUGAAACCAUUAAUUUUCAUCUAGUCCUGUUGCCCACCAUUUUUUUUAAUGGUAAGAGUAUGAAAAGUUUGGUGGCAGAGUUGAGUGUGGGGUUGCUGCUGCUGUAACGCACUCUCAAUAUUAUCAUAAAUAAAUAAAUAAAGAUUAUUAAAAAAAAAAAAAAAACCUCCAUUGUAUCUAGGUUGACAUCUUAUUAUGGGAAAAGAAAGAAAGGAAAAAAAAGCAAUGCAGAAUUAAAUUAAAAAAAAAUCCAAAAAAUUAAAAGUGAAAUGGAAAUUCUGCCCUCCCUAAAAAUAUAAAUUUAGUUUUAAUUCUUUUUUUAAUUAAAAAAACAAUAAUGAUAAUUAAACAUUAUUAAUAAAAAAUAAUACUUACCUUUGAGUAUUAAUGAUAUAUUAAGAUUUAAUUAAAAUUUAAAAAUAUAUUUUAUGUUAAUACCUAUUUCUUCCCUUUUUAUCCUAUCUUUAUCUUUUUUUUAGUGGAACCAUUGUUCCAAUUUAUUUUGCAUUAAUUCAAAUUAUAUGAGCUUUUUUGUUUUAUAAUAAACCCUUCAAUGAAAUUGACUUUUUAAAAUUUUGUAUUUGAUGGUUUAUAAGCUUUAAUUUAAUGGUGGGUUAUCUAUAGUUUUAAUCUUAAUAUUUAAAAAAAAAUAUUUUUAAAAUUUGUGACAUUUAAUUAAAUAAUAAAUUUUGCUUUCUUUAGUUUUUGAUGAUUUACUCUUAUUGAAUUGUUUAUAUGAAGUGAUAGCUUAUGUUUUAUUUUAAUUAUAAAGCUGAUGCACCUUAAUAAAAUAUUUUGACUAUAAAUAAUAUCGGUAAAGAUCUCUACACAUAUUGUGUAAUAUAUUUGAUGAAGACCUCUACAUAUAUUGUCUACUUUUGAGUCCAUUAGCUUUUAUAUUCCUACUUAUAACAUUGUUUACAUAUUCCAAAUAGCUAAUGGGUGGUCAUCCUCAUGUUUUCAAUUAGGAAUUAGUUUUAAUAUCACUUAACCCAACUCAUGUAACCUUAUUUUCUUUAAACCCAUUAAUCCUCGCAACUUUAAACCCUAACAACAAAUGGGCCACCCUUAAAGUACUAAAAAUUUCUUAUUCAAAUGAUAUGAAAUAUUAUAUUCGAUCAUUUAUAUAGACACAUUGUUCUCAUCAUGACCCAUAGGGUUUAUGGAUAGUCAAAACUCUACAUAUUUUUUAUUAGGGAUUAGCACAACCUACUAGACUUCUUGAUUUUACGUAUACUAAAUGCAUCACUCUUCUAAGUAUUACGAAUUCUCAUAUGAGAAUUUGAAAAAGGGAAAAGUGGGUUUUUCCUCACUAAUUUAAAGAUAUAUAGAAAAAAAAACCUCAAAUUUUAUAAAUAAGUUUUAUCUUUAUCAAUUUAAAAAUAUUUUAAAAUACAUACACUUUUACAUAAAUCAGAUAAUUAUUUUUUGAAAUAGCACUUUACUUGAUAAUAUAAAAUAAAAUUAUCAAAAAAUAUUUAUCAUUUUAAGUUAAUAAAAGUACAUUGCAAACAAAUAUAUUAUAAAUUUUUAUUAUAUAAUAUAAGGUACAAAUCAUUAUGGAAAAAUUCAGUAUAUUCCUCAAGUGAUAAAUAAUUUUUUUGCUAAUUCUCUAGCUAAUAAUGAUUUUAUAUUUUAUAUUAUAUAAAUCCCUUCAUCUUCUUACCUUUUUUUAAAAAAAAUAAAAUUGAAUAAAAUUUUUGUUGAUUUACAUCAACAAUAAAAUAAGAAACUUAAAAAAAAAAACCUAAAAGUUAAAAUAUAAAAAUAAAAUAUUGACUUUCAAUUGGCGUACACUAGUUAAAAAUCUAGAUAUAAUGGAAGGCAAUAUUUUCUUUUAUUUUAUUUUAUUUUAAAUUUUUAAGUAUUUUAGUUUUAAUUGUAUUUUUAAAAUUUUAAAUUUCUUAUUUUAUUGUUCCUAAGGAUGUUUGUUUCUAGAGAGAGAAAAAAAAUCUUAAAUCAAGUCUCACAAUUAACAGAACUAAAAGAAAAAUUAGUUUUUUACAAUUAAAUAUUUAUGUAUCUACUUGUUAAUUGGUAUUAUUAACAUAGUAAGUGCAAGUAAAAUGUUAUUUCAGAAAAUAAUUAUCUGACUUAAAAAAAUAUAUGUAUUUUAAAAUAUUUUUAAAUGGAAGAAGAUAAAAUUGAUUUAUAAAAUUUGGGGGUUUUCUUUUCUAUAUUUUUUUUUCAAACUAGUGACUUAUAAUCCACUUUUCCCAAAUCAACACAUUUACACCGAUUAAAAUAAUGAUAUAAAUAACAUUUUUUUUCUUAACUUUCAUGUUUUAUUAAGAUAUCAUGUUUUGUACCUAAAAAGAAAAGAAUGACAAAGAAAAUAAUUUUCUCACAUGUAAUAGAAAAAGAAAAAUAGUAAGGAAAUGAUGAGAGAAAAUUUAAAAGAUUUUCUUUUCCAUUUUCAUUAGAUAAAAGCAUGAAAAAUUUAGGAAAAAAAAUAUAUACUACUCAAUAAUUCAAUUUUCUAGAAACCAAAUAUAGUCUAAUAUUGCUCUACGUUCAAAGUCAAUUUUCAACAAUGAAUUCUCCUCUUACAGUACUUCUUCUUAACUCGAUUGUGACAAGUGUUGUCAUAUGAAUUUUCUUCCCUCAAUCUACCUACUGUGAAAUGUAAUGUAAAAAAAAAGAAAAAGUACUCCUAAUCGAAUAAUGAGUAAUCACUAGAGACUUUGGAGUGUAGCAUGCAUCCUAUUCUUUAAUUAUUGUCUCUCAAACCAGUCUUAACAUUUUUAUUCAUUGAAUUAAAUUAUUAAAUAUACAAAUUAUUGACUGGUGUCUAAGUUUUUUCUUUCUUCAAUUUCUAGCUUUAAGUUCCCAAAUGAAAAAAAAAAAUUGUCAAGAUCUUGAUUAGAAAAACCUAUUGUUUAAUUGGAAAUAAAGUGGACUCAGUCUCCUUUCUUGUUGAUACAUUGCUUUCAUCUCUUUUCCUUCUGGCUGGCUACUAUGCUUCCCGCUCUCUUCCCAAGCCUAAAAGAAGGAUAACAUUUUGUUUGUUCCUCCGCCCCCCCUAUGAAUACAUGUCACUGGCUAUGAUCAUGAUGAUGUUCAUUUUUUAAAACAAAGAAAAAUGAAAAAUAUGAGCAUCAACCAAUAAAUUUUAGUACCCUUUCUCCAACUUGGAGGAGUUCCAAAUGGGUAAUUUUUUUAUAUUUUUGUUAUAAUUUUUAUGUUUUUUAUUUUAAAUAAACAAGACAAUCCAUUUUUCUUCUGAACAUUUUUUCUUUUCCCCUUUAGCCCUAAUGGCAGUCCACUUCAAAUAUUUUUGUGCCCAAAGGGUCAAAACUAAGGAAAGAUUCAAGAAAAAAUUAGGAGAAUUAAAAAUCAAAGCCCAAAAAGGGUUCCAGCAAGUGGAUGAUUUUUCUCAGUCAACUACUGCAAUUUGGGUCUUCCUUCCUCUACUUCCUAUUUUAUUUCCCAUAGGUAGGUUAGGCACAUUGACAUCUUUUUAUCCAUUUCUGUUUGCUUUUGUGCUUUUUUGGGAAAUCAUAAUCUGAUGUAGAUCCUGAUGGAACAGGUUUCUAUAGAAAAAUCAACAAGGGCUUUUUUUUUUUUACUUUUAGUUAGAUUCUGUUAUCUCAUGGGUAUGGCAUGGAAGAAUUGAUCCUUCACUCAAAAUUGAGAGGAAAAAAAAUAGAUGUUUAUUUAUUUUUGUAUUAUAGCUCCUUUACACAUGUCACAAUCCCAUUUGCCUUAAUUCGUAGGCAUGACAUCCAAAAGUACUUUUCAGUACCAUAAUUUGAUGGAAAAAGUGGGUUUUGACUCGUUAAGGAAAAUUCUAUAUUACCUCAUGGGUAUGGCAUGGAUGAAUUGACCAUUCAAUGAAAAUUAAGGGGAAAAAAUAGAUGUUUAUUUAUUUUUGUGUUAUAGCUCCUUUACAUAUGUCACAAUCUCAUUUAUAUUAAUUUGUUGGCAUGGCAUCCGAAAAUAAUUUUCGAUACCAUAAUUUAAUGAGAAAAUAAGUUUUGAUUCACUAAUAUGAAAUAUAUAGAUAAAAAAAAAUCUUAAUUUUUCAAAAUCAAUAUUAUCUUCAUUUAUUUAAAAAUCAACAAGGGGUUUUUUUUAUUUAAUUUAUAGGAAUAUUCUAUGUUACCUCAUUGGUAUGGCAUGGAAGAAUUGACCAUUCAUUGAAAAUUAAGGGAAAAAAUAGAUAUUUAUUUAUUUUUGUAUUAUAGCUCCUUCACACAUGUCACAAACCUAUCUAUGUUAGUAGUACAUGUGAUGCUUGCAAAUAAACACAAAUAGGAGAAGGUGCAGAGUUAGCAUCACAUGUUCAUGUAUUACAAUAUGAUUGGUUCUUUCUCUUUCCUCCAUAAAAUUCUCUUAUAUAGUUGACUGGUUCUUUCUCAUAUAUGGUUGUAGAUAUGAUUUGAUCAAACCGCAUUAAAACCCGGGUAACUUAGUUUGCUUUAUUUAUGUUAUUCUGUUCAAUCUGGCAUUAUAGUUUUUUAUCUUGCAAGGAUUCCAUUGAAAAACAUAACUGAAAGGGCUUUUAAGAUUUGGAGUAUAAAUAUAGUUUCCAAUAUCUUCCAAUAUAUGUUGUGGGCUCAGAAAGAAGUCCUCCCAAUUGUACUGAAAAAUCAGUGCAUUUAUGCUGCAAUUUGUUAAUAUAGUUCAGUCAGAAACAGAGCAGAUAAACAGAUAUAACAACAAAAUCCUGGGAGUUGGACAAUUUAUUAGCAGCCUUCACCAUGUACAGGAUCCCAUAGAGACGUCCAAAACAGAGCAUCAAAUGGGAACUCCUCCUGGACUAUCAACCUUCUUCUAUGGUAGCUAGGAUUUCACUGUUCCAGGAUGCUUCAGGUUUGCUAGAAGAAGAAGCUGUCCUAGAAAGGUCUCUUUUUAUGACAAAUGCCGGUUGUUUAGGAACCGGCAUUGUUGCAAUGUCACUACUGAGCAUUACAACUGCAACUGCUAUGGUGGGUCGGUCACUUGGGUCUUCUUGCACACACAACAACCCAACAUUCACACACCUCAAAAAUUCUUUUGUGUUGCAUGUUUCGCUUAGUGUCUGGUCCAUCAGCUCCAACACCUUGUCUUCUUUCAAUAGCUUCCAUGCCUGGGACAGUUUGAGAAUAGAAAGUUAAGUAUGGUAUGGUAUAUCGUUGAGAACGACUAAAAGAUCAAUGCAAAUGAGAGAUUCAAAGCCCUCACUUGACCCAGAAGGCUCAGUGUUUGGUCAGACUGAUAAAAGCGAGUGUUCCUCUUCCCACUGAUGAUCUCAAGCACCAUAACACCAAAGCUAAAGACAUCAGACUUCUCUGAGAAAAACCCAUCCAAUGCAUACUCUGGAGACAUAUAGCCACUGCAUUGAACCAGUUAAAAGCACUACUCUGUUAAUUGGGGAUGCGAUCAUGCAACUGCUUGCUUUUUUCAGUACACAAUAUGCAAUACUUACUAAGUUCCAACUACUCUGUUUGUGCUUGCCUCUACUUGCUUACUGUAAAAAAUCCUCGCCAAGCCAAAGUCUGAAAUUUUGGGAUUCAUCUCAUCAUCAAGUAGAAUGUUGCUUGUUUUCAAGUCCCUAUGAAUAAUCUUCAGUCUUGAAUCUUGGUGAAGAUACAGCAGCCCUCGAGCAAUUCCCAUAAUGAUGUCAAACCGCUUCUCCCAGUUCAGUAACUUGCAUAGGGUUCGAUCUUGCAAGGUUCCCAUUGGAAAGCAUUACUUCAGAUAUGUAUACAAGAAUGUAUAUGUUACAUGAAAAAUAAAAGGGCUUUAAGGCAGGUUUAGAGACAAACCAAAUAUGAAGGAAUCUAAGCUUUUGUUGGGCAUAUAUUCAUAGAGUAAAAUCUUCUCAUCACCUUCAACACAAUAGCCCAAAAGUCUAACCAGAUUCCGAUGCUGAAGUUUGGCAAUUAACACAACCUCAUUCUUAAAUUCCUGUAGGCCUUGUCCUGAAGCUCUAGAGAGUCUCUUAACCGCAAUUUCUCGCCCCUCUGGAAACUUGCCCUGGAAGCCACAGUGCAUAUGCAUUGGGCAUAUGUUAGAACUUGGUGACUUGAAUUCUAUUUGGUUCGAUUCCAGAAGCUCGCGAUGCGACAUAGGUAGUAAAGCUAAAAUUAUGAAUUUUUUUUUUGGUCUAUGGUAGUAACAGAGGGAUCGGACCUAUUACUCUUUCAUGUAUAUAUAUAUAUAUAUAUAUAUACAUGCGGUGAUAUAUAGUUUUCAAUGUUAUGAUGAUUAUGUUUUUGCUAUAGUCGUCCGUAUCUCUUUCCUCUUGUACUAAUUUUUGACAUAGUAAAAUUUCUUCUCUUUGUGGUCUUUCUUAUCUAGGGUUUUCCACACAAAUCUAUGUGUUCUUAUCCUGUUUUAUUCCUUAUUGCAUAUUCUCAUUAUUUUGUAACAGCAUUGAUGAUGAGAAAUCAGUUGAAAAUGAGAGGAACAUGGAAGUUAAGAACAAUUACCUUGUAAACUGGACCAAAACCCCCUUGUCCAAGCUUAUUUGCAUCUGAAAAGUUAUCUGUAGCAGCCAGUAUGUCUUCUAAGUCGAAAAACGGUACAUCAAUGCCUUUCUUAUCCUCUUCUUUGAAUUGCUCUGAGUCUAUUAAGUGUUUCACAUGACUCUCACUAUCAUAUAAGUGAAGCACUUGAUUUGCUCUGUUCUCUGAACUCAAAAAAAAAACAGAAAAUAUUGUAUAGAAGACCCUGAAAUAUUCUCAAUUCAGCCAAGCACAAGUCGAAAAGAAAAGACCAGAAGUUAUAGGCUAGUGCAUAUGGCACAAAGAUUACCUUUCCUUUUGGUGAUGGUUCUUUUGCGCAAACAAGCAAUAUAACCAAUGAUGCCUAAAACCGCAACUAGAACGACAGCAAUUGUUAUGCCUACCACAACCACUGGAGAUGACGACGAUGACUUCUGAUCAGCAGGCUUUGUACCCUCUGCAGGAUUGACACCUGAAACAAAGAAGGAACUGAAUUGAACUUCUCUCACCUACCCAGAAGGCAAAUUUAGUAAGAUACUUGGUGAACAGAAUCCUCACCUUGUGUACAAUUUAAACUUGAGCUAUUCCAUUUGAAGUUUUCAUUGCAAAAGCACCUUCUCGUUCCAUCUCGCGUUCCGCAGGUUGAAUUUGGCCAGUCCUUGCAAUCUGCUGAUGAGGUACACACCGGCUCCAAUGGUGGAUCCCAACUGAUCUCUACUUCAAUACUAUUUUUCAAUGACAUCUCAGAGCCAAAAUUGUCAGUUCCAACCUCUUUGCACACAUCAGUCAAGUGAAAAGGCGGGUUUAGUGGCGGAAUCAGACUUCGUGAACUGCAAUCCGCUUCUUUCAGUUGGAUUACAAAUGUUAAUGUCUCUGGGUUAAUGCUAGUUACUCGGUAGGGACCACCAGGUACCUUGAACUGAACCUGGGCUGUGAUAUUGUUACAUUCAAAAUUGAAGUACGUUGAAUCACCACACUUUGAUCCAGUGCUUAGAGGAUAAGGAAUCAUGUUUGAGCCACAAGUUUCACAAUUCCUUAAUGUUGUUUCUGCAAAGACAGUAGAAUACCAUGUGGGCAUUUCAGUUACAAAUGGAUUAAUGCUUGUUUUUUCAAAGAAAAAAUAAAAUAAAAAUUGAAAGGGACAUACUUAUAUCUGAAAUGGCCACACGAACGGAGAGGUUGUAGGCAUCAGAGGCAUACUCCUCCUGAAGAUCAGUAAGGUCAUCCGUCCAAAUCAAGCAAUAUUCUAGGGCAUCAGUGACACCUCUUUGUCGUUUGAUAUAAGUUUCAGCAUAAGCUUGACAUCGGCAUUCUUUAAGGCAAGCCUUUCUGCAAUAAUCACUAUCAUUCGUAUCUGGUAUAAUCACACGGUCUGGCUUUCUCACUUUCAUCAUCUUUAAGCUCAGGAACACGUCUUCACUGGAACUCUUCUCGCAUAUGGGAGACUUUCUGGUACACCCACUUGAAAACUCUUCAGUUUUCCAAAUAUCCGGCGAGGCGGGUUUGAACCCAGGUAAACAUUUGCACAUCAAAGCAUUGUUAGUGUUACAACUACCGAAUUUCCCACAAGCUUUUGGCACACUGCAUCGAUCUUGCGGUGCCCACCAGUCUGGAGAUGAUCUACUCGGAUUCAGAUAGUACCUGAUUUCCCCUGAAGAACUCAUCACCAACCGACUGGUAUUCUUAUACCUGGAGGACACUAUUUCAAGGGUUCUAUUGUAGAAUUUUCCAGGGCUGGUUGACUUGCCGGUCUUGCUGAAGUUGGAUAACAAGCUGAGUAUUGCAUAUGGCAUUUCUUUCGAGUCCUCACUGCUCCAAUAUGAGACAAAUGAAUCCUGUAUGUUAUACUGAUCCUCAUUGUCUUGAUCUAGCUUGAAAGUAAAGUUUCCAGGUGCCGGGUCAACAGAACUCAGCCAUGAAGUCAAUAUUAAGUUUUCAUCCAUCUUCAUCCCAGGAAGAAAAGUAUCUGUAGGAUGAUCGAAGCUCUCCCAAAGAAUUAUCCCUGAUCUGUUGUCACUCAAAACAAGGUUCCCAGAGUCCAUGAGCUUCACCACCCUCCCUGUUGAUGAAUAUGUUGCAAUAUCAGAAGACCAGUGAACUGUCCCAUUUGCAUCCAAUACCUUGAGCUCACCAUCUUCUUUAAUGGCAAAAACUCCAGAGGGGGUAUCAGAAAGGGGAAGGGGUUUCUUUCGGUUGGCCACCCAUACAACGCUUCGUGGUUUCGACUUGUAAUACCAUAUGCCCACGAAUCUUCCAAUCUUGGAGCUUCCAUUUGGAUUAAAGAAGCCAAGUUCAAAGGUUUUGCCUGCAGAAACAACAGUUUCUCCAUCAUCACUAAGCCAGUCCUCCGGUGUGAUGGUAUCUCUAGCAGAGCAAUACAGGACAGAACACAAGACGAAAAAGAUGGUAGAUAGCAUGUGAGUUGCAGAGACAGGAACCAUGAAUUUUC
rnacentral:lncRNA from 1 species